rnacentral:lncRNA from 1 species
GAUGUAUAAAUUCUGGGUGCGUUUGAGAUUUCAAGUGAUGUGAGGUUGGUAGGGAAACCCUCUUCUGGAAAGGAUAUGUCAGCCGAACACUCCCACACUGAUAAUUCUCGAAGGCAGGUGAAGUUGUUGAUGCACUUGGGAAGGGCUCUAAAAUUUUCACAAUAAUUAAUUGAGAGAACUCUGAGAUUUGUGGUGGGCAACUCACUUCCUUCAAAUGAAACCAGAUUUGGACACCUAGAUAAUUGAAUCUCCUGAAGAUGGCUCCGCGGUAAUGAUUUAAUUUUUUCAGCACCACAAAUGUCAAUGCUUUCGGGAUCAAUGGUUUCAAGGAAGUCUUGGGCUAUGCAUUCCAACACUGGACAAUCCCAAAUAGAUAGCUUUUUAAGCAUUACGGGUAACUUGGCGUUUAAAAAUAAGCUACUUAGCUUUGAACAAUCCCUAAUUUCGAGAUGUUGAAGCCGAUUGCAUAUAUCGCCCCUUGAUGAUAACCAUAUUAGAGAUGGACAGCACCUUAUUUCCAAGUGCAGAAGAAGACAAGUGUUGCUACUCAUACUCUUAUUAUUAUUUUCUUUUUCAUCAACCAAAUAUUGCAAAUUCACGCAAUUCCCAAUCCUCAGCUCUUUUAAAGCAGGAGGAAAGUUACUCUCUGCAAAACAAACCAAGCCGGAACAGUUUUCAAGUUGUAUUCUUGUAAUCAAUGGGAAAGCAUGUAAGGCUUCUGGUAGUCUAUUGAGCCUUUCACAAUCCCCUAUGUUCAGAGAUUCAACACCUGGAAUCUUGUCAAGUUGCAAUCUCUCCUCUGUUUCCAAAGAGACCAAUCGGGGACAACCCACAAUCGUAAUAAAACGAUGCCCGACUAAUCUUAACCCAAUUUGCGAUAAAGAUCCCAACUCCUUACAACCAGAGAUGCAGAAUGUUUCGGAGUUUGCAAAUCUCAACAUUAUCCUCUCUGCUGAAAUAUUAAAAUUUGAAAUAUUUGAAAGAGACAUCUUUCAAGGAGGUAACCUUCUGUACAGACAAAGAACCUUCAUCCACCAAUUCUUCACACCCUUCAACCCUUAAUUCACACAGAAAGGGAAAACUUGAAAUUGAAACUACCAGUCUCUUACACUCAUAGAUUUCAAGUGUCUGCAAGGUUUGAAGGAUGGUUGGCAACCUUCCCAGCAAUAGAGGACAUUCUCUGAUUGAAAGAAAACGAAGGCUGGGGAAUUUCGAUACUUGCUCAUCAUCUUCACAUAGGUCCCACUCCUCCCAAUUCAGCAUAUUGUCAAAAUACAGAGACUCUAAUGAUGCAAAAGCAUUUGAUUGAUUUUCUCCAAACAACUCAGCACCAAUCUUGUGCACUUGAUCCAAACCACUAAUUGAAAGAUCUUUUAACAGCAACAACCUUCCAAUCGAUGGUAGGGAUUUGCAAUUUUUACAAUUGUGAAGCUUCAAUGACAACAUAUUUUUGAAGGAAGGAUCUGCAAUCCAAGUAGAGAAUUUUGCACCACCAUAAUUCUCAAUGACGAGUUGCUCAAGCUUUUUUGGAGGACACAGAGAGUCCAACACCCGUUCUUCAACUUCUUUAUUCCUUGAAGCAUUUUCAAACUUUUUCCUCCAAUGCAAUACCAGUCGAUCAAUUCCCUGCUUCUCAUAUAACUUGCUUUCCCCUGCAUCUUUACCAUUAACAUUCUCCAACCCAGAAAGACGGAAAUCACCUUCGAGGUUUGACAAAUAUUUCAAAUAUCUAAUAUGACAACCAUCACUUUCCGCUAUGAUAAAAUCAGAUAACCUUUGAAGAUUCUUUAGCUUAUCAAUUCUAAAAGGAAUCCUUUCUAUUGAGCUCGCACCUCUGAUAUCAAGAUAAUGUAAGUUGACAAGAUUUCCCAUCUUUGAAGGUAACCUUUGAAGCCUGUAACACCUUCUUAAUAAUAAGGUUUCUAAAUGGUAAAGAGUGCACAAAGAAUCUGGUAGGCAUUUGAUUAAUGUGCGCGAAAAAUUUAAGUAGCGAAGAUGUUUUAAAUUUUCAAAAACAUCAGGCAACUCAGUGAUUUUAUACCCACUCAAAGAAAGCAUCCUUAAGUAGCCAAGUCUUGGUAACAAAUCAACCAAAACAACAUUAGUUAAACAAGCCCCCUGAUGAUUAAUAGAAAACAUUAAGGGUAAAAAAGUACGUAAAGAAUUCACUUGAUCAAAUGCUUCAAACUUCUUCACUGUGUCAUAUCUUCCAGCAAUAUAAGAAGAAUGUCGAGUGCGAUUUGAGAACUUCCAUUUCUUAUCACCCUCUAAUUUUGAGCAUAUUUCCCCUGCAACUACUUGAGCUAAAUCAUUGAUAAGGUCAUGCAUUACCGAUCGGGACUUAUCUUUACUGGAUGUCUGAAAAAAUGACCUGGACACUAGAUCUUGAAAAUAUUGAUUUCCGAGAUCUUUAAUUUGAGGCACAGCUUUUUGUUGCAAGAGACCUUCUGCUCUCCAUAACAAGAUAAUUUCUUCUUCCUCAAAUUCAUAAUCUUUAGGAAGUAUGGAGCAAUAUGCAAAACAUCGUUUCAAGUAUGACGGAAGAUGAUGGUAGCUUAACCGCAAAGCUGGAAUUAUGCCACACUGCUCUUCUGGUAAGUUCCAUAUCUCACUCUCAUAUAUUCUUUCCCAUUUUCCAUGAUAUUUAACCGUGCGAAGCAAGCUUCCAAUGGCUUUUGCAGCCAAAGGUAAGCCACUGCACCUUCUAACAAUUUUCUCUCCAAUUUCUUUAAACUGGAGAUGUUCAUCGAAAUUUCUUGCUUUUAAUGCAUGCUGUGUAAAUAUGGAUAAACAAUCAUCAUCCGAUAGUUUAUCCAAAUGAAAAGCUUUGAGCGGAUCCACAAUAGAUGAAACAAUUUGAAGACGAGUGGUUACAAUGAUAUGGGUCCCUGUUCCAAACGGAGACCGUAAGAUGGUCCAAUCAUCAUAAUUCUCGUUCCAAAUGUCAUCUAAAACAAGCAAGAAUCUUUUCCCAGACAACUUCUCCUUCAACUUAACUUGAAGUAAAUUCAAGUCAUUCUCGUCACGAGAGUCAGGAUCGAUGGAUUUUAAAAUUGUCCUGGUUAUAUUAACUGCGUCAAAAUUAUCAGAGACGCAUACCCAGGCCUUGUGGUGGAAAGACUGGUUGAUGGUGGCAUCAUUAUAAACAAACUGAGCAAGAGUUGUUUUACCCAUCCCUCCCAUGCCGACGAUGGAAAGGACUGAAACUCCGUUGGAGUUAUCACCUUUGAGAAACUCAAUCAUUUCUGUCUUCUCCUUGUGUCUGCCAACAUACUCCACAACUCCAUCCAGUACGGAAGUUGGGUGCAGCCUAGGUUGCUUUCCCUUGGAGGUUGGAGCUUGAGACAAGAUCUCACUCAACCCCAAACUACUUCUUCGAGUAGUCAAACUAUUCAGUCUAGCAGUGAUCUCUUUCACCUUGGGAAUCAUGGAAUUCUUAAACAGGAAAGAAGUGGGAGCAAAAUUACUACUGGUACAGCAGGUAGGAAUGAGUUUCCGUACCUUGCUAGUGCUGGCUUGAGCUUGCGAUUUGUUGAGCCUGAGACGUAACUCUUCAUAAGCGAACUCAUCCAAGAUGUCAUCCACAUCGUAAGCCAAGUCCUGGAGAUCCUCCAACCAUUUCUUCACGCCCUCGUUCUUGAUCUGCUUCUCCUCUGCAUCGUCCAACACUGCUUGGAUAUCGGGCAAUAUGGACUGCCACUGCUUGAGCUGUGGGCGGAGUUGCUUAUGAUCAGCAACGAAGUUGAGCGCAGAGUCGAGCAACUUGCCCCCCAACAGCUCCAGAAACACAGACAGAGCAGCCUCUCCAAUGACAGACAUGGUGAAAUUAUGAGAAGGAAGCAGAAGGGAGAAAUGAAGAAGCCAAAUGGAAGUUGAGGAACAGAGUGGAGAUUGUGUAUAAUCAGUGAAAGUUGAAAAAAUCAGAGGAGGAGGCAGUGAGCUGAUAGUCUGAUAAAUAAAAUAAAGCCCAAUUGGCUUUUUGGGCAGUGAAACGAAUAAAGAAGGCGGAAAAGACAAUGGCUGAACCACCCACCCACAUUGUUUAUGAAUUUUGAUGCUUUUCUCUUGCUUUUCUCCAUUAUCCCAAUUUCGAAGUAAAUGAAUGUUCAGUUCCAUGGCAAUGGCAUCCAAUGCCCAUAUUUGUACUUUAAUUAACAGCCAAUAUAGCAAGCACAUGUCAGUCUUUGUUUUUGGGAAUGAAAAAAAAAAAUUCAUCCCAUUUUUUUUAAAAUUUCCAAAAUUUCAUCCCAUUUUAAUUGAAUAUUUUCUUUUAUUUUGUUGGUGAAUUUUUUUAUUAAAAUUUAAAUAUAUUUUUAAUGUUACAUUAUAAUAUUAUAUAUUUAAUUUAAUUUUAUAUAAAUUACAUUCUAUACAUAUAUGAUAAAGUAGAAAAUGAGUUGGACUUAGUCAUUUUAAUUUUAGAGUCCAAGCAUGGCUCAUUUUAAGCAAGCUUAAUUUUUUUUUUGUCUAAACUUAUAUUUCAAGCCUUAUUCUUUUUAUCUAAACCCUUUUAUAUUUUAAGCUCAUUUAGAACGAGUCUAUCUACAAAAGAAAAGCUUGUGAAAAGCGCAUAAUUAAUAAUUAGAAAUUGUCACACAUGUAAAAAUAUAAUAUAUUAUAUAUAAAUUUAAAUUUUAAAAAUACUAUUUCAUAUAUAAAUUUUAUAUUUUUGAGAAAUAAUAAUAUUUUAAAAAAGAUGGAUAAAUUUUUUUUUUCUAAUAAUUAGAAAUUAGUGAAUAAUAAUGAGUAGUUUAGUUUUUGAAGAAAAAAAAAAGAAAUAGUUUUAAUUGAGGAAAUAAUUUUUUAAGAAGUUAGUUUAAGAGUAGUGAAAUAAUUUAAUUUAUUUUAUAAAAUGUUGAAAUGAUAUAAUCAUCUCUAUAUUUAACAAAAUAAUAAUAUUAGAUUUUUCAUGCUUUUACCAAUUGAGUUUGUGUUGCUCGAUUUGAUGUACCAAAUUUAAUAAGACAUUUUAUCGUAGUAUAAAUAAUUAUCUUGUAAUUAUAUGUGUUCAAAUUAACUUAAUUUUUAAAUCCGUCACUAAUCUUUAUAUUUUUUCUCUCGUAUAAUUAUAUUUUUACAUAAUGUUUUUAUAAUAUAUGGUAUGAUCAUGAAUUAAACCUUAAUUAUAGUUAUUAAGCUUACAUUUUUUCCACUAAAGUCAAGAAAUUAAUUUUUUUAUUGAGAAAACAUUUUUAUAUUAGUUAAUCAUGAGAAAACAUUUUUAUGUGAAAGUGUGUUUAACUAAUUAUAUUAAAGAAAAGUAUAUUUGAUAAUAGGCUCAAUUUACAUAUUUAUUGUGCUUAAAUUUGAUAAAUUCUUUAAUGAGAUAUCAUUAAUUUUAGGUUUAUUAUUUGAUUUUUGAUUAGGUGCAAAAGGCAAACAUAAAAAGUAAAAAAGAGUGGGAAAUGCAAGUUGUCGCAAAAGUUUUAGGCCAUGAUCUAUCUUCUUCUUCUUUUGGUACAAUAACAUGACAAAACCUAAACAAUAAACACAACUAACGUGACUCAAACUCAAACCACACCUGAGACAGUGAACACCUUUGACUAUCAAGCUAUCAUAUAAGGUUCGGAAAAGAAAGAGAGUACUUUUAAUUUUUAAUUAGGAUAAUAUUUUAAUUUUCUAGUAUUUUAUUUUUUGAUAUAUUUUUAGAUAACACUCUAAUAUUGGAUUAGAUUAAAGAAUUUAAGUAGGAUUAGGUAUAUUCUAAAAGGGACAGCAAUUCAAUUGCUUUCUUUUCUUCUCUGUUUCUAAUUCUGUUCUUUCUUUCUCUUGCACAAUAUUGUGCCGCCACGCCACCCUCCCCCUUUUUUUUUUUCCUUUCUUUUAUUUGUUUAUUUCUUUUAUUUAAUUUUUGUUGAACCCUUUAUACUAGUAUGCUUGAUUUCAUGAGUAAUUAAACUUCCCAUCUAGCUUUUAAGUCAAGAGUCAAUUUGGGAGAGAGUUCUACGAUUCGAAAUUGUACUUUAAAACUUUUAUUUCAGUAUUAUUUCUCUGGUUUAGGAGACUGUCUCGUAAAGUUAUUUUGGCACCAAAUGAGUUCAUUGCGUUGGUUUUAAUAAAGAAUCAAUAUUAUUGAUUGUCGUAUUCGAUCUACCAAAAAACAAAUUGGCAUGUCCAAUUAAGUGGUUGAUGUAAAUAGUACUUAAACAAAUAACUACAUGGAUGGUGAGGAUGAGUAAAAACUUUUAAUAUCAUCCAUAUCUUUUAUAGGUGGUGUAUUGCUCUGGAGUAUGCACUUAAUGGGUUGGCCUAUAUGAGUGUGUAGUGAUGCUGCUUGAGUGUAAAAAAAAAAAAAGCACGGGCUUAAUUGCCAAUUUUUUUAAAGGUUUAAGGGGUCUUUUGAUGUAUUUUGAAAGUUGAAGUGCUCAAUUGAAUACAAAAAUCAUAGGUAAAGAAUAGAGAUUAUAAUAAACUCACAUCGUAAAAUAAAAUACCUCACCAUGAUAACUAUCCACAAACUUCGAGCAAGGUUGUAAAUGUUCAUCAACUAUAUACUUUCCACAUUUUGGAAAAGACCUAGCCAUAAUAAAUAACAUAUGAGCAACAUUUUCUCAAUCUCAAAAUGUAAGAAGCAAUACUGUAAUAUCCUUUGAAGUUUGUUCUAAGAACAUUAGAAUGCUAAUCAUUAGAGUUUCAACUUAAGAUUGAACACAAAAAAUAUUGAAAAGUUUCAGGUACUAGGUGUAUUUUGAAAGAGUUGCUCCUACGACAUUUUCUCACCAUUCUUUUUCUUCCAUGGAUCCAAAUGCCUGUAAAAGAAAAACAAGGAAUAAAAAAGCAUAUCUACAACUCCAACAGAAGAGGGGAACCGGAAGAACAACCUCUACUUACCCUAUCAUAAACACUGAUAACAUCACUGUUGAAGCCUUUCAAAGUAGGGAAUCUUCAUAUAAAGAAUGAUCGAUAACCCACUGUGACACAUUUAGCUUUGAAGCUUCAGAUAGCUAGCCUGUCAAAAAUGAUCAAAUAACAUAUCACAACUACCAUACAUGUGGUCUGAGCAUGAGAAAAUAAGGGAUGCUCUGAAAAUUUAGUGAUGAUCCAUCCAUCCAUAAUCACAACGAUUACGCUCAAGCGAUGCAUAAAUAAGAGAAGUGCACACAUAAACGUACAAAUACCGAGGAAAGCCAACCAAACAUCCUUCAAUAGUACAAUGAAAUGUCAAAUGUUUUUAACUAAAUCCCAUUCCCAUAUACAUAAGGCAUAACAAUUGCAGUUGAGCGAUUGCUCUAAGCCCAUGCCAUAUAGUACAAAGCAAAGGAUCCUUAAGGACGAGGACAAUAUAAGAGUUAAGCAAACAUAUACGCAAAAAAAAGCUUAGAAAUGUUGGAUAAAUGACAGCAAACAAGACACAACAAAUGAAACUUUGUUUUGCAUAAGCUCACAAAACAGGAAGUCAAAGCAAAAGAAAAAAAAAAUGAAAACAAAGAUCAGCAAGUAACCGAUGAAGCCAAUUCAAAAAUUUCAUUAAAAGGUUUGAAAUAUAUUUGUUACAAAAGUAGUAUGACAGUUACCUAACUUAUGUAACUGCUUCCAUCAGUUUUAGCAACUUCCAAUACAAAAAUAAUACAAAUUCAAAAGCUGAUUGAUUUAGCUGUACAUCUAUCAAAUUCAUAUCUUACUAACUAUGAAAUCAAGUUACAUGUCAACUUGUUCCAUUUACAAAAGGAUUACAAAAUCAAUUAAACAAAUGAAAUGCUCCCAGUCUUGUUAGAAUGCUGGUCUGCUAUGUUGGACAGCACCAUGGUCGACUGUUGCAUUGCAGUCCAUGCUUAACACUUCUCCUUGGACUGUAGGCAACAAACACCAAUCAAUUCCCUCAGAAGUCCAAACCUCAUUGCACCAAGAGGCUUUGUCAAAAUGUCAGCCAAUUGGUCAUGUGAGUUACAAUAUGCAAGACUUACAUCCUUUGCUUGCACUGCCUCUCGAACAAAAUAGAAUUUAAGUUUAAAAUGUUUUGUUUUUCCAUGAAAAACAGCAUUCUUUGAGAUAGCAAUUGCUGAUUAAUUAUCAACCAUAAUCUCAGUAGGUUCAAAAUGUUCCUCAUUCAAAUCGCAUAGCAAUUUUCUAAGCCAAAUAGCCAAGAAGGCUGACUUGACAUCAAACUGGUGAACCUUCCAGUGCUUCUGUGCAGCCAAGGCAAACAGUAAUUUGAUAGUAUCCAGCCUUGAUACUGGAGCAAAAGUCUCCUCAAAAUCAAUGACAGCCUGUUGACUAUAUCUUUUCACCACAAGCCUUGCCUUGUGCUUGUUCAAAGAGCCAUCUGCAUUGAACUUUACCUUGUAAACCCACCUGACACCAAUGACUUUUCUCUGUUCAGGUCUGUCUACUAGAUCCCAAGUAUCAUUCUUGUGGAUCAUUUCAAUUUCAGCCUCCAUAGCUUCCCUCCAGCUCUUGCUUCUAGCAGCCUCUUCAUAAUUUGAGGGUUCAAUAAUGGCCACAUUGCAUCUCUGAUAGAUGUCAGCAAUGGACCUGGUCCCUCUCACAGGAGCAUUAUCAACAUUGGCAGUACUAAGAUCACUUUCUGCCAAUUCUAAGUUGCUAUCACCUUCCACUUCUUCAAACUGACUGGUAUCUGAAUCAUCAAAGUUCCAAAACCUUGUUUCAUCAAAUUUAACAGCUGCUGUAGCCAAUAAAUAUGCCAGCAAAUAACCUCUUCUCAAGUUUGGUCCUCCUUUCUGUUGGUACAAGCACAUAACAUAUGCAGCCAAACAAUUUUAAAUGUGAAACAACAGGUUUGAGACCAUACCAUGCUUCAAAAGGGGUUUUGUCCUUCACAGCAUGUGUAGGCAGCCUAUUGAGCAAAUAAACUGAGGUAUUGACACCCUCAGCCCAAAAGAUGCCUGGAAGCUUGCUUUGGAACAGCAAACACCUUGUCAUGUUCAUCACAGUCCUGUUCUUCCUCUCACUCACUCUAUUUUGUUGGGGAGUGUAGACUGUAGUCAACUGAUGAUGAAUUCCAGCUUGCUCACACAGCUUCUGGUAUUUUUUAGACAAGUACUCUGUACCAUUGUCUAUCCUCAAGGCCUUGAUCUUGCAGCCUGCUUGAUUUUCUGCCCAAGCCUUGAACUUCACAAACAUGUCAAACACCUCUAACUUCUAUUUCAUAAAGUACACCCAACAAAAUCUGGUCAAAUCAUCAAUAAACAAAACAAAGUACUUACUGCCAUUCAGUGAAGGUGCCUUCAUUGGUCCACAGACAUCUGAGUGCACCAACUCAAGUCUGUCUCGAGGCCUCCAUGCCUGGUUUGCUGAAAAUGGUAGCCUGAUCUGCUUACCAAGCUGACACACCUCACAAACACCUUCACUUGUAUCAACCUUUACCAUAUCCUUUGUCAUGUUCAUUUUGUGCAGCAAAUCAAGUGAUUUGAGGUUAACAUGGCCAAACCUCUUGUGCCAAAGAUCAGUAUCAUCCACUGAGCUUGUAUAGGCUCUUUUCUCAAGCUGACUCACAUCCAGCAUGAAGCAUUUGUCUGCCAUAGGUGCUGUGACUAUCUCCCUACCAUAAGCAUCACUUAUAACACAAGAAUCAUUCUUGAAAACUAGAGAAUAUCCUUUCUUGACUAACUGGCCUACACUAAGCAGAUUCUGAUAAAUUUCAGGCACAUAAAACACAUCUGAGAUAAUUUUGUUACCUGAACCAGUGUGAAUCACCACAUCACCUCUGCCUUUUGCUUCAAUCAAGUUGCCAUUGCCAAUCCUGACCCUUGAGACAUAGCUCCUGUCAAGAUCCUUGAACAACCUCUCAUCAGCAGCCAUGUGGUGCGAGCAGCCACUGUCCACAAGCCAACUGCAUUUGCUGUCAACUGCAAAACAUGAAGCAGUGAACACAUGCUCCUCUUGAGCUUGUAUAUCCUCAGCAGUCUUGGCUUGUGCUGGUUGAGCUUGAGCCUUCUCAUGACUUCUACAAAUCUUCUCAUGAUGGCCAUAUUGCUUACAGCUUUUGCACUGUAUGUCUGGUCUAGUCCAGCAAAACUUCUCCAAGUGAUUAGUUUUCUUGCAAUAAAUGCAUGGUGGAAACCUCCUUCUGCCUGCUUCUCUGUUAGUUUCUUUCUUUGCUUUAUCUCUUCUCUCAAACCAAGGUUUCUUAGCUCUCUGGUUUGAGCUAGAACCUUCUCUGGUUCUUGCUUGAAAGGCUCAUUCAGGGUUCUCCUCCUGUCUGUGUCUGCUAGCUCUCCUCUGCUCGAGUGCAUAGAGAGAAUUAACCAAUUCAGACAAGGAAAUGGUUGUAAGAUCCCUUGAGUCCUCCAGUGAGGAGAUUUUUGAUCCAAACCUCUCUGGAAGAGUGGUGAUCACCUUCUCAACCACUCUACUGUCACUAAAGUCCUCUCCUAGGAGUCUUAUGUUGUUCAUAGUUGCCAUAAUUCUAUCAGAAUAUUACUUAAUAGUUUCUGACUCCUUCAUUUUUAAGUUUUCAAACUCCCUUCUCAAGUUAAUGACCUGUUGCUGCCUGGUCUUAUCCGAUCCCAUGAACUCCUCUUUCAGCCUGUCCCAUGCUUGCUUGGGAGAGUCACAGGCCAUAAUGCAAGUGAAAAUAACAUCUGACACACCAUUUUGCAAACAGGCCAUGGCUUUGUGCUUCUUGGCUCGUUCCUCACCAUGUUGCCUGAUCUGCGCAAUAGUGGGAUUUGCUCUUAAAAGUGGUGGCUCGGAAUCAUUUUCAACUGCACUCCAGAGGUCAAGUGCUUGGACAUAUGUCCUCAUCUUAACUACCCAAAUGUGGUAGUUAUCUCCAGCAAAAACUGGUGGUGGAGGAGGUGCAAAACUCAUGCUGCUGAAACUGACUUUGCAAGCACGAUACUGACUUUGUUUUGAAAACUAAAACAUAAACAACAGAGGUCCUCAAAGAUAGGAGGCUCUGAUUACCAUUUGUUGGAUAAAUGACAGCAAAUAAGACACAACAAAUGAAACUUUGUUUUGCAUAAGCUCACCAAACAGCAAGUCAAAGCAAAAGAAAACAAAAAUGAAAACAAAGAUCAGCAAGUAACCGAUGAAGCCAAUUCAAAAAUUUCAUUAAAAGCUUUGAAAUAUAUUUGUUACAAAAGUAGUAUGACAGUUACCUAACUUAUGUAACUGCUCCCAUCAGUUUUAGCAACUUCCAAUACAAAAAUAAUACAAAUUCAAAAGCUGAUUGAUUCAGCUGUACAUCUAUCAAAUUCAUAUCUUACUAACUAUGAAAUCAAGUUACAUGUCAACUUGUUCCAUUUACAAAAGGAUUACAAAAUGAAUUAAACAAAAGAAAUGCUCCCGGUCUUGUUAGAAUGCUGGUCUGCUAUGUUGGACAGCACCAUGGUCGACUGUUGCAUUGCAGUCCAUGCUUAACAAGAAAUCAGAAGCAGCCGAUGAAAACAGAACAUUCAAAUUGCUUAAUAAAUGAUGCCGAUGAAAAAUAUAUGAAUAUACGCAUAAAUUUAGUAUUGUCAUUAAAUAUCAUGAGCACUGCACAAAUUUAUCCCAAUUUAAAGAAAAAAAUUCUCUAAAUUUCCAUUUUAUUUGACAUAUCUAGAUUUGUAAUUUGAAACUUUGUUCUUAUUCACUUGAAUUAAAAUUGAUCUAGUCUGAUUUUAUCAUUAAAAAGAGCCAACAACCUAAAUCUUAAUUAAGACGAAUAAAAGCCUAAUCAUGUGGUUUUGUAAGAAAUUAACACUAAGGUAAUCUAAAAUCAAACACCUGAUGAUCUCUCGACUCUCUUAGCUUCUUGCUAGGGAAUUAGAUUACUCUCACACACUAACUAACACAUUUCCCCUAAGGUAGCUACGCUAAUUUUCUUGAAUUCCCCUCUUAAUCACAGCUCUCAUUUCUAGUGAUUUUAUCCCUACACAUUGAUCGACCAAUCAUGCUAAAUCGCUUAAUAAAAUAUCAUACUGGCUGUGUGAAAUGCUGCCAUCGGGGGCAUCCUUCCAAUCAUAAUAGAACUUCUUUGCUGAUUUUUUCUAAGGCCAUUAGAAAAGAAAAUAAAACAAGAGAACACAAUGUGGUUCAAGAAUAUUAUUCCUUAGAACAACAGGUAGAACCAAGAAUGAAAAUUACAUCAUAAAAUAAAAUACCUCACCACAAUAACCAUUCACAAACUUUGAGCAAGGUUCUAAAAGGUCAUCGACGGUAGACUUUGCAACUCCGGUACCAUUUGACUUUCAACCCCUCAUCAAAUUUUGUGGUUCUCAAAGCUGAGUGAAUGUAGAAGGCUAAAUAAAUAACAUAUUUGGAUCCUCCACUUUUUUUUAUGAAGGUUUCCUUGAAGUGCCCUAUAAGAGUAUGAUAAUGCUAAUCAUUAGAGUUUCGGAUUAUAGAUUAAACAAAAAAUGAAAAGUUUCAAGUAGCAUUGGUAUUUUGAAAGGGUUAAUUCAAGGCCAUUUUCUCACCAAUUUUUCUACCUUGAUUCCACACAAUCCACAUGAUCAAAAAUGUAAAUUCUCAUCAAGUGAAUUGAUGCAGCUCAAAAGUAGCCUUCUAAUGAUUUCGUUGUGUUAAUGCCUAAAUUGAGCUCUCUAAUGCCAUGCCGUAGUGUGUAGUGUAUCCUUCCUGUAAGGAUCAAUACCAUGUUUAUAGUGGUUAUGAAAUCUGUUGACACUGAUAUCCUUACUCAAUAACCACGAAGAUCUGUAAACUAUUACGUAAAGACUUGUUCUUCUAGAAAACCUUUGGGUAAUAUUUGACAUAGAUAUGUAAAACAGUUUAUAAAAUUUUGCAUAUAUUUAAAAGGUCAUAUCUUUUAUACUCAUCAAGGUGAAAGUAAGAGACAUGAUUUAAAUAGUUCAUUUGCACUCACUUUUAAAGGUGGAUUCUUGAGGUUUUAGCUAAAGUUAAAAAAAGCUUGAAUUCAAUUUAACAACUGGGACUCGAAGCUUGACUCAAGUUAGAUCGAGUUUCAGUUUUAAUGUAGAGCUCAAUUUUGAUAUAAAAAAUUACUUAAGUUCGUUAUAUUAGAUUCGUUUACCAAAUAAAAUGAAAAAAAAAGGGUCAAAUUCUAUUAUAAUAUAUGAUAGGAUCAUAAAUUAAAUCCUUAAUUAUAGUUAUUAAGCUUGCAUUUUUUCCACUAAUGUCAAGAAAUUAAUUUUUUAUUGGGAAACAUUUUUAUAUUAGUUAAUUAUGAGAAACCAUUUUUAUGUGAAAGUGUGUUUAACUAAUUAUAUUAUAGAAAAGUAUAUUUGAUAAUAGGCUCAAUUUACAUGUUUAUUGUGCUUAAAUUUGUUAAAUUCUUUAAUGAGAUAUCAUUAAUUUUGGGUUUAUUAUUUGAUUUUUGAUUAGGUGCAAAAGCAAACUUAGAAAGUAAAAAAGAGUCAGAAAUGCAAGUUGUCGUAAAAGUUUUGGGCCAUACCUAGAACAGUGAACAACAAACACGACUAACGUGACUCAAACCCAAACCAUGCCUCGGACAGUGAACACUCUUGAUCAUCUGGCCAUCAUAUAGAGUUCGGAAAAGAAAGAGAGUACUUUUAAUUUUUUAUUAGGAUAAUAUUUUAAUUUUCUAGCAUUUUAUCUUUUGAUAUAUUUUUAGAUAACACUUUAAUAUUGGAUUAGAUUAAAGAAUUUAAGUAGGAUUAGGUAUAUUCUAAAAGGGACAGCAAUUCAAUUGCUUUCUUUUCUUCUCUGUUUCUAAUUCUGUUCUUUCUUUCUCUGGCACAAUAUUGUGCCGCCACGCCACCCUCCCCUAUUUUUUUUCCUUUCUUUUAUUUAAUUUUUGUUGAACCCUUUAUACGAGUAUGCUUAAUUUCAUGAGUAAUUAAACUUCCCAUCUAGCUUUAAGUCGAGAGUCGUAAGAUUUGUACUUUAAAACCUUCAUUUCAAUAUUUGUUAUUUCUCUGGUUUAGAAGAUAAAUAUUAUCGUCUCAUACAAUUGUUUUGGCACUAAAUGAGAUCAUUGCUUUGGUUUUAAUAAAGAAUCAAUACUAUCAAUUGUCGUAUUCGAUCUACCAAAAAAUAUAUUGGUGUGUCCAAUUAAGUGGUUGAUGUAAAUAGUACUUAAACAAAUAACUACACGGAUGGUAAGGAUGAGUAAAAACUUUUAAUAUCAUCCAUAUCUUUUAUAGGUGGUGUAUUGCUAUGUAGUAUACACUUAAUGGGUUGGCCUAUAUGAGUGUGUAGUGAGGCCGCUUCUAUGAGAUCUUUGGCAAUCGUUAAAGCACUCAUAAAAACUAGGCACGUGCAUGACCUAUUAGCACACAAUCGCAUUGAAGAAUGAAUCAUAAAUAUAAUGUGAUAAGUGUGAAAGUUAAUUUGGAAAUUAAAUAAUUAGUUCAAAAACUUAUUUCAUCAAUUAUUUAAGUAAAUCAUGUCUCAUUUGUUAAAAAUUCUGGUUCGCAGUACAAAUGACAAUAUGAUUAUUCAAUAUAUUGAAACACUCACUUAAAAUUAUAAAUUAAAUCUUUGAAAUAUGUGGGAAAUUAUUGGAAGUUUUCAUGUAUCUCAAAGAACUACAAACAUCUCACAUUGCUAAAAAAAGAUCUGAGUCAUUAUUUAUUAAGUCAUUAUACUUCUUUGAACUUAAUAAGAAUCAAAUUGACAGAGUAGACUCGUGCCCAUUCAAGCCUUUUUGUUUUUGGGCUUAUUUUUUAUUGAAGUUUUGAGAGUCAAAGAAAAGUGAACUUGUAACACCUAUAUUUAAUCAUGCUAAAUAUAAUUUAAUCGAUUGAAGCUAUUUUUAAUUAAGUCCAAAUUCAUUGAACUAUUUUCAAACUAGUUUUAGCUAAUUCAAUCAACUUACCUUUGCUAUAUUAAGCCAAUGAAAUCCCUAUAAAUACAAUGCAUGGCAGUUUUCAAAGUUACUCAUUAGCUUUCACGUUCUCAUCUAAAUUUCUUCUGUAUUCUCUUUAGAAAAACCUUCCUCCUACAAUCUCAAUUGAGUGUUUAAUUGGUCGGCUCUUUAGAAAAGCCUUCAAGGAUAAUGAUAUUCACGCCUCAAGUCGUGAUUCUAAUUUUCUAAACCUCUGAUUUCUUAAGAGAACGUCAAAGGCAACAACCAGUCAAAUUUUAAGUUCAAUUACAUGAAUUCACAAACUUAUAGAGUUUAUUAUUAUUAUUUUAUUUUGAAUCAAAAGUUUUCAAUUCAAGCUUGAAUUAUAAGUCCAAUUUUAAUUUUGUUAUUCAAGCUUUAUCUCAAAUCAAGCUCAAGCUUUUAAAAGUGAAAUUUAUUAUUCAAGUUAAGUUUUGACUUGAUUACACGGUUAGUGUAAAUCGUACAAAUGUAAAGUAUAAUAUAAUUAUAUAAAUUUUGAUACUAUAAUAAUUUCAAUUUUAAAAUUUUAACACAACUAUGGUCUAAAAUAUCCCAUUAUCAAGAAGCUUAGAAAUUAGAAGAUGCAGAUGAAAACAGAGCAUUCAAUUUGCUGAAUAAAUGUUGCAGAGAAUUAAGCUAUAGCAAAUCAGUUGAAUAUAGCUUUUAGUGCCUGCAAAAUUGAAUACAAAAUAUAUACGAUUGAUUGCUAUUAUCAUCUUGUUCCUGAGGACAGUCAGAUACGUGGAACUAAAACAGCCAAUGUUUAAAACGGUUUCAUACCUGUGAUACAACAUAAGGUAUGUGGGAAAUCUUGGACCACUCUCGUCCUUUACCCCUAAAAGUGGACAUAAUUAAAAAGGAAAACUUGUCUGUGGUAGAAAAUGAGGGGCUUUAAUUAAAUUACAACCAACCAGGAUGAACUCUGUUUCUGGAUUGAAAUAUUGGAAUUGGUAAUCAGUGACUUAUUCACUAAAAACUAACUAUUCUGUCACCUUAUAUUCUUCCUAUAAUUUCAGGUUUAAUCCUGUUGAUUUAUACAUUCAGUCCACUGCAAUAUGAACCCAUGAAAACCACACUAAACGAAACUGACUGUUUAAGGAUCCCAUUCAUAUGAUGCAGCACUGCAAUGGGUAAUUAAACUGACUGUUUAAUCCAGUUUCUGUACACUAUGCUUCUUCAAAAUCAUGCCUAGCCGAACUCUCUGACAUUGUGGACCGCAAGCGCACUCAAGGACAUAUUGUUCUUCCCAUCUUUUACCAUGUUGAUCCCUCGGAGGUUCAGCAUCUUAGUGGGAGUAUCAAGACAUACUUUGAUGACCAUGAAUCAAAGAGGCCUGUUGAUGAAGUGAAGCGAUGGAAAACUGCCUUUGUUGAAGUCUGUAAAUUAAUUGGGUGGCAUAUAGGAGGAAAAUUCGACAAGCAAUUAUAUAGUUUCUUUUUCAUUUUCUUAUAUAUUUAACUUUCUUUUUUUUGGUUUAUUUGCUAGGCUUGAAUUCGAGUACAUUAAAGAUAUUGUUGAAUAUGUUAUAAAAAGAAGAUGACAAAUAGAGAGUCCAAAAGUGCUUCUUAAGAAUUUGUUGGAAUAGAUGAUCAAUGAAGGAUGAUUUUGAGGCCAACUGAGGAAGAAGACAAUCCUAUAUUAGGAUGAUUUUGAGGCUGAUUGAUGAAGACGACAUUUGUUUGUGAGUUUUAUGUUUUGUCUUUGGGUUUGUGCUUGUUAAUUGUUGAAUGGAUUCUCGUUCAAUAAGUUUGUAGGCGAUCCAACUUGAAAAUUAGGAUUAACACUGUGUGGUGCACAGAUUCUUGCGUGAUCGUGUCUUGCUUGUUGAUGCUUGAAAGUUGAAAGAUUCUUAUAUGCUUAUGUUAAACUUGAUGCAUUUUUAAGAUUAGGGUAGGAUGUGAUUUUUAUGUGACUAAUCUAUGUUUGAUAUUUUAAAGGUAAACUACCCGUUAGUUACUCUAAAUAAUGGUCGUUUCUAUUUUCUCACCUUAAUGGAAAUCAAUCAAAUUACAACUCAACUUACUUUUAUGCUUAAAAAAAAAUAAUCAUCCAAGAAAAUAAAUAUAUAUAAGUUUUAUAGACUGUUGCAAACUAAUAUACACUCAUAUAAGCUGAUAUUAACUAAAACAAAUCAAAACACAAUGAAAUUUCAACUGAAACGAAACUUAAACUACUUUAUAUUAAUUCAAUAUUGAGAGGAAUUCAAUAUUGAGAGGAUAGCCAAUUAUUAAGAAAAGAAAAAUAAUGAAAAUCAAUCAAAUUAUAGGUCAACUUACUUUCAUGCUUACAAAAAAAAUUGCUAAAAUUAAAAAUUGAAAAAAAAACCCAAAUUUCAAUUAUUAAAAAUCAUCUAUAAUAUAUAUAUAUAAGUAUAAUACUAUAUUAUAUACCUAGUGCUGGACCAUUGAUAGACCUUGCCGGUGCUUGAAAAAAUAAUAACCCCAACCUCUGCAUCACAUGAAAUGGACAAUUCUUUAGCUUUCUUCAACAACCCAUUUUGCCUCUUUGAAAUGUUGAGAAUAAUUCAAAAUAAUAUUGGUGGGAUGUUUAGAAAAUCUUGGUAGUAUCUUGGUAGUUUCAGAUUUUCUAGUUUGACUAAAUAAUUUGUUAGCUAUUUUUAUCUUAAGUUAGUUUUCAUGUAAGCCUAUAAAUAUAGGCAUUUAUUCUUUGUUUUUUACUCAUUCAGAAUUCAUUAAUAAGAGAGCAACUUUCCUACAUAUUAUUCUAUCUUUCUCACGUUUUAUUCUCCAACAACUUUGGCAUCGGAGCCAGGUUGGAUCCUUUAGGCAAUUGAGUGAAAGUGAGGUUUGGGUCCAUUAGGGUCUUUGGGAAACACGAGAGAAAAGAGUGAGUGUUUUUGGAAUGGCAUCAGCUGGUUUUUCUUCCUCUCAACCACUCAUACCCAUUUUCAAUGGUGAGAAAUAUGAGUGGUGGAGCAUCAAGGUGAGGACAUUGCUCAAAUCGCAAGAGCUAUGGGACUUGGUGGAGUACGGGUUCGUUGACAUACUUGAACCUGAUGAAGAAGAAGAUAGGAGGUUGAAAGAAGUCAGGAAAAAUGAUGCUAAGGCAUUGUUCAUUAUCCAGCAAGCAGUUCAUGACUCUAUUUUCUCUCGAAUUGCAGCAGCAACCACAUCGAAUGAAGCAUGGUCAAUCUUGCAGAAAGAAUAUCAAGGUGAUUCAAGAGUCAUAGUAGUGAAAUUACAAUCACUACGACGUGAUUUUGAGACCUUAAUGAUGAAGAAUGGUGAAUCAAUUGCUGAUUUUUUGUCACGAACAAGGACAAUAGUCGGUCAAUUGCGCUCCUAUGGUGAGAAAAUUUCAGACGAGACAAUUGUAGCAAAAGUCUUGCGAAGCUUAACGACAAAAUUUGAUCAUGUUGUGGCUGCUAUAGAAGAGUCCAAAGAUCUGUCAGUUCUUUCCGUUGAUGAACUGAUGGGAUCUCUUCAAUCUCAUGAGGCGAGAAUCAAUAGAUCAGCAGAAAGGAGUGAAGAGAAUAGUGAAGAUAAGGCAUUUCAAGUGAAAGGUGACAAUAACCGUUCAACAAAUAGAGGACGAGGAAGAGGAGGAUUUCGUAGAGGUCGUAGCGGUGGCUAUGGCAGAAGCAGAGGCAAAGGAAGGUAUGAUGGACAAAGGCAAUCGAAUGAGCAAGGUAACACAAAAAAUGGCAUUCAAUGUUACCAUUGCAAUAGAUAUGGGCAUGUAAAAGCUGAUCAUUGGUAUAAAGAUCAAAAAAUGAAUUUUGCAUCAGAAAGUGAGGAAGAAAACAAGCUUUUUAUGGCUUGUAUUGAUACUAACCAUAAGUCAAGUGAUUGGUGGUUUGUGGACAGCGGUUGUUCGAAUCACAUGACGGGUACCAAAUCCUGAUUCAAGGAGCUCGACGAAUCACAAAAGCUAAAGGUGCAACUUGGAAACAAAAGGGAGAUGCAAGUUGAAGGAAAAGGCACUGUGGAAAUCGUUAAUAGCCAUGGAGAAGGAAAAAUGUUGGACAGUGUUCAGUUUGUUCCUGAUUUAGGAUACAAUUUAUUGAGUGUUGGACAACUAAUGGCUGGUGGAUAUGCUGUCGUAUUUUAUGAUGGUGCAUGUAUCAUCAAAAACAAAAAAUCAGGCAAACGAGUCCAUGUCAACAUGACACCAAACAAGAUGUUUCCGUUGGAUGUUUCAAACAUGGAGAACUUUGUUCUUGCUGCAAGUACAAAGGAUGACUCGAAGCUAUGGCAUUUGAGGUAUAGUCAUCUCAAUAUUAAAGGCCUGAAAUUACUGAGUGAUAAAGGUAUGGUUCUUGGACUACCGAAAAUUGUCUCUCUUGAUUUAUGUGAGGGGUGCAUUUAUGGAAAGCAAACUAGGAAGCCAUUUCCUGUUGGAAAAGCAUGGAGAGCUACUGAAUGUUUAGAAUUAAUUCAUGUUGAUCUAUGUGGUCCUAUGCAAACCGAGUCCUUGGGUGGGAGCCGUUACUUCUUGCUGUUUACUGAUGAUUAUAGUCGCAUGAGCUGGGUGUAUUUUUUGGAAAACAAGUCAGAAACUUUUGAAAAGUUCCAGAAAUUCAAGGUUAUGGUGGAGAAUCAAAGUGGCUGCCAUAUCAAAGUUCUUCGCACAGAUCGAGGUGGAGAGUUCAUGUCCAAAGAGUUUAAUAUGUUUUGUGAGGACAGUGGCAUCCAUAGGGAGUUAACAAUUCCUUACACUCCUGAGCAGAACGGUGUCGCUGAGCGGAAGAAUCGAACUGUUGUGGAGAUGACAAGAAGCAUGUUACAAGCGAAGGGACUCUCAAAUCAGUUUUGGGCGGAAGCUGUGGCAACAUCUGUCUAUCUACUGAAUCUCUCACCAACAAGGGCUGUCAUGAAUAAAACUCCAUAUGAAGCUUGGUGUGGUAGGAAACCUAAUGUAAGUCAUUUAAGAAUUUUUGGGUGUGUUGCAUACGCUUUAUUAAAUUCUCAUGCUCGUAAAAAGCUUGAUGAAAAGUCUGAAAAAUGCAUUUUCAUUGGUUAUUGUACUCAAUCCAAAGCAUAUAGAUUGUAUAACCCUCAUAGUGGAAAAUUUACAAGUAGAAGAGAUGUAGUGUUUGAUGAAAAUGCAAGCUGGGAUAUGAGUGUAGAACAGGUACAACAGGAGAUUUCUUUUCCCAUCAAAGAUUCUAUAGAUAAAAAGGAGGAGCCUGCACCAGCAAUAUCUACAACACUUGAAGAAUCUUCUGACGAGCCAAUUCCACUAAGGAGAUCAACAAGGGUCAAAAAGCCAAAUCCGAAAUAUGCUGAUGACACUUAUGCAUCCUGCCAAUUUGCCCUAGCCGUUUCAGAUCCUCAGUAUUAUGAAGAAGCUGCUGAUAAGGAAGAAUGGAAAAAGGCAAUGAUGGAGGAGAUACAAUCCAUCGAAAAGAAUAGAACUUGGGAGAUGGUCGACUUGCCGGAAGAUAAAAAUGCAAUUGGUUUGAAGUGGGUGUUCAAGACAAAAUUCGGUGCAGAUGGAAGCAUUCAAAAGCACAAAGCUCGUCUUGUAGCGAAAGGUUAUGCACAGCAAUAUGGUAUUGAUUUCAAAGAAACUUUCUCUCCAGUAGCUCGGUUCGAAACGGUGAGGCUUGUUCUAGCAAUAGCUGCACAAUUGCAAUGGCCUGUUUACCAGUUUGAUGUCAAAUCAGCGUUCCUCAAUGGAGAUCUACAAGAGGAAGUUUACGUAACACAACCAGAAGGUUUCAUAGAGAAGGGAAAUGAAACAAAAUUUUACAAGCUGAAAAAGGCGUUGUACGGAUUGAAGCAGGCCCCUCGAGCAUGGUACAACAAGAUCGAUGGGUAUUUUUAGAAGAAAGGGUACAUGAGAAGUGAGAACGAGCCCACCUUGUACGUGAAAAAGGAAGGUAAAAAUGAUUUCAUCAUUGUUUGUCUUUACGUUGAUGAUAUCAUUUAUACUAGUUCCUCUAACUUACUUGUUGAUGAAUUUAAGUCUCAAAUGAUGAAUGAAUUUGAGAUGUCCGAUAUGGGUUUAUUGCAUUAUUUCCUUGGUCUUGAAAUUCAUCAAGCUGAUGAUGGAAUUUUUAUCUCACAAAGGAAAUAUGCCAAGGAUCUUCUCAGUAAAUUUAGUAUGCUUAAUUGCAAGCCUGCAGCUACACCCAUGAAUAUCAAUGAAAAAUUGCAGCAAGAGGAUGGAGAAGAAAUGGUAGAUGCAAGGAGGUUUAGAAGCUUGGUUGGAGGUUUAAUCUAUUUGACUCACACUAGACCCGAUAUUGCAUUUCCUGUUGGUGUUAUUUCCAGGUUUAUGCAGCAACCUUCAAAGGUUCAUUAUGGAGCAGCAAAACGAGUCUUGCGAUACAUUGCUGGAACUUCGGAGUAUGGCAUAUGGUUCUGGGGUGAUCACAUGGAGUUCUAAGAAGCAAGCUACAACAGUAUUGUCAACCUCAGAGGCUGAAUAUGUAGCAGCAACUGCAACAGCUUGUCAAGCCAUUUGGCUAAGGAGAAUGUUAACCGAUCUCCAACAAGAACAGAAAUGUGCAACUACCAUAUUUUGUGACAACAAAUCCACUAUCUCUAUGACAAAGAAUCCAACAUUUCAUAGUAGAACAAAGUACAUAGAUAUUCGUUAUCAUUUCAUUCGAGAUUUGGUAGCAAAAGAGGAGAUAUCUUUGGAAUAUUGCAACACUGAAGAGCAGCUGGCAGAUAUGUUAACAAAAGCAUUAUCAAAAGAGAAGUUUUGCUAUUUUAGAAGUUUACUUGGUGUCUGCAACUUUGAAUUAAGGGAGAGUUUUGAGAAUAAUUCAAAAUAAUAUUGGUGGGAUGUUUAGAAAAUCUUGGUAGUAUCUUGGUAGUUUCAGAUUUUCUAGUUUGACUAAAUAAUUUGUUAGCUAUUUUUAUCUUAAGUUAGUUUUCAUGUAAGCCUAUAAAAAUAGGCAUUUAUUCUUUGUUUUUUUACUCAUUCAGAAUUCAUUAAUAAGAGAGCAACUUUCCUAAAUAUUAUUCUAUCUUUCUCACUUUCUGAUGCAAAAUUCAUUUUUUGAUCUUUAUACCAACAAUCAGCUUUUACAUGCCCAUAUCUAUUGCAAUGGUAACAUUGAAUGCCAUUUUUUGUGUUACCUUGCUCAUUCGAUUGCCUUUGUCCAUCAUACCUUCCUUUGCCUCUGCUUCUGCCAUAGCCACCGCUACGACCUCUACGAAAUCCUCCUCUUCCUCGUCCUCUAUUUGUUGAACGGUUAUUGUCACCUUUCACUUGAAAUGCCUUCUCUUCACUAUUCUCUUCACUCCUUUCUGCUGAUCUAUUGAUUCUCGCCUCAUGAGAUUGAAGAGAUCCCAUCAGUUCAUCAACGGAAAGAACUGACAGAUCUUUGGACUCUUCUAUAGCAGCCACAACAUGAUCAAAUUUUGUCGUUAAGCUUCGCAAGACUUUUGCUACAAUUGUCUCGUCUGAAAUUUUCUCACCAUAGGAGCGCAAUUGACCGACUAUUGUCCUUGUUCGUGACAAAAAAUCAGCAAUUGAUUCACCAUUCUUCAUCAUUAAGGUCUCAAAAUCACGUCGUAGUGAUUGUAAUUUCACUACUAUGACUCUUGAAUCACCUUGAUAUUCUUUCUGUAAGAUUGACCAUGCUUCAUUCGAUGUGGUUGCUGCUGCAAUUCGAGAGAAACUAGAGUCAUGAACUGCUUGCUGGAUAAUGAACAAUGCCUUAGCAUCAUUUUUCUGACUUCUUUCAACCUCCUAUCUUCUUCUUCAUCAGGUUCAAGUAUGUCAACGAACCCGUACUCCACCAAGUCCCAUAGCUCUUGCGAUUUGAGCAAUGUCCUCACCUUGAUGCUCCACCACUCAUAUUUCUCACCAUUGAAAAUGGGUAUGAGUGGUUGACAGGAAGAAAACAAGCUUUUUAUGGCUUGUAUUGAUACUAACCAUAAGUCAAGUGAUUGGUGGUUUGUGGACAGCGGUUGUUCGAAUCACAUGACGGGUACCAAAUCCUGAUUCAAGGAGCUCGACGAGUCACAAAAUCUAAAGGUGCAACUUGGAAACAAAAGGGAGAUGCAAGUUGAAGGAAAAGGCACUGUGGAAAUCGUUAAUAGCCAUGGAGAAGGAAAAAUGUUGGACAGUGUUCAGUUUGUUCCUGAUUUAGGAUACAAUUUAUUGAGUGUUGGAAAACUAAUGGCUGGUGGAUAUGCUGUCGUAUUUUAUGAUGGUGCAUGUAUCAUCAAAAACAAAAAAUCAGACAAACGAGUCCAUGUCUACAUGACACCAAACAAGAUGUUUCCGUUGGAUGUUUCAAACAUGGAGAACUUUGUUCUUGCUGCAAGUACCAAGGAUGACUCGAAGCUAUGGCAUUUGAGGUAUGGUCAUCUCAAUAUUAAAGGCCUGAAAUUACUGAGUGAUAAAGGUAUGGUUCUUGGACUACCGAAAAUUGUCUCUCUUGAUUUAUGUGAGGGGUGCAUUUAUGGAAAGCAAACUAGGAAGCCAUUUCCUGUUGGAAAAGGAUGGAGAGCUACUGAAUGUUUAGAAUUAAUUCAUGCUGAUCUAUGUGGUCCUAUGCAAACCGAGUCCUUGGGUGGGAGCCGUUACUUCUUGCUGUUUACUGAUGAUUAUAGUCGCAUGAGCUGGGUGUAUUUUUUGGAAAACAAGUCAUUUAAGAAUUUUUGGGUGUGUUGCAUACGCUUUAUUAAAUUCUCAUGCUCGUAAAAAGCUUGAUGAAAAGUCUGAAAAAUGCAUUUUCAUUGGUUAUUGUACUCAAUCCAAAGCAUAUAGAUUGUAUAACCCUCAUAGUGGAAAAUUUACAAGUAGAAGAGAUGUAGUGUUUGAUGAAAAUGCAAGCUGGGAUAUGAGUGUAGAACAGGUACAACAGGAGAUUUCUUUUCCCAUUAAAGAUUCUAUAGAUAAAAAGGAGGAGCCUGCACCAGCAAUAUCUACAACACUUGAAGAAUCUUCUGACGAGCCAAUUCCACUAAGGAGAUCAACAAGGGUCAAAAAGCCAAAUCCAAAAUAUGCUGAUGACACUUAUGCAUCCUGCCAAUUUGCCCUAGCCGUUUCAGAUCCUCAGUAUUAUGAAGAAGCUGCUGAUAAGAAAGAAUGGAAAAAGGCAAUGAUGGAGGAGAUACAAUCCAUCGAAAAGAAUAGAACUUGGGAGAUGGUCGACUUGCCGGAAGAUAAAAAUGCAAUUGGUUUGAAGUGGGUGUUCAAGACAAAAUUCGGUGCAGAUGGAAGCAUUCAAAAGCACAAAGCUCGUCUUGUAGCGAAAGGUUAUGCACAGCAAUAUGGUAUUGAUUUCGAAGAAACUUUCUCUCCAGUAGCUCGGUUCGAAACGGUGAGGCUUGUUCUAGCAAUAGCUGCACAAUUGCAAUGGCCUGUUUACCAGUUUUAUGUCAAAUCAGCGUUCCUCAAUGGAGAUCUACAAGAGGAAGUUUACGUAACACAACCAGAAGGUUUCAUAGAGAAGGGAAAUGAAACAAAAGUUUACAAGCUGAAAAAGGCGUUGUACGGAUUGAAGCAGGCCCCUCGAGCAUGGUACAACAAGAUCGAUGGGUAUUUUCAGAAGAAAGGGUACAUGAGAAGUGAGAACGAGCCCACCUUGUACGUAAAAAAGGAAGGUAAAAAUGAUUUCAUCAUUGUUUGUCUUUACGUUGAUGAUAUCAUUUAUACUAGUUCCUCUAACUUACUUGUUGAUAAAUUUAAGUCUCAAAUGAUGAAUGAAUUUGAGAUGUCCGAUAUGGGUUUAUUGCAUUAUUUCCUCGGUCUUGAAAUUCAUCAAGCUGAUGAUGGAAUUUUUAUCUCACAAAGGAAAUAUGCCAAGGAUCUUCUCAGUAAAUUUAGUAUGCUUAAUUGCAAGCCUGCAGCUACACCCAUGAAUAUCAAUGAAAAAUUGCAGCAAGAGGAUGGAGAAGAAAUGGUAGAUGCAAGGAGGUUUAGAAGCUUGGUUGGAGGUUUAAUCUAUUUGACUCACACUAGACCCGAUAUUGCAUUUCCUGUUGGUGUUAUUUCCAGGUUUAUGCAGCAACCUUCAAAGGUUCAUUAUGGAGCAGCAAAACGAGUCUUGCGAUACAUUGCUGGAACUUCGGAGUAUGGCAUAUGGUUCUGGGGUGAUCACAUGGAGUUCUAAGAAGCAAGCUACAACAGUAUUGUCAACCUCAGAGGCUGAAUAUGUAGCAGCAACUGCAACAGCUUGUCAAGCCAUUUGGCUAAGGAGAAUGUUAACCGAUCUCCAACAAGAACAGAAAUGUGCAACUACCAUAUUUUGUGACAACAAAUCCACUAUCUCUAUGACAAAGAAUCCAACAUUUCAUAGUAGAGCAAAGCACAUAGAUAUUCGUUAUCAUUUCAUUCGAGAUUUGGUAGCAAAAGAGGAGAUAUAUUUGGAAUAUUGCAACACUGAAGAGCAGCUGGCAGAUAUGUUAACAAAAGCAUUAUCAAAAGUGAAGUUUUGCUAUUUUAGAAGUUUACUUGGUGUCUGCAACUUUGAAUUAAGGGGGAGUGUUGAGAAUAAUUCAAAAUAAUAUUGGUGGGAUGUUUAGAAAAUCUUGGUAGUAUCUUGGUAGUUUCAGAUUUUCUAGUUUGACUAAAUAAUUUGUUAGCUAUUUUUAUCUUAAGUUAGUUUUCAUGUAAGCCUAUAAAUAUAGGUAUUUAUUCUUUGUUUUUUACUCAUUUAGAAUUCAUUAAUAAGAGAGCAACUUUCCUACAUAUUAUUCUAUCUUUCUCACGUUUUAUUCUCCAACAACUUUGGCAUCGGAGCCAGGUUGGAUCCUUUAGGCAAUUGAGUGAAAGUGAGGUUUGGGUCCAUUAGGGUCUUUGGGAAACACGAGAGAAAAGAGUGAGUGUUUUUGGAAUGGCAUCAGCUGGUUUUUCUUCCUCUCAACCACUCAUACCCAUUUUCAAUGGUGAGAAAUAUGAGUGGUGGAGCAUCAAGGUGAGGACAUUGCUCAAAUCGCAAGAGCUAUGGGACUUGGUGGAGUACGGGUCCGUUGACAUACUUGAACCUGAUGAAGAAGAAGAUAGGAGGUUGAAAGAAGUCAGGAAAAAUGAUGCUAAGGCAUUGUUCAUUAUCCAGCAAGCAGUUCAUGACUCUAUUUUCUCUCGAAUUGCAGCAGCAACCACAUCGAAUGAAGCAUGGUCAAUCUUGCAGAAAGAAUAUCAAGGUGAUUCAAGAGUCAUAGUAGUGAAAUUACAAUCACUACGACGUGAUUUUGAAACCUUAAUGAUGAAGAAUGGUGAAUCAAUUGCUGAUUUUUUAUCACGAACAAGGACAAUAGUCGGUCAAUUGCGCUCCUAUGGUGAGAAAAUUUCAGACGAGACAAUUGUAGCAAAAGUCUUGCGAAGCUUAACGACAAAAUUUGAUCAUAUUGUGGCUGCUAUAGAAGAGUCCAAAGAUCUGUCAGUUCUUUCCGUUGAUGAACUGAUGGGAUCUCUUCAAUCUCAUGAGGCGAGAAUCAAUAGAUCAGCAGAAAGGAGUUAAGAGAAUAGUGAAGAGAAGGCAUUUCAAGUGAAAGGUGACAAUAACCGUUCAACAAAUAGAGGACGAGGAAGAGAAGGAUUUCGUAGAGGUCGUAGCGGUGGCUAUGGCAGAAGCAGAGGCAAAGGAAGGUAUGAUGGACAAAGGCAAUCGAAUGAGCAAGGUAACACAAAAAAUGGCAUUAAAUGUUACCAUUGCAAUAGAUAUGGGCAUGUAAAAGCUGAUUGUUGGUAUAAAGAUCAAAAAAUGAAUUUUGCAUCAGAAAGUGAGGAAGAAAACAAGCUUUUUAUGGCUUGUAUUGAUACUAACCAUAAGUCAAGUGAUUGGUGGUUUGUGGACAGCGGUUGUUCGAAUCACAUGACGGGUACCAAAUCCUGAUUCAAGGAGCUCGACGAGUCACAAAAGCUAAAGGUGCAACUUGGAAACAAAAGGGAGAUGCAAGUUGAAGGAAAAGGCACUGUGGAAAUCGUUAAUAGCCAUGGAGAAGGAAAAAUGUUGGACAGUGUUCAGUUUGUUCCUGAUUUAGGAUACAAUUUAUUGAGUGUUGGACAACUAAUGGCUGGUGGAUAUGCUGUCGUAUUUGAUGAUGGUGCAUGUAUCAUCAAAAACAAAAAAUCAAGCAAACGAGUCUAUGUCAACAUGACACCAAACAAGAUGUUUCCGUUGGAUGUUUCAAACAUGGAGAACUUUGUUCUUGCUGCAAGUACAAAGGAUGACUCGAAGCUAUGGCAUUUGAGGUAUGGUCAUCUCAAUAUUAAAGGCCUGAAAUUACUGAGUGAUAAAGGUAUGGUUCUUGGACUACCGAAAAUUGUCUCUCUUGCUUUAUGUGAGGGGUGCAUUUAUGGAAAGCAAACUAGGAAGCCAUUUCCUGUUGGAAAAGCAUGGAGAGCUACUGAAUGUUUAGAAUUAAUUCAUGCUGAUCUAUGUAGUCCUAUGCAAACCGAGUCCUUGGGUGGGAGCCGUUACUUCUUGUUGUUUACUGAUGAUUAUAGUCGCAUGAGCUGGGUGUAUUUUUUGGAAAACAAGUCAGAAACUUUUGAAAAGUUCUAGAAAUUCAAGGUUAUGGUGGAGAAUCAAAGUGGCUGCCAUAUCAAAGUUCUUCGCACAGAUCGAGGUGGAGAGUUCAUGUCCAAAGAGUUUAAUAUGUUUUGUGAGGACAGUGGCAUCCAUAGGGAGUUAACAAUUCCUUACACUCCUGAGCAGAACGGUGUCGCUGAGCGGAAGAAUCGAACUGUUGUGGAGAUGACAAGAAGCAUGUUACAAGCGAAGGGACUCUCAAAUCAGUUUUGGGCGGAAGCUGUGGCAACAUCUGUCUAUCUACUGAAUCUCUCACCAACAAGGGCUGUCAUGAAUAAAACUCCAUAUGAAGCUUGGUGUGGUAGGAAACCUAAUGUAAGUCAUUUAAGAAUUUUUGGGUGUGUUGCAUACGCUUUAUUAAAUUCUCAUGCUCGUAAAAAGCUUGAUGAAAAGUCUGAAAAAUGCAUUUUCAUUGGUUAUUGUACUCAAUCCAAAGCAUAUAGAUUGUAUAACCCUCAUAGUGGAAAAUUUACAAGUAGAAGAGAUGUAGUGUUUGAUGAAAAUGCAAGCUGGGAUAUGAGUGUAGAACAGGUACAACAGGAGAUUUCUUUUCCCAUCAAAGAUUCUAUAGAUAAAAAGGAAGAGCCUGCACCAGCAAUAUCUACAACACUUGAAGAAUCUUCUGACGAGCCAAUUCCACUAAGGAGAUCAACAAGGGUCAAAAAGCCAAAUCCGAAAUAUGCUGAUGACACUUAUGCAUCCUGCCAAUUUGCCCUAGCCGUUUCAGAUCCUCAGUAUUAUGAAGAAGCUGCUGAUAAGGAAGAAUGGAAAAAGGCAAUGAUGGAGGAGAUACAAUCCAUCGAAAAGAAUAGAACUUGGGAGAUGGUCGACUUGCCGGAAGAUAAAAAUGCAAUUGGUUUGAAGUGGGUGUUCAAGACAAAAUUCGGUGCAGAUGGAAGCAUUCAAAAGCACAAAGCUCGUCUUGUAGCGAAAGGUUAUGCACAGCAAUAUGGUAUUGAUUUCGAAGAAACUUUCUCUCCAGUAGCUCGGUUCGAAACGGUGAGGCUUGUUCUAGCAAUAGCUGCACAAUUGCAAUGGCCUGUUUACCAGUUUGAUGUCAAAUCAACGUUCCUCAAUGGAGAUCUACAAGAGGAAGUUUACGUAACACAACCAGAAGGUUUCAUAGAGAAGGGAAAUGAAAUAAAAGUUUACAAGCUGAAAAAGGCGUUGUACGGAUUGAAGCAGGCCCCUCGAGCAUGGUACAACAAGAUCGAUGGGUAUUUUCAGAAGAAAGGGUACAUGAGAAGUGAGAACGAGCCCACCUUGUACGUGAAAAAGGAAGGUAAAAAUGAUUUCAUCAUUGUUUGUCUUUACGUUGAUGAUAUCAUUUAUACUAGUUCCUCUAACUUACUUGUUGAUGAAUUUAAGUCUCAAAUGAUGAAUGAAUUUGAGAUGUCCGAUAUGGGUUUAUUGCAUUAUUUCCUCGGUCUUGAAAUUCAUCAAGCUGAUGAUGGAAUUUUUAUCUCACAAAGGAAAUAUGCCAAGGAUCUUCUCAGUAAAUUUAGUAUGCUUAAUUGCAAGCCUGCAGCUACACCCAUGAAUAUCAAUGAAAAAUUGCAGCAAGAGGAUGGAGAAGAAAUGGUAGAUGCAAGGAGGUUUAGAAGCUUGGUUGGAGGUUUAAUCUAUUUGACUCACACUAGACCCGAUAUUGCAUUUCCUGUUGGUGUUAUUUCCAGGUUUAUGCAACAACCUUCAAAGGUUCAUUAUGGAGCAGCAAAACGAGUCUUGCGAUACAUUGCUGGAACUUCGGAGUAUGGCAUAUGGUACUCAAAAACUUUAGAUUUCAGAUUGUGUGGGUUCACAGACAGUGAUUGGGCAAGUUCUCUAGAUGAUAGAAGAAGUGUAUCAGCAUUUGUUUUUACUCUAGGUUCUGGGGUGAUCACAUGGAGUUCUAAGAAGCAAGCUACAACAGCAUUGUCAACCUCAGAGGCUGAAUAUGUAGCAGCAACUGCAACAGCUUGUCAAGCCAUUUGGCUAAGGAGAAUGUUAACCGAUCUCCAACAAGAACAGAAAUGUGCAACUACCAUAUUUUGUGACAACAAAUCCACUAUCUCUAUGACAAAGAAUCCAACAUUUCAUAGUAGAACAAAGCACAUAGAUAUUCGUUAUCAUUUCAUUCGAGAUUUGGUAGCAAAAGAGGAGAUAUAUUUGGAAUAUUGCAACACUGAAGAGCAGCUGGCAGAUAUGUUAACAAAAGCAUUAUCAAAAGAGAAGUUUUGCUAUUUUAGAAGUUUACUUGGUGUCUGCAACUUUGAGUUAAGGGGGAGUGUUGAGAAUAAUUCAAAAUAAUAUUGGUGGGAUGUUUAGAAAAUCUUGGUAGUAUCUUGGUAGUUUCAGAUUUUCUAGUUUGACUAAAUAAUUUGUUAGCUAUUUUUAUCUUAAGUUAGUUUUCAUGUAAGCCUAUAAAUAUAGGCAUUUAUUCUUUGUUUUUUACUCAUUUAGAAUUCAUUAAUAAGAGAGCAACUUUCCUACAUAUUAUUCUAUCUUUCUCACGUUUUAUUCUCCAACAUGAAAACGUUACUUGCCUGCUAUUCAAAUUUUCAAUAUUUUUUAUUUCAAUUUUCCCUCUACCCAUCUGAAAAUUUUCUUCUUUCCUUUACUUUUCCCGGAAAUUUUUAAAAGAAAAGAUAAACCCCAGAUAUUUUUUUCUUAAAUUUUGAAAAAAACCAAAGGUUUUUAUAACAACAAACAGAUCAAAGAAAAUAAGGCAAAAAAUUUAGGGGAUUGUAAAAGGAUUCUUUUUUUAGGAGAAAAGAAAAUAAGUAAGUAAUGUUUAUAUAUAACAAUUGUUUUCUUAAAUGGAAAUGGAAAAUGAUAUGGAAAAAGAAAAUAUGUGACCAAAAUUAGGGUGAAAUCUUGAAAGGUGACAGAUUUGAUACUAUAUCUAGCAAUUAUCCAACUAUGGAAACUCUAUUUAUUAUACCUUUAGUUUUUUUUUCUAUUUAUCUUAAAUUCUCUACCUUCUUACUCUGCUGUUUUUGGCAUUUCAACUCAAAAUGGAUUUUAUCUUUGCUUUGGGUUUCUUUUUUUAAAUAUAAAAAGUGGUUUUUAAUUAUUUAUAUAUUAUUAAUGUGUUUUAACAAUUUUUGUUAGUGAAUAUUGAUUUUUUUUUUGUGAAUUAUAAUAUGAGGGUAAAGCCCUAACAACACGACUAGAGUGAUUCAAAUUUAGGCCACUCCUGAGACGUUGAACACAAGUAUUUCACGAGGACAUAUAACACAUGUUUUUUAAAUUCAUGGCUAAAAUAAUAAUAAUAACCUCUUUAUUUUAUUGUAUUCAAAUAAUAAAAUAAACCAUGGUUUUAGUCGUACCGGCCGGUGCCGCCGUUCUACUGUUAUAGCGCAACAAGCAACACCCUUUCCAUACUAAUAAAAAUUUUGGUUUGUACCGUUCGCAUUGGCCGGAACAUGGUACACCUGCUACUACAUGGAUAAUGUUAAAAAAUAUAAAACUUUUAACUAUUUUCUAUUAGACUAAAUAUUUAAUUGAAAUGUAUUGACCAAUAAAAAAAUAUUACAUUAGAAAGUAAAGUUUAACAUUUAAAAUUUUUUUUGAAGCAUACUUUUUCAUUUAAAAUAUAACAAUUAAAAUAUAAUAAAAAAACCCCACUCACCUCGUUAUCAUAGAAAAAUCUUCACUCACCCUUCAGCCUUUUUUAUUGAAAAAACACCCUCAUCCUUCGAUUUCUUUUUUUCUUCUUAAUUUUGAAUUUAUUGAAGGGUAAACUACUAAAAUAGUCAUUUUUGUUUACCUCAGGUUACAUUUUAGUCACUUACGUUAUCGUAUUGUAACAUUUUAGUCACUUAGCCGUUAAUUGCCAUUAACAGUAUAACGGUAAGCUGGCGUGGCAUGUUAAAUCAUCAUUUUAAAUAAAAAUUUUAGGUUAAAUUAUACAAUUGAUCCCUAUAUUUUUCAUUUUGAGCAAUUUAAUUUUUUCUUUUUUGUUUUUUAACUUCCUUUUUUUUCCUCAUUUUCCAUUCUCUUUUGUUUCUUCCUCUAUUUUCCUCCCUUUUCUAUUUUUUUAACAUAAAUUUUUUAUUUUUUUCAUUUGUUAAAACUAGUCCCUAUACUUUAAUUUUUUUGAACAAUUUAAUUUUUUUCCUUUUUAUUUUUAUUCACAAUUGUCUAUAAUAAGCAAAAAAAAAUUAAAAAUCUUUAUUUUGGAUUUUCAUUGAAGAUCAAUACAAAAUUUUUAACUUUCCUUUUUUUCUUUAUUUUCUAUUCUCUUCUGUUUCUCCCUCUAUUUUCCUCCUUCUCUGUUUCUUUUAACAUAGUUUUUCUAUAUUUUUCAUUUGUUAAAACUAGUCUCUAUACUUUUAUUUUGGUAUUGGGUAUUUCUUGUACGUUCUGUUUAAUCUUCCUUUUGAUUAGUUUUUAAUAUAUUUUCAACUUAGAGUAAUGAUUUUGUAUUGAUCUUCAAUGAAAACCUAGAAUAAAGAUUUUUUUAAAUCUUUUUUUGCUUGUUGUAAACAAUUGUGAAUUGGAGUUUUUGAUAUUUUAAACUUAUUGUUGAUGCUAUACAAAGGAUCCAAAAAUAGAUUAUUAUGGUGAUUUUAUAGAAUUGCUUGGACCUGAUAUUUCAAUGAAGAUUCUCAUGAUACUGGUUAACACUUCUGAUCCCACUAGAGUUAACUUGAUUUCUAGUUUUCGGCACCGAUUUGGUAAACAAAUUAAUGUCUUUGGUAGAAUUUAGCUUGGUGUUCUAUUAUAUAUUGAAAAAGAAUCGGUAUUGAUUAAUUCAAUAAGAUCGAUUUUAUUCAUCUUGCAAUGAUAAAAAACGGUCUUUGGGUUUACACAUAGAGUAUGUAAUCAAAGAUAAUUUGCUUUAACAAAUAAAGAAAUAAAAAAAAUUAAAUUGUUCAAAAAAAUAAAAGUAUAGGGACUAGUUUUAACAAAUGAAAAAUAUAAAAAAAACAACAUUAAAAGAAAUGGAGAAGGGAGGAAAAUAGAGGGAAAAGAAAAAAAGAAUGGAAAAUAAAGGGAAAAAAAGAAAAGUUAAAAGAACAUAAAAUAAAAGAAUUAAAUUGUUCAAAAUGAAAAAAUAUAGAGACCAAUUUUAUAAUUUAACCUAAAAUUUUCAUUUGAAAUGAUGAUUUAAAGUGCCACAUCAGCUUACUGUUACAGUGUUAACGGAAAUUAAUGGCUUAGUGACUAAAAUAUUACAAUACAAUAAUGUAAGUGACUAAAACGUAACAUUUCAAACAUAAGUGACUAAAAUGUAACUUGAGGCAAACAAAAAUGACUAUUUUAAUAGUUUACCAUUUAUUGAAUGAUGAGUUUUUUAUAUAAUUCAUGAAUAGUUUUAUAUUAAAAAUUUUAUUUAUAAUAAUUUAUUUGAUAUUUAUAUAUUUAUUUAUAUAAAUAUAUUAAAUAUUUUUAAAAAUAUCGAUAUAUUCGAAAUGAUACAUAAAAUAGACUAGUACCAAUACAGACCCGUUGUCAUAGAAAAGUGGUGCUUCCACCAAUGUGAUAAUGGCUACCUUGAAAACAACCAUGUGGCAUAGUUAUUUGCAAAGAAAUGGGUUAAAGCAUGCUGAGUUAGUAUUGUGGGUGACUAUAAUGUUUGAUGCUUUGUUUUCUUUGAAUAUUUUGCUUUGAUGCUUUUUAUCUGUGCUGAUCUUUGAGUGCAACUAUUGAGAUAUAUAUGGCCAUCUGAAAUUUUAUGAUUUGCUAUGCAUUGAUUGUGGUUGUUUUAUUAAUAAAUUUUUGUUUUGGAUUGAGAAAAAGAAUAAGAAAUUCGAAACACAAAAAGGAAAGUAGAGAAAGUGAACACAAUAAUAUACGUGGUUCGGGAAUAUUCCCUACAUCCACGGGCAGGACCAAAAACGAAAUUCACUACUAAAAAUUGGAGAUUACAAUGGAAUUACAUCAUAAAAAUAAAAAACCUUGCCAAUAACUAUCCACAAACUUUGAAUGGAUUCAUGGUCUGAGAAAUUCGGAAAACUAAGAUGGACAUCUUUGAGAUUGGACAGAACAAAAUAUUUUGGAAACUCUAUUGUCUUACAUGUGUUAAAUAUUUUGCUCUCUAAUGCCAUGUUGUAACGUGUACUGUAUCCCUCCAUUAAUCCUGGAAGCAUCAAACUAUCACGUAAAAGACUUGUUCUUCUGAAAAACCAUUGGUUAAUAGUACUACGAAAUGUCAAAUAUUUUUAACUAAAAUCCCAUUCUCAUAUACCAAAAUAGCUUAGAAAUUAGAAGAUGCAAAUGAAAACAGAAUAUUCAAUUUGCUGAAUAAAUGUGGCAGAGAAUUGACUAACCACUUUACUAAAUCAAAUAAGCUGAAGCAGAUGAGUUGAAGUUCACUAUUUUUCGCCAAUUUAGCCUUCAAUGCCUGCAAAAAUUGAAUACAAAAUAUAUAAGACUCAUUUCUGUCAUCAUGUUGUUAAUGAGGACAAUCAGAUAUAUAAAAAAUAAAGCUAUGAAAUUUAUAAAUGUUUAAAAUGCGUUUCACACCUGUGGUUUGAGUGUGGAGAAAUUGAUACUAGAUUUUGCUCGAGAUGUGGGAAAUCUUGGAUGACUGUAUAUAAAUUGAUACCAAAUUUAUAAAUAUAUAAAUUUCAAUACCUCGGGAAGACUGUAUUCUUAUCAAUUUGAACAUAAGGUAUGUGGGAAAUCUUGGACCACUCUCGUCCUUUACUCCUACUGCACCCUUCUUCUAGCAACGGGCAAUGCUGAAUAGAUAGAUGCUCAAGCGAGAGAAGCAUAUCUUUUUCUGGAAGAGAGGCGAGCUUAGGACAAUCAUAGAUGCUCAAUUGUUGAAGAGAGGUUAGGUGUUGUAAGCCCUUGGAGCACAUGAGUUCCAAAUUCUCAAAACUUCCAAUGAAAAUAGAUGUGAGAGAAGGAGGCAGCAUCAUUCCUAUCGCUUCUUCUGGAAAUGACACCACACGUGAGCAUCCUUCACCGCUGAUGUCGAGUUUUUGAAGAGAGGUGAGUCUGUAAAAUCCCCAUUCAACAAUUGAUGUAUAAAUUUUGGGUGCUUUUGAGAUUUCAAGUGAUGUGAGGUUGGUAGGGAAACCCUCUUCUGGAAAGGAUAUGUCAGCCGAACAAUAAGACACCUUUAAUUCUCGAAGGGAGGUGAAGUUGUUGAGGCACUUGGGAAGGGCUCUAAAAUUUUCACAAUCCUUAAUUAAGAGAAAUCUGAGAUUUGUGGUGGGCAACCCACUUUCUUCAAAUGAAACCAUAUUCGGAAACCUAUAUAAUUGAAUCUCCUGAAGAUGGCUGAGCUUGUCUAAUCCCCGCGGUAAUGAUUUAAUUUUUUCAGCACCCCAAAUACGAAUGCUUUCGAGAUCAAUGGUUUCAAGGAAGUCUUGGGCUAUGCAUUCCAACACUGGACAAACCUGAAUAAAUAGCUGUUUAAGCAUUACGGGUAACUUGGCGUUUAAAAAUAACCUACCUAGCUUUGAACAACGGAAAAUAUGGAGAUGUUGAAGCCGAUUGCAUAUAUCGCCCCUUGAUGAUAACCAUUUUAGAGAUGGACAGUUGAUUAUUUCCAAGCGCUCAAGAAGAUAAGUGUUGCUACUCAUAGUCUUAUUAUUAUUUUCUUUUUCAUCAACCAAAUAUUGCAAAUUCACGCAAUUCCCAAUCCUCAGCUCUUUUAAAGCAGGAGGAAAGUUACUCUCUUCAAAACAAACCAAGCCUGGACAGUUUUCAAGUUGUAUUCUUCUAAUGAAUGGGAAAGCACGUAAGGCUUGUGGUAGUCUAUUGAGCCUUUCACAAAAACUUAUAUACAGAGAUUCAACACCUGGAAUCUUGUCAAGUUGCAAUCUCUCCUCCUCUGUUUCCAAAGAGACCAAUUGCGGACAAAUCGAAAUCUCGAUGAAACGAUGCCCGAUUAAUCUUAACCCAAUUUGCGAUAAAGAUCCCAGCUCCUUCCAACCAGAGAUCUUGAAUGUUUCGGAGUUUGCAAAUCUCAACAUUAUCCUCUCUGCUGAAAUAUUAAAAUUUGAAAUAUUUGAAACAGACACAUCUUUCAAGGAGGUAACCUUCUGUACAGACAAAGAACCUUCAUCAACCAAUUCUUCACACCCUUCAACCCUUAAUUCACACAGCAAGGGAAAACUUGAAAUUGAAACUACCAGUCUCUUACACUCAUAGAUUUCAAGUGUCUGCAAGGAUUGAAGGAUGGUUGGCAACCUUCCCAGCAAUAGAGGACAUUCUCUGAUUGAAAGAAAACGAAGGCUGGGGAAUUUCGAUACUUGCUCAUCAUCUUCACAUAGGUCCCACUCCUCCCAAUUCAGCAUAUUGUCAAAACGCAGAGACUCUAAUGAUGCAAAAGCAUUUGAUUGAUUUUCUCCAAACAACUCAGCACCAAUCUUGUGUACUUGAUCCAAACCACUAAUUGAAAGAUCUUUUAACAACAACAGCCUUCCAAUCGAUGGUAGAGAUUUGCAAUUUUUACAGUUGCGAAGCUCCAAUGACAACAUAUUUUUGAAGGAAGAAUCUGCAAUCCAAGUAGAGAAUUUUGCACCACCAUAAUUCUCAAUGACGAGAUGCUCAAGCUUUUUUGGAGGACAAAGAGUGUCCAACACCCUUUCUUCAACUUCUUUAUUCCUUGAAGCCUUUUCACUCCAAUGCAAUACCAAUCGAUGAAUCCCCUGCUUCUCAUAUAACUUGCUUUCCCCUGCAUCUUCACCAUUAACAUUCUCCAACCCAGAAAGACGGAAAUCACCUUCGAGGUUUGACAAAUAUUUCAAAUAUCUAAUAUGACAACCAUCACCUUCCGCUAUGAUAAAAUCAGAUAACCUUUGAAGAUUCGUUAGCUUAUCAAUUCUAAAAGGAAUCCUUUCUAUUGAGUUCGCACCUCUGAUAUCAAGAUAAUGCAAGUUGACAAGAUUUUCCAUCUUUGAAGGUAACCUUUGAAGCCUGUAACACCUUCUUAAUAAUAAAGUUUCCAAAUGGUAAAGAGUGCACAAAGAAUCAGGUAAACAUUUGAUAUGGGUGUUGGAAAAAUUUAAGUAGCGAAGAUGUUUUAAAUUUUCAAAAACAUCAGGCAACUCAGUUAUCCAAUACCCACUCAAAGAAAGCAUCCUUAAGUAGCCAAGUCUUGGUAACAAAUCAACCAAAACAACAUUAGUUAAAAAAGGCUCCCGAUCACCAAUAGACCAAGAAUCACUAGAAAACAUUAAAGGUAAAAAAGUACGUAAAGAAUUCACUUGAUCAAAUGCUUCAAACUUCUUCACUGUGUCAUAUGUUCCAGCAAUAUAAGAAGAAUGUCGAGUGCGAUUUGAGAACUUCCAUUUCUGAUCACCCUCUAAUUUUGAGCAUAUUUCCCCUGCAACUACUUGAGCUAAAUCAUUGAUAAGGUCAUGCAUUACGAAUCGGGACUUACCUUUACUGGAUGUCUGAAAAAAUGACCUUGACACUAGAUCUUGAAAAUAUUGAUUUCCGAGAUCUUUAAUUUGAGGCAUAGCUUUUUGUUGCAAGAGACCUUCUGCUCUCCAUAACAAGAUUAUUUCUUCUUCCCCAAAUUCAUAAUCUUUAGGAAGUAUGGAGCAAUAUGCAAAACAUCGUUUCAAGUAUGACGGAAGAUGAUGGUAGCUUAAUCGCAAAGCUGGAAUUAUGCCACACUGCUCUUCUGGUAAGUUCCAUAUCUCACUCUCAUAUAUUCUUUCCCAUCCUGCACAAUCUUUAACUGUGCGUAGCAAGCUUCCGAUGGCUUUUGCAGCCAAAGGUAAGCCACUGCACCUUCUAACAAUUUUCUCUCCAAUUUCUUUAAACUGGAGAUCUCUAUCGAAAUUUCUUGCUUUUAAUGCAUGCUGUGUAAAUAUGGAUAAACAAUCAUCAUCCGAUAGUUUAUCCAAAUGAAAAGCUUUGAGCGGAUCCACAAUAGAUGAAACAAUUUGAAGACGAGUGGUUACAAUGAUAUGGGUCCCUGUUCCAAACGGAGACCGUAAGAUGGUCCAAUCAUCAUAAUUCUCGUUCCAAAUGUCAUCUAAAACAAGCAAGAAUCUUUUCCCAGACAACUUCUCCUUCAACUUAACUUGAAGUAAAUUCAAGUCAUUCUCGUCACGAGAGUCAGGAUCGAUGGAUUUUAAAAUUGUCCUGGUUAUAUUAACUGCGUCAAAAUUAUCAGAGACGCAUACCCAGGCCUUGUGGUGAAAAGACUGGUUGAUGGUGGCAUCAUUGUAAACAAGCUGAGCAAGAGUUGUUUUACCCAUCCCUCCCAUGCCGACAAUGGAAAGGACUGAAACUCCGUUGGAGUUAUCACCUUUGAGAAACUCAAUCAUUUCUGUCUUCUCCUUGUGUCUGCCAACAUACUCCACAACUCCAUCCGGUACGGAAGUUGGUUGCAGCCUAGGUUGCUUUCCCUUGGAGGUUGGAGCUUGAGACAAGAUCUCACUCAACCCCAAACUACUUCUUCGAGUAGUCAAACUAUUCAGUCUAGCAGUGAUCUCUUUCACCUUUGGAAUCAUGGAAUUCUUAAACAGGAAAGAAGUGGGAGUGAAAUUACUACUGGUACAGCAGGUAGGAAUGAGUUUCCGUACCUUGCUAGUGCUGGCUUGAGCUUGCGAUUUCUUGAGCUUGAGACGUAACUCUUCAUAAGCGAACUCAUCCAAGAUGUCAUCCGCAUCGUAAGCCAAGUCCUGGAGAUCCUCCAACCAUUUCUUCACACCCAUGUUCUUGAUCUGCUUCUCCUCUGCAUCGUCCAACACUGCUUGGAUAUCAGGCAAUAUGGACUGCCACUGCUUGAGCUGCUGGUGGAGUUGGUUGUGAUUAGCAACAAAUUUGAGUGCAGAGUCGAGCGAUUUGCCCACCAACAGGUCCAGGAACCCAGAAAGAGCAGCCUCUCCAAUGACAGACAUGGUGGAAUUAUGAGAAAGAAGAUGAAGAGAGAAAUGAACAAAGCCAAAAUGGAAAGUCAGGGAACAAAAAAGAAAGAAAGGGAAAUGGAAUCUGCACAAUUAGAGAAAGUUGAAGAAAUUGGCACAAUAUCCUUGAAGCAUGUAAGAAUUCAGACAAUUUGGCAAUGAGUUGGAAGUCACUGAGUACAGAUAAAGAAGCAAACACCAGUACGGUAAAUUUUUUAAUCACAAAUAUUUACAGUAUUUAGCAUAUAUAGAUUUGUAAAUUCGUGGUCUAAUUCACUGAAUCAAAUCCCUACUGAAAUUCAAGACUGAUUGUAGUUAUAUUGUUAGUUCACUUACUAUUUUACUAUUUAUACUAUUAUUUUUAAGUUUUUAAUUAAGUUGGUAUUACGAGUUAAAGUUCAAACACGACUUGACCCGUUUUUAAGUUUAAAAUAUUUUAUAUUAUGUUAUGUUUUGCCCAAGUCCAUAUUUUAGGCGGACUAUCGAGCCGGGCCAGGCCACCCGGCCCAUGAGGAGGCAUUUGAUUAUGAUAAAGAAGAUGGACCCCAAGUAGUUGUUGCUGGGAAAAGACAAUGAAAGUGGAAAUUAAAGAGGUCCCAGUCCAUGAAAUUAUUGCACCCUCCCAAGUGGUUGUUGAUGGGAAAAGACAAUGAAAGUGGAAAUUAAAGAGGUCCGAGUCCAUGAAAUUAUUACACCCUCCCAUUUUUUCCGUCCCCGCAGUUAUAUGUAAAGCUUUUCUUUUAGGCAUAAUGAUCACUCCUAAUUUGCAUAAAAAAUAAUUUUAACCCUUAAAUUUAAUUUUUUAUCAAAUCAUUUCAAAAUAGAUUUGACAUAUAUAUGAAUUGUCAUUUAGAAAACACAUCAACAUCUAAUUAAUUUUAAAAUUUUAAAAAUUUAUUUUUUUAUAUUUUUUAACAAUAAAUUUUAAUUUUUAAAAAUAAUUUUUUAAAUUUUAAAAAAUUGAUUAAGUAAUAAUAUAAUAUCCACAUGUAUGUAACGUUAGUAAAGUUAAAAAAAAGUUGCAAAUUUAAGUGCUAAAAAAUAAAAAUCUAAAUAGAGAAUUAAAAUGAUUUUUUUAAGUUAAAAACUCGAAUAAAUUAUUAUGUCUUUCUUUUAUUUGAUCAAAAUAGGUUAAAGUGUCUGCAAUUCUAAAAUGAAUGAACUUACUAUUUGAUGCAUUAUUAUUUUUACUGGAGAUCGGGAAUAGAUGAACUUUCUAUGGGCCUAUUUAACUGAUAGGAUUUAUUACCACUUUAGUAACUUUGGCGAUUUAGUCAAUUACUCGAGAUUCAUGAUUAUUUUAUUUCUUGAUGCUAACAAUAUACCGUGGUCAAAUAGGAUCAUUUAUUCUUGAGAACUUUUACUUUUUUUAUCUUGUGGAAGUUUGAAUUAAUUCUCAUUUAUCUACUUCUAUCCAUGAGGGGGAAGAAACGUCUAUACUCAAUUACAAAAUUUAUUUUGUACUUUGCAGAGGGUUCUGUUUUUCUAUUAAUAGGAGUUUUGCAUCUCAAUUUAUACGGUUCUAAUGAACCAAUAUUAAAUUUUGAAAUAUUAGAUAAUCAAUCAUAUCCUGUUGCACUAGAAAUAAUAUUCUAUAUUGAAUUUCUUAUUACUUUUGCUGUCAAAUCGUUGAUUAUACUCUUACAUACAUGGUAUUAUAUAAAAAAAUUCAAUAAAUAAAAAAUAUAUAAAAUUAUUAAAUAUUAAAAUAAUAUAAUAUAAAUAUUUUUUUAAAAAAAUUAAAAAUAAUAUGGACGGGGCUAAAAUGGGUUUGGAUUAAUCUUUUAUAAAUAUAGACGGGUUUGAGCAACAUUUUAAGCCCAAAUUUUGGGCUAAAUCGAAUUUAGAUAAAUAUAAAAUAGAUUAAUAUCAUACUUAAACCCGACCAAUACAUCUAUAUCUUUACUACCGGGAUACCUUUGUUUUUGAAUUUUGUCAUAGCUUUUGUCCAUUGUCUUGAUUUCCAAGUAAAUGAACGUUGAGCUCCAUGCCAAUGGCAUCAAAAUAAUUAUUUCCAUUAAUAUCAAAAUAUAGUCCAACAUAAGAAGGGAGUACCAAAGAACAUAUUCUCCAGCUCAUAAACAUUUGAUAACAUCACUGUUGAAGCCUUUCAAAACAGGGGAAAUCCAUAUAAAGUGUGAUAGAAAGCCCACUGUGACACAUUUAGCUUUCAAGCUUCAGAUUCCCUGUCUUACAAAAAUGACCAAAUAAUAUAUUACAUUUACCAUAUUAUCUGUCUUACAAAAACCAACUAUCAGUGAAUCACCAUCUUUGCCCAUCUUUUAAAGGGUUUCAUACAUGUGGUCUGAGCAUGACAAAAUAAGGGAUGCUCUGAAAUUUUGAUGAUGCAUCCAUCCAUGAUCACAGCAGUUGUGUAAGAAAAUGACAAACAACAUACUUUCUUUUGAAUGCAAAAAACUUGAUUAUAUUGAUAUGAAGCAGUAACCAAAAUGGUUAAAUGAAGUUUUUCAGUCAGUCACUUAGACACUGAGUUCAUUAGUGUCGUUCAAUCCACAUGAUCGAAAAAGCAAUUCCUCAUCAAGUGAAUUAAUGCAGCUCGAAAGUAGCUUUCAAACGGAUGUAUCAUCUGAGAAUUUCCAAGAACUAGGAUGGCCAACUUUGAGAUCAGCAGACAAUAGUUUGUGGCAACACGGAGGCUGCAAGUUCAAAAGAAGUAUAAUCUCAAUGUCAUCAGUGUUUUACAAGUGAGAAAACCCCAAAUUGCAGGUCAGUGAACUCUCUUGUGUUAAUGCUUAAAUCUAGCUCUUUAACUACUUGCCGUACUGCGUAGUGUAUCCCUCCCUUAUCCUGAGAGGAUCAAUAAUAGACAGUGGUGACGACUCGUAUCCUUACACAAUAACAGGAAUCUAUCCACAAAGAUCGUGAAACUAUCAAGUAAAGACUUAUUCUUUUGAAAUACCAUUGGUCAAUAUUACAAUGGAAUGUCAAAUAUUUCAACUAAAAUCCCAUUCCCAUGUACAAAGGUUAUAACAAUUGCAAUUGAACACAUUGUCUUCAAAGAAGGAUCGACUAUACGGCAUAUUCCAAGUCAAUUCCAAAAUUAGUCUGUGCCAACCCAUAUUCUGAGAGAUAAGCAAACAUAUACACAAAGGAAGCUUAGAAAUCAGAACAUGCAGAUGAAAACUGAACAUUCAAUUUGCUGAACAUCAAAUCAAAUAAGCUAAAGGAAGGCUAGUUGAAUUCAUCAACCAUUUUUGCCAAUUUAAUUUUCAAUGCCUGAAAAAUUGAAUACAAAUUAUAUAAGACUGAUUGCUAUUAUCUUGUUAUUCUGAGGACAAUCACAUAUAUGGAACUAUGGAACUAAAAAUGUGUUUAAAAUGGUUUCACACCUGUGGUUUAAGUGUGGAGAAAUCAGUGCCAGGUUUUGCUGCUUUACUUUCAAUCUAAUUCCCUUGGGAUGCUGUUUUAUACUGAAAACGGACAUAAGGGAUGUGGGCAAUCUUGGACCACUGUCAACCUUUACCCCUACUGCACCCUUCUUCUAGCAACGGGCAAUUGAAAAUAUGUAGCUGCUCAAGUGAGAGAAGCAUAUAUUUUUCUGGAAGAGAUGUGAGUUUUGGACAAUUACUUAUUUCCAAUUCGUGAAGCGAAGUGAGGUGUUGAAAGCCCUUGGAGCACAUGAAUUCCAAAUUCUCAAAAUUUUCAAUGCAGAUAGAUGUGAGAGAAGGAGGCAGCAUUCUUCCUAUCCCUUCUUCUGGAAAUGACACCACACGUGAGCAUCCCUCACCGCCGAUAUUGAGCUCUUGAGUAGAGGUGAGUCUAUUUAAUCCCCAUUCAACAAGUGAUGUAUACAUUUUGGGUCCAUUUGAGAUUUCAAGUGAUGUGAGAUUCGUAGGGAAAUCCCCUACACUCUUAUGGGAAGGACAUAUCAGCUGAACACUAUAUAAAUACUUAAAUGAAAAGACAAAAAACAAACUCGUAAUAUUAUUUGUUAUCUUUUAAAUAAAAAUCUUUAUUUAAAAUUAUUUUUCAACUAAAUUGAUCUUUAGUUAAACUCGUGGCUUCAACUCAGUUAGAUAACUAUAUAUAGUAUAACUAACAAACAAUAGAAUUGAAAUUGGCAUACAUAUAUGCUGUGUGUAGCCUUAAAUACUCCUCUUUCAUGGUGUUCACCUCAAUUCCUUGCAACUUCUGUUUUUUUAAUUCCAAAAAAAAAAAAACACACACACACAAUAUUAGAAACGUAAUUAUUAUUGUCGAUCGAAUCUUAAUUCAAUUGGCAUUGAUAUUAUUAUCCAUGCAAAGAGGACAUCAAUAUAUAUAUAUACACCUCAGCUUGUUGCUCAUAAAAAGGGUGUUCUUGAGAAUGGUCUUCUUCCAUUCCUUUGUUGUAUCUUGAAAGAGUGUUCCAUGCUACAUUAAUAAAAUGUCAUGUUUAAAAAAAUAACAAUAAAUUAAAAAUAAAAUUCUAACUCAUUAUCAGGGUUUAGGUUUUGGUCUUGAGCCGAUCAAAUUUAUGACAAGUUAUUCUUAACGUAUCGUAACUAUUUAUGUAUCAUUUUUGUUUUGAUAUGAGUAUGUGUUGUUGUGUUUUAGUAUAUAGUUUCGUAUUUAUCAUUUUUAAAAAUAAUAUAUAUGAUAUACUUCCAAAUAUUUCUUAAUUAUAAUAUGUAAAUAUAAAUUUUAAAAUUAUUAAUUAAGUUCAAUAAUUUAAUGAAUGGUUAUAUAUUAUUUUUAAAAGCAAUUAUAUAAAAAAGUCGUUAAGAAAGAAAUGGGAAAUAUUAAAAAUCCCUUUAUAGGAAUUAAUACUCAGCGAUACAAGCAUAUAUUAAUUGAAAUGAGUCAAAAACUCAAUGAAAUUUUAAUUGAAAUGAAACUUAAACUAUUUUAUUCUAGUUCAAUAUCGAGACGAUUCAUAACGAUUGAUACAACCAGUAUCGAAACUACCGAUCCCAUACUACAAAGUGAAAAGAAAAAUAAUGGAAAUCAAUCAAAUUACAACUCAACUUACUUUUAUGCUUAGAAAAAAAAAUAGUUCUAAAAAAUAAUCAUCCAAGAAUAUAAAUAUAUAUAAGUUUUAUAGACCGUUACAAACUAAUAUACACUCAUAUAAGCAGAUAUUAACUAAAACAAAUCAAAACACAAUAAAAUUUUAACUGUAACAAAACUUAAACUACUUUAUAUUAAUUCAAUAUUGAGACUAUAGCCAAUUAUUAAGAAAAGAAAAAUAAUGGAAAUCAAUCAAAUUAUAGGUCAACUUACUUUCAUGCUUACAAAAAAAUAAAGCUAAAAUUGAAAAUUGAAAAAAACCCAGAUUUCGAUUAUUAAAAAUCAUCUAUAAUAUAUAUAUAUAAGUACUAUACUAUAUUAUAUACCUAGUGCUGGACCAUUGAUAGACCUUGCCGGUGCUUGAAAAAAUAAUAACCCCAACCUCUGCAUCACAUAAAAUGGACAAUUCUUUAGCUUUCUUCAACAACCCAUUUCGCCUCUUUGAAAACAUUACUUGCCUGCUAUUCAAAUUUUCAAUCUUUUUUAUUUCAAUUUUCCCUCUACCCAUCUGAAAAUUUUCUUCUUUCCUUUACUUUUUCCCGGAAAAUUUUUAAAAGAUAAGAUAAACCCCAGAUUUUUUUUUUCUUAAAUUUUGAAAAGAACCAAAGGUUUUUAUAACAACAAACAGAUCAAAGAAAAUAAGGCAAAAAAUUUAGGGGAUUCUAAAAGGAUUCUUUUUUUAAGAGAAAAGAAAAUAAGUAAGUAAUGUUUAUAUAUAAUAAUUGUUUUCUCAAAUGGAAAUGGAAAAUGAUAUGGAAAAAGAAAAUAUGUGACCAAAAUUAGGGUCGAAAUCUUGAAAGGUGACAGAUUUGAUACUAUAUCUACCAAUUAUCCAACUAUGGAAACUCUAUUUAUUAUAGGUUUAGUUUAUUUUUUUCUAUUUUUCUUAAUUUCUCUACCUUUUUACUCUGCUGUUUUUGGCAUUUCAAUUCAAAAUGGAUUUUAUUUUUGCUUUGGGUUUCUUUUUUUUAAAUAUAAAAAGUGGUUUUUAAUUAUUUAUAUGUUUUUAAUGUGUUUUAACAAUUUUUGUUAGUGAAUAUUGAUUUUUUUUUUUGUGAAUUACAAUAUGAGGGCAAAGCCCUAACAACAACACGGCUAGAGCGAUUCGAAUUUAGGCCACACCUGAGACGUUGAACACAAGUAUUUCAUGAGGACAUAUAACACAUGUUUUUUAAAUUCAUGGCUAAAAUAAUAAAAAAACCUCUUUAUUUUAUUGUAUUAAAAUAAUAAUAAAAAACCAUGGUUUUAGUCGUACUGGCCGGUGCCGCCGUUCUACUAUUAUAGCGCAACAAGCAUCACCCUUUUCCAUACUAAUGAAAAUUUUGGUUUGUGCCAUUCGCAUUGGCCAGAACAUGGUACACCUACUGCAUGAAUAAUGUUAAAAAAUAUAAAACUUUUAACUAUUUUCUAUUAGACUAAAUAUUUAAUUGAAAUGUAUUGACCAAUAAAAAAAUAUUACACUAGAAAGUAAAGUUUAACAUUUAAAAAUUUUUUUGGAGCAUACUUUUUCAUUUAAAAUAUAAAAAUUAAAAUUAAUAAAAAAAAACUCACUCACCUCGUUAUUAUAGAAAAAUAUUCACUCGCCCUUCAGCUUUUUUUAUUGAAAAAACCCCCUCAUCCUUCGAUUUAAAUUUUUCUUCUUAAUUUUGAAUUUAUUGAAUGAUGAUUUUUUACUUGUGGAGUUUAUUAAACAAUAUUUUAUAUAAUUGAUGAAUAGUUUUAUAUUAAAAAUUUAUUUAUAAUAAUUUAUUUGAUAUUUGUAUAUUUAUUUAUAUAAAUAUAUUAAAUAUUUUAAAAAAUAUCUAUAAAUUCAAAGUGGUACAUAAAAUAGACUAGUACAUAAAAGUGGUACUUACACCAAUGUGGUAAUGGCUACCUUGAAAGCAAGUACGUGGGUGGCUAUAAUGUUUGAUGCUUUGUUUUUUUUUUUGAAUAUUUUGCUUUGAUGCUUUUGAUCUGUGUUGAUCUUUGAGUGUAACCAUUAGGAUAUAUAUGGUUAUCUGAAUUUUUAUGAUUUGCUAUGCAUUGAUUGUGAUUUUUUUAUUAAUAAAUAUAUGUUUUGGAAUGAGAAAAAAAAUAAGAAAUUCGAAACACAAAAAGGAAAGUAGAGAAAGUGAACACAAUAUAUAUAGAUGGUUCGGAAAUAUUUCCUACAUCCACAGGCAGAACCAAAGACGAAAUUCAUUACUAAAAAUUAGAGAUUACAGAGGAAUUACAUCGUAAAAUAAAAUACCUCGCCAAUAACUAUCCACAAACUUUGAAUGGAUUCAUGGUCUCAGAAAUUCGGAGAACUAAGAUGGACAUCUUUGAGAUUGGACAGAACAAUAUUUUGGGAACUCUGUUGUCUUACAUGUGUUAAAUUGAGCUCUCUAAUGUCAUGUUGUAACGUGUAAUGUAUCCCUCCAUUAAUCCUGGAAGGAUCAAACUAUCACGUAAAAGACUUGUUCUUCUGAAAAACCAUUGGUUAAUAGGACUAUGAAAUGUCAAAUAUUUUUAACUAAAACCCCAUUCUCAUAUACCAAAAUAGCUUAGAAAUUAGAAGAUGCAAAUGAAAACAGAACAUUCAAUUUGCUGAAUAAAUGUUGCAGAGAAUUGACUAACCGAUUUACUAAAUCAAAUAAGCUGAAGCAGAUGAGUUGAAGUUCACUAUUUUUUGCCAAUUUAGCCUUCAAUGCCUGCAAAAAUUGAAUACAAAAUAUAUAAGACUCAUUUCUGUUAUCAUGUUGUUCAUGAGGACAAUCAGAUAUGUAAAAAAUUUUUUGAAGUUGGUCAGCAUGCAGCAACCUCAACCAGCAAGCAGGCCAUGCAGACCAAGCCGUGCAGGAGCUGCUGGAACAAGUUAUUUUUUGUUUAUUUUGUAACCAUUAGUUGAUGAAAUGAGUUCUAGUUCAUUUCAAACUAAGUUAGGCCUAUGAUUGAUGUAAUUAGCUAGUGAGUGAGCUGUAAACACAACCUUGUACAAGCUUACAAGUUUAGUUUUUCAAGUUUCCAUGUAAUUAGUGGUGGUAGAUAAUGUUUAGGUGAUUGCUUACUGUUUUUGACAAGCUUAGUGCUUGAUUUAUGUAUUGGCAUUAUGCCAUUGUUUAUGUUUUGAAUGAAAUCAGUGUUUUGUUCAUCAAUUUUCUUUGUUUUUCUUCCUUAUUUUCUGCUUUGAUUCUGGUAGUUUGUUAAGCAAGCAACGAGGCUUGCUGCUCAAGACAUAGGCUGAGCUUGUCUGUUUCUGUUACUAAAACCAACAAUUGGUAUCUAGAGCCUUAAUCUUAAGGGACUUGGUAUACAAACCUAUAGCCUCAUCAAGCUUUUCACUAGCUGCACCACAAGUCUUCAAUGGGGAAGGCUACCACAUAUGGGUGGUCAAAAUGAAGACCUACCUGCGGGCCUUUGAUCUGUGGGAGGUGGUCAACUCUGAUGUUGAACCAGAACCACUCAAAGUCAAUCCAACAGUGGCUCAAAUCAGGCAGCAUGCUGAUGAGAGGAAUAAAAGGCACAAGGCCAUGUAUUGCAUCCAGAACUCAGUGUCAGAUGUGAUUUUCACAAGGAUUAUGGCCUGUGAAUCACCAAUGCAGGCCUGAGACAAGUUGCAAGAGGAGUUUCAAGGGACAGAGAGGACAAGGCAGCAACAACUGUUGAACUUGAGGAGAGACUUCGAGAAUUUGAAGAUGAAGGAAGAAGAAACUGUCAAGUAGUACUCUGAUAGGAUCAUGGUUGUGGUAAACAGUAUAAGGCUCCUUGGUGAGCAGUUCAUUGAAGCAAGGAUAGUGGAGAAGGUGAUUUCAACCUUGCCAGAGAGGUAUGAGGCAAAGAUCUCAUCCCUUGAAGACUCAAGGGACCUGAUUAGCAUUCCUCUUACAGAGCUAAUCAAUGCUCUAUAUGCACAAGAGCAGAGAAGAGCUAGCAGACUGGACAAGCACUAAGAAGGUGCCUUUCAGGCAAAGACCAACACUGCCUACAAAGGCAAGAAAACCUGGAAAAACAGGCCUAAGCCUGAUGCUGCAAAAUGCAGUGAUCAACCUUACAGAUAUUGCAAAAGGAUUGGUCAUCCAGAAGAAAAAUGUUGGUUCAAACCAGAUGCCUUGUGUCAACGCUGCAAAAGGAGGGGACAUGUUGAGAGAGUCUACAAGAACAAAGGCAAACCAAGACAGAAUCAACCUCAACAGGUGAAGGCAGAGGCUCAAGUAGCUAAGGAAGACAGUGACCAAGAGGAACAAGUCUUUGUUGUGUCAUGCUCAGCUCCUCAAGACAGGUUUUCAUCUGGUUGGCUCCUUGAUAGUGGAUGCACCAACCACAAGCAAGCAUCCUUCACCGCUGAUGUUGAGUUCUUGAAGAGAUGUGAGUCUGUUAAAUCCCCAAUCAACAAGUGAUGUAUAAAUUUUGGGUGCGUUUGAGAUUGCAAGUGAUGUGAGGUUGGUAGGGAAACCCUCUUCUGGAAAGGAUAUGUCAGCCGAACACUCCCACACUGAUAAUUCUCGAACGAAGGUGAAGUUGUUGAUGCACUUGGGAAGGGCUUUAAAAUUUUCACAAGCCUCAACUGAGAGAACUCUGAGAUUUGUGGUGGGCAACCCACUUUCUUCAAAUGAAACCAGAUUUGGACACCUAGAUAAUUUAAUAUCCUGAAGAUGGCAGAGCUUGUCUAAUCCCCACGGUAAUGAUUUAAUUUUUUCAGCACCACGAAUGCCAAUGCUUUCGAGAUCAAUGGUUUCAAGGAAGUCUUGGGCUAUGCAUUCCAACAAUAGACAAUUCCAAAUAAAUAGCUGUUUAAGCAUUACAGGUAACUUGGCGUUUAAAAAUAACCUACUUAGCUUUGAACAACUUUUAAUUUCGAGAUGUUGAAGUCAAGUGCAUAUAUCGCUCCUUGAUGAUAGCCAUAUUAGAGAUGGACAGUUGCUUAUUUCCAAGUGCUCAAGAAGACAAGUGUUGCUACACAUACGCUUAUUAUUAUUUUCUUUUUCAUCAACCAAAUAUUGCAAAUUCACGCAAUACUCAAUCCACAACUCUUUUAAAGCAGGAGGAAAGUUACUGUCUGCAAAACAAACCAAGCCUCGACAGUUUUGAAGUUGUAUUCUUGUAAUUAAUGGGAAGGCAUGUAAGGCUUCUAGUAGUCUAUUGAGCCUUUCACAAUCUCUUAUAAACAGAGAUUCAACACCUGGAAUCUUGUCAAGUUGCAAUCUCUCCUCCUCUGUUUCCAAGGAGACCAAUUGGGGACAACUGACAAUCUCAAUGAAUCGGUGCCCGACUAAUCUUAACCCAAUUUGCGAUAAAGAUCCCAACUCCUUCCAACCAGAGAUGCAGAACGUUUCGAAGUUCGCAAAUCUCAACAUUAUCCUCUCUGCUGAAAUAUUAAAAUUUGAAAUAUUUGAAACAAACACAUCUUUCAAGGAGGUAACCUUCUGUACAGACAAAGGACCUUCAUCCACCAAUUCUUCACACCCUUCAACCCAUAUUUUACGCAGCAAGGGAAAACAAGAAAUUGAAACUACCAGUCUCUUACACUCAUAGAUUUCAAGUGUCUGCAAGGAUUGAAUGAUGGUUGGUAACCUUCCCAACAAUAGAGGACAUCUUUUAAUUGAAAGCUUACGAAGGCUGGGAAAUCUCGAAACUUGCUGAUCGUCUUCACAUAGGUUCCACUUCUCCCAAUUCAGCAUAUUGUCAAAACACAGAGACUCUAAUGAUGCAAAAGCAUUUGAUUGAUUUUCUCCAAACAACUCAGCACCAAUCUUGUGUACUUGAUCCAAACCACUAAUUGAAAGAUCUUUUAACCACAACAACCUUCCAAUCGAUGGUAGAGAUUUGCAAUUUUUACAAUUGCGAAGCUCCAAUGACAACAUAUUUUUGAAGGAAGAAUCUGCAAUCCAAGUAGAGGAUUUCGCACCACCAUAAUUCUCAAUAAAGAGUUGCUCAAGCUGUUUUGGAGGACGAAGAGUGUCCAACACCCAUUCUUCAACUUCUUUAUUCCUUGAAGCCUUUUCUAAUUUUUCACUCCAAUGCAAUACCAAUCGACGAAUCCCCCGCUUCUCAUUUAACUUGGCUUCCCCUGCAUCUUCACCAUUAACAUUCUCCAACCCAGAAAGACGGAAAUCACCUUUGAGGUUUGACAAAUAUUUCAAACCUCUAAUAUAACAACCAUCACCUUCCCCUAUUAUAAAAUGGGUUAGGCUUAGCCAUUUUAAUUUUGGAGUCCAAGCAUGGCUUAUUUUAAACAAGCUUAUUUUUUUUUGUCUAAACUUAUAUUUCAAGCCUCAUUCUUUUUAUCUAAACUUUUUUAUAUUUUAAGUUCAUUUAGAACGAGUCUAUCUACAAAAGAAAAGUUUGUGAAAAGCGCAUAAUUAAUAAUUAGAAAUUGUCACACAUGUAAAAAUAUAAUAUAUUAUAUAUAAAUUUAAAUUUUAAAAAUACUAUUUCAUAUAUAAAUUUUAUAUUUUUGAGAAAUAAUAAUAUUUUAAAAAAGAUGGAUAGAUUUUUUUCUAAUAAUUAGAAAUUAGUGAAUAAUAAUGAGUAGUUUAGUUUUUGAGAAAAAAAAAGAAAUAGUUUUAAUUGAGAAAAUGAUUUUUUAAGAAGUUAGUUAAGAGUAGUGAAAUAAUUUAUUUUAUUUUAUAAAAAUGUUGAAAUGAUAUAAUCAUCCCUAUAUUUAAUAAAAUAAUAACAUUAGAUUUUUUAUACUUUUACCAAUUGAGUUUGUGUCACUCGAUUUGAUGUACCAAAUUUAAUUAGACAUUUUGUCGUAGUAUAAAUAAUUAUCUUGUAAUUAUAUGUAUUCAAACUAACUUCAUUUUUAAAUCUGUCACCAAUCUUUAUAUUUUUUCUCUCUUAUAAUUUUAUUUUUACAUAAUGUUUUCAUAAUAUAUAAUAUGAUCAUAAAUUAAACCCUUAAUUAUAGUUAUUAAGCUUGCAUUUUUUUCACUAAAGUCAAGAAAUUAAUUUGGUAACACCUAAUCGCAUUGAAGAAUGAAUCAUAAAUAUAAUGUGGUAAGUGAGAAGGUUAAUUUGGAAAUUAAAUAAUUAGCUCAAAAACUUAUUUCAUCAAUUAUUUAAGUAAAUCAUGUCUCAUUUGUUAAAAAUUCUGGUUCACAGUACAAAUGACAAUAUGAUUAUUUUAAUAUAUUGAAACACUCACUUAAAAUUAUAACUUAAAUCUUUGAAAUAUGUGGGAGAUUAUUGGAAGUUUUUAUGUAUUUCAAAGAACUACAAAAAUCUCACAUUGCUAAAAAAAGAUAUUGAGUCAUUAUUUAUAAGCCAGAACUACAAAAAUCUCACAUUGCUAAAAAAAGAUAUUGAGUCAUUAUUUAUAAGUCAUUAUACUUCUUUGAACUUAAUAAGAACCAAAUUGAGAGAGUAGACUCCUGCACAUUCGAGCCUUUUUGUUUUUGGACUUAUUUUUAUUAAAGUUUUGAAAGUCAAAUAAAAGUGAACUUGUAACACUUCUAUUUAGUCACGCUAAAUAUAAUUUAAUUGAUUGAAGCUAUUUUUAAUUAAGUCCAAAUUCAUUGAACCAUUUUCAAACUAGUGUUAGCUAAUUCAAUCAACUUACCUUUGCUAUAUUAAGCAAAUGAAAUCCCUAUAAAUACCAUGCAUGGUAGUUUUCAAAGUUACUCAUUAGCUUUCAUGUUCUCAUCUAAAUUUCUUCUAUAUUCUCUUUAGAAAAACCUUCCUCCUACAAUCUCAAUUGAGUGUUUAAUUGGUCGGCUCUUUAGAAAAGCCUUCAAGGAUAAUGAUAUUCACGCCUCAAGUCGUGAUUCUAAUUUUCUAAACCUCCGAUUUCUUAAGAGAACGUCAAGGGCAACAACCAGUCAAAUUUUAAGUUCAAUUAAAUGAAUUCACAAACUUAUAGAGUUUAUUAUUAUUAUUUUAAUUAGUAUCAAAAGUUUUCAAUUCAAAUUUUAAUUUUGUUAUUCAAGCUUUUAUCUCAAAUCAAGCUCAAGCUUUAAAAGUGAAAUUUGAUUGAACUUGAGCUAAAUUUUGAGUAUCGAAUUUUAAGUUAGCUCAAAAUUUUCAAGUUAAGCUUUGACUUGAUUACACGGUUAGUGUAAAUCGUACAAAUGUAAAGUAUAAUAUAAUUAUAUAAAUUUUGAUACUAUAAUAAUUUCAAUUUUAAAAUGUUAACACAACUAUGGUCUAAAAUGUCCCAUUAUCAAGAAGCUUAGAAAUUAGAAGAUGCAGAUGAAAACAGAGCAUUCAAUUUGCUGAAUAAAUGUUGCAGAGAAUUAAGCUAUAGCAAAUCAGUUGAAAAUAGCUUUCAGUGCCUGCAAAAUUAAAUGCAAAGUAUAUACGAUUGAUUGCUAUUAUCAUCUUGUUCCUGAGGACAGUCAGAUACAUGGAACUAAAACAGCCAAUGUUUAAAACGGUUUCAUACCAGUGAUACAACAUAAGGUAUGUGGGAAAUCUUGGACCACUCUCGUCCUUUACCCCGAAAAGUGGACAUAAUUAAAAAGGAAAACUUGUCUGUGAUAGAAAAUGAGGGGCUUUAAUUAAAUUACAACCAACCAGGAUGAACUCUGUUUCUGUAUUGAAAUAUUGGAAUUGGUAAUCAGCGACUUAUUCACUAAGAACUAACUAUUCUGUCACCUUAUAUUCUUCCUAUAAUUUCAGGUUUAAUCCUUUUGAUUUAUACAUUCAGUCCACUGCAAUAUGAACCCGUGAAAACCACACUAAACGAAACUGACUGUUUAAGGAUCCCAUUCAUAUGAUGCAGCACUGCAAUGGGUAAUUAAACUGACUGUUUAAUCCUGUUUCUGUACACUAUGCUUCUUCAAAAUCAUGCCUAGCCGAACUCUCUGACAUUGUGGACCGCAAGCGCACUCAAGGACAUAUUGUUUCUGCCAUCUUUUACCAUGUUGAUCCCCCUGAGGUUCAGCAUCUUAGUGGGAGUAUCAAGUCAUACUUUGAUGACCAUGAAUCAAAGAGGCCUGUUGAUGGAGUGAAGCGAUGGAAAAUUGCCUUUGUUGAAGUCUGUAAAUUAAUUGGGUGGCAUAUAGGAGGAAAAUUCGACAAGCAACUAUAUGGUUUCUUUUUCAUUUUCUUAUAUAUUUAACUUUCUUUUAUUUGGUUUAUUUGCUAGGCUUGAAUUCAAGUACAUUAAAGAUAUUGGUGAAUAUGUUAUAAAAAGAAGAUGACAAAUAGCGAGUCUAAAAGUGCUUCUUAAGAAUUUGUUGGAACAGAUAAUCAAUGAAGGAUGAUUUUGAGGCCAACUGAGGAAGAAGACAAUCCUAUAUUAGGAUGAUUUUGAGGCUGAUUGAUGAAGACGAAAUUUGUUUGUGAGUUUUGUGUUUUGUCUUUGGGUUUGUGCUUGUUAAUUGUUGAAUGGUUUCUCGCUCAAUAAGCUUGUAGGCGAUCCAACUUGAAAAUUAGGAUUAACAGUGUGUGGUGCACAAAUUAUUGGGUGAUGGUGUCUUGCUUGUUGAUGCUUGAAAGUUGAAAGAAUCUUAUAUGCUUAUGUUAAACUGGAUGCAUUUUUAAGAUUAGGGUAGGAUGUGAUUUUUAUGUGACUAAUCUAUUUUAAAGGUAAACUAACCGUUAGUUACUCUAAAUAAUGGUUGUUUUUAUUUUCUCACCCUAAGGCUUUUUUUUUUUUUUUAAAUUUGGUCUCUCUAAAAGGAAAUUGAUUAAAUUGAUCACCCCAUCAUUAAAUGGUAAAGGAAAGACUAAUAAUACAUUUCAUGUAUUGUUUUAGGUGACUAAAAUAAGAAAAAAAAAUCUCUAUUUAAAGUGACUAACAGGUAGUUUACCCUAUUUUUAAAGUGACUAUAAUUUUUUAUGAUUUUUAUAAAAUUUUACAAUUUCUUAUAUUUUUUCUAGUUUUUAAUAAUUUUUUAAUAUUUGAAUUUUUUAUUAAAAUUUAAUAAUAUUUAUAAGUUUUAUUAAUUUUAUUUUUUUCUAAUUAUUAAUAAAAACAAGGGCUUAAUUGUUUUUCUUGAAAAAGUUUGAGGGUGUAAAUUUUGAAAGUUCAAGUAUCCAAUUGAGUAUAAAAAAAAAGUAAGGGCUUAAUUGUUUUUUUAAAGGUUUAAAGGCCCUUUUGAUGCAUUUUGAAAGUUCAAGUGCUCAAUUGAGUACAAAAAUAAUAAGUAAAGAAUAGAGAUUAUAAUGAACUCAUAUCGUAAAAUAAAAUACCUCAACAUGAUAACUAUCCACAAACUUCGAGCAAGGUUGUAAAUGCAUCAACUAUAUACUUUCCACAUUUCGGAAAAGACCCAACCAUAAUAAAUAACAUAUGAGCAACAUUUUCUCAAUCUCAAAAUGUAAAAAGCAAUACUGUAAUUGUUGCGCGGAAGCGUGUGAAAGAGUAAAAUUAUUGUACUGAAAAAUCACACUAAGUUCAAUUCCCAGGAAAGAGAGGUGGAUCACGAGGAUCGCUUACAUACCAGAUCUUUCCUAGCCAGAAUAUCCCUCUAUCGUAAUUUAAUAGCACAAUAAAUCACUACAAUGACACUUGCAAAAUAUGCAGAACAAAAAUAAAGAACACUAGAAUUUUAACGAGGUUCAGCAAAUUUUGCCUACGUCCUCGGGCACUACCAAAUAUAUUUCACUCCAAAAAAUACAAGUGAAAGUUUACAAAUAGGGAGAGAGAACAAUUGCCUUAAGUAGAGAAUGGCAAGUGUGGGAUGAAGAAAGUAAGAAAUGGUUAGGCCUAUUUAUAGUUGAGGUUCAAGGAUCAACUUGCAAUGUCCCUAUACAAUUAGGGACCAAAAUUGCAAUUAUCCCAUGCCAACUUUUAACCCAACUUGCCAACCAAUUUUACUUUCUACUUUCGGUGCCCACCCUUUUUGACUUUUCAAACAAUGGGUGGGUUCCAAUAAUCUCCACCUUGAAGAUUUGAUUAGGAUAAUCUUAUCUUCACACAAUUCUUUCUGCCUUUGACAACAAUACUUGAUAGUGCCUUCUUCAACUGUUAAACUUGCAGGAUAUUAAUCAAGUUCAAACAAUGUUCGAACUUGGUUGCUGUUACCACCUUGGUCAUCAUAUCUGCGGGAUUAUUUGCAGUCUUGAUCUUCUGAAGACAAAUUUUCCCCUCUUCAAUAAUUUCCCGCACAAAAUGGAAUCGUACGUCGAUAUGUUUUGUACGUGCAUGAUAGACUUGAUUCUUUGCUAAAUGAAUAGCACUUUGACUAUCACAAUACACGUUAAUAUGCUCCUGAACCAACCCCAAGGUUUUAGCCAUACCUUGUAACCAAAUAGCCUCCUUUACAGCCUCUGUUACAGCCAUGUACUCGGCUUCUGUGGUUGACAAUGCAACUGUAGACUGUAGUGUAGACUUCCAACUUAUUGGUCCUCCAGCAAGUGUAAACACAUAACCGGUGGUUGAUCUUCGCUUGUCCAAAUCACCGGCAUAGUCAGAAUCAACGUACCCAAUAACACCUUUACCAAGUGUAUUAUCCUGCUUGAACAGUAAUCCAACAUCCACGGUCUUCUGAAUAUACCGUAGAAUCCAUUUCACAGCUUGCCAAUGUCCUUUUCCAGGAUUAUGCAUAUACCUGCUCACUAUACUAACUGCCUGUGAAAUGUCGGGUCUUGUACACACCAUUGCAUACAUCAAGCUACCCACUGCAUUAGAAUACGGAACUUGCAACAUGUAUUCUCGUUCCGUAUUCGUCGAAGGAGAUAGUUGUGCAGAAAGCUUGAAAUGAGAAGCCAACGGGAUACUUACAGGUUUGGUCUGCUCGUUCAUGCCAAACUGCUGUAGUACUUUCUUCAAAUACUGCUUCUGAGACAAGCUAACUCUGCCAUGAGCUCUAUCUCUACAUAUUUCCAUGCCAAGAAUCUUCUUAGCUUCACCUAGAUCUUUCAUCUCAAACUCGAGAUUGAGUUGAGUCUUCAAUCUCUCAAUCUCAACUUUGCUCUUAGAUGCUAUCAGCAUAUCAUCAACAUAUAAGAGCAAGUAUAUGAAAGUUCCUUCUUGUAGCUUCUGAAAAUAUACGCAAUGAUCAUAUUUACUUCUUGUGUACCUUUGCCCUUUCAUGAACUGAUCAAAUCGCUUGUACCACUGCCUCGGAGAUUGUUUCAAUCCAUAAAGUGACUUUGUCAGUUUGCAAACCCAAUUUUCUUUAUCAGCAACAUUGAAUCCAUCAGGCUGAGUCAUAUAGAUUUCCUCUUCCAAAUCACCGUGUAAAAAUGCUGUCUUCACAUCAAGUUGAACUAGUUCAAGAUCGUAUUGCGCAACCAAGGCUAGCAAAAUUCGAAUAGACGAAUGCUUCACAACUGGAGAAAACACUUCAUUGUAGUCUAUUCCUUCUUUCUGAGCGUAACCCUUUGCUACCAAUCUAGCCUUGUAUCGAAUUUCAUUUUUACCAGGAAAUCUUUCCUUCUUUGCAUAUACCCAUUUGCAUCCAAUUGCCUUCUUUCCCUUGGGCAGUCUCACCAACUCCCAAGUCCUAUUUUUAUGAAGAGACUGCAUUUCUUCAUUCAUAGCUUGCUUCCACUUUACACCAUCAGAGUUACUUAUUGCUUCUGUGUAAGUGGAAGGAACAUCAUCAUCUGCAAUUGGAAGUGCAUAGGCCACCAUAUCGUCAAAGCGAGCAGGCUUACGAAUCUCUCUUCUUGGCCUCCUAUAUGCAAUUGAAUCUUGUUGCUGUAGAAGUUCUUGGGUCGAAACUUCUUCAUCAUUUGUUCUUUCAAUAUUAGCUGGAUCAUCAUUAACCUUUUCAAACUCCACCUGCUGCAAAGUACUACUGGUUUUGUCAUCCUUUUGUGAAUCCUCGUUUUUCAUCAUGGUUGAUUCAUCAAAAGUUACAUCUCUACUGAAAACAAUCUUCCUUGUAUCAGGACACCAGAGACGGUAUCCUUUUACACCACCAGUUAUACCCAUGAAUAAUGCUUUCUUUGCUCUUGGGUCUAACUUAGAUUCUUUUACAUGAUAAUAUGCAGUGGAACCAAAAACAUGUAAAGAAUCAUAAUCAGUAGCAGGUUUACCAGUCCACAUCUCCAUAGGAGUUUUUCCAUUUAUUGCAGCUGAUGGCAAUCGGUUAAUUAGAUGGCACGCAUAUGUAACUGCCUCAGCCCAAAAUUCCUUGCCCAAUCCAGCAUUGGACAACAUACAUCGAACUUUCUCCAGUAUAGUCCGAUUCAUGCGUUCUGCCACCCCAUUCUGCUGUGGUGUAUCUCGAACAGUGAAGUGUCGCACAAUGCCCUCAUCUUGACAUACUUGUAGAAAUGGAUCAUUUUUAUACUCAGUACCAUUAUCUGAUCGAAGUCGUUUGACCUUUCGACCUGUCUGAGUCUCCAUCAUCUUCUUCCACUUCAGAAAUGUAUCCAAAACUUCAUUUUUUCUUUUCAUUAGAUACACCCAUACUUUUCUUGAAUAAUCAUCAAGAAAAGUGACAAAAUAGUGCAUACCUCCCAAAGAAGCUACUUUGGUAGGUCCCCACACAUCACUGUGAACAUAGUCCAGAAUUCCUUUCGUAUUGUGAAUUGCUGAACCAAAUUUUACCCUCGUCUGCUUGCCCAGAACACAAUGUUCACAGAAUUCCAAUUUGCAAGAAUUUGCACCUUUCAACAAGCCUUGCUUCGCCAAAGUCUGCAAAGCUUUUUCACCAGCAUGUCCCAAUCGCCUAUGCCAUAACCUGGUAGCCUCUGAAUCUGCAUCUUUCGCAGAAACUGUUGAUGUUGAUCCAAUAACUGUACUUCCAUUUAAAUAGUACAAGUUAUUUCUUCUAGUGCCUUUCAUCACCGUCAAUACCCCAGCUACUACCUUUAGUAAUCCAUCUCUCAAAGUGAUUGUGAGCCCUUUAGAUUCUAGGGCCCCUAACGAGAUGAGAUUUUUCUUCAAGCUGGGUACAUAGCGAACAUCUGUCAGAACUUGGAUUGAGCCGUCAUGGUUCUUCAAUUUGAUUGUACCUACACCCAUUGUUUUACAGGCACUAUCAUUGCCCAUAAAAACAACUCCACCUUCUAGUUCUUCAAGACUAGAAAACCAGUCCUUAUUAGGACACAUAUGGUAAGUACAUCCCGAAUCCAAUAUCCACUCAUCCGUUUGACAUGCCAUUGCCAUGCCAACCAAGCUAAAGUCUGACUCCUCAUCAUGCUCCGCUACACAUGCAUUAGAAAUAGACUUGCCCUUUUGUAACUUAGGACAAUUCUUUUUCCAAUGCCCUUUCUCACGACAAAAGGCACAUUCAUCUUUGGCGGGUCUCCCUUUGGACUUACCCCUUCUACCAGGUUUGCUGCUGUGUGAACGACCUCUUACUGUUAAGACUUCUGCAGUUGUAUCUCUGUGAUCUCUUUUAUCUUUCUUUCGAGUCUCAGAUCUAUACAACGCACUACAGACUGCAUCAAAUGUGAUUGAAUCUUUCCCAUGAAGCAAUGUGGUGGUAAGAUGAUCAUAUUCAUCAGGAAGGGAAUUCAACAACAAUAAUGCCUUGUCUUCAUCUUCAAAUUUCUCAUCCAAAUUUAGCAAGUCUGCUAAAAUUUUAUUGAAUGAGUUCACAUGGUCAUUCAUCGACAUACCGGGUGCAUACGUGAACCGAAAAAGUUUCUUUUUCAUAUAAAGCCUAUUUUCAAGACUUUUCGUUAGAAACUUUUCUUCCAAUGUAUCCCACAGCUUCUUCGCUGAUGUCUCCCUCAUGACGGAGUACUUCUGCUCUUUGGCCAAACAUAGGCGGAUUGUACCACACGCCUGUCUAUUGAUCUUGGCCCACUCCUUGUCAUCCAUCUUGUCAGGUUUUUCUUCAAGGGCUAUAUCCAGCUCUUGCUGACAUAAGACAUCCAGGAUCUCACACUGCCACAUACCAAAAUUAUUGGUACCGUCAAAUUUCUCUACUUCAAAUUUUGCAUUUGUCACAGUAGUCCUUGCUGAUGACGAUGCUGCUGCCAUUUUUCUCCUCAGUCCCAGCUACUGUAUACGUGAAUAGUAUCGUAUACGUGAAUAGUACUAUAUACGUGAAUAGUGCCGUAUACGUGAAUAGUACCGUAACGGUCGUAUUCCCCAAGUACGAACCUGGCUCUGGUACCAAUUGUUGCGCGGAAGCGUGUGAAAGAGUAAAAUUAUUGUACUGAAAAAUCACACUAAGUUCAAUUCCCAGGAAAGAGAGGUGGAUCACGAGGAUCGCUUACAUACCAGAUCUUUCCUAGCCAGAAUAUCCCUCUAUCGUAAUUUAAUAGCACAAUAAAUCACUACAAUGACACUUGCAAAAUAUGCAGAACAAAAAUAAAGAACACUAGAAUUUUAACGAGGUUCAGCAAAUUUUGCCUACGUCCUCGGGCACUACCAAAUAUAUUUCACUCCAAAAAAUACAAGUGAAAGUUUACAAAUAGGGAGAGAGAACAAUUGCCUUAAGUAGAGAAUGGCAAGUGUGGGAUGAAGAAAGUAAGAAAUGGUUAGGCCUAUUUAUAGUUGAGGUUCAAGGAUCAACUUGCAAUGUCCCUAUACAAUUAGGGACCAAAAUUGCAAUUAUCCCAUGCCAACUUUUAACCCAACUUGCCAACCAAUUUUACUUUCUACUUUCGGUGCCCACCCUUUUUGACUUUUCAAACAAUGGGUGGGUUCCAAUAGUAAUAUCCUUUGAAGUUUGUUCUAAGAACAUUAGAAUGCUAAUCAUUAGAGUUUCAACUUAAGAUUAAACACAAAAAAUAUUGAAAAGUUUCAAGUACUAGGUGUAUUUUGAAAGAGUUGCUCCUAGGGCAUUUUCUCACCAUUCUUUUUCUUCCAUGGAUUCAAAUGCCUGUAAAAGAAAACCAAGGAAUAAAAAAUCAUAUCUACAACUCCAACAGAAGAGGGGAAUACCGGAAGAACAACCUCUACUUACCCUAUCAUAAACACUGGUAACAUCACUGUUGAAGCCUUUCAUAGCAGGGAAUCUUCAUAUAAAGAAUGAUUGAAGACCCACUGUGACACAUUUAGCUUUGAAGCUUCAGAUAGCUAGCCUGUCAAAAUGAUCAAAUAACAUAUCACAACUACCAUACUUGUGGUCUGAGCUUGAGAAAAUAAGGGAUGCUCUGAAAAAUUGGUGAUGAUCCAUCCAUCCAUAAUCACAACGAUUGCGCUCAAGCGAUGCAUCAACAAGAGAAGUGCACACAUAAACGUACAAAAUACCGAGGAAAGCCAACCAAACAUCCUUCAAUAGUACAAUGAAAUGUCAAAUGUUUUUAACAAAAAUCCCAUUCCCAUAUACAUAGGCAUAACAAUUGCAGUUGAGCGAUUGCUCCAAGCCCAUGCCAUAUAGUACAAAGCAAAGGAUCCUUAAGGACGAGGACGAUAUAAGAGUUAACCAAACAUAUAUGCAAAAAAAGCUUAGAAAUCAGAAGCUGCCGAUGAAAACAGAACAUUCAAAUUGCUUAAUAAAUGUUCCCGAUGAAAAAUAUAUGAAUAUACGCAUAAAUUUAGUAUUGCUAUUAAAUAUCAUGAGCACUGCACAAAUUUAGCCCAAUUUAAAGGAAAUUUUUUUUUCUAAAUUUCCAUUUUAUUUGACAUAUCUAGAUUUGUAAUUUGAAACUUUGUUCUUAUUCACAUGAAUUAAAAUUUGAUCUAAUCUGAUUUUAUCAUUAAAAAUGAGCCAACAGCCUAAAUCUUAAUUCAGACGAAUAAAAGCCUAAUCAUGUGGUUUUGUGAGAAAUUAACACUAGGGUAAUCUAAAAUUAAACGCCUGAUGAUAUCUCGACUCUCUUAGCUUCUUGCUAGGGAAUUAGAUUACUCUCACACACUAACACACACAUUUCCCCUAAGGUAGCUACGCUAAUUUUCUUGAAUUCCCUUCUUAAUCACAGCUCUUAUUUCUAGUGAUUUUAUCCCUACAGAUUGAUCGACCAAUCAUGCUAAAUCGCUAAAUAAAAUACCAUGCUGGCUAUGUGAAAUGCUGCCAUCGGGGGCAUCCUUAGCGAUCAUAAUAGAACUUCUUUGCUGACUUUUUCUAAGGCCAUUAGAAAAGAAAAUAUAACAAGAGAACACAAUGUGGCUCGGGAAUAUUAUUCCUUAGAACAACAGGCAGAACCAAGAAUGAAAAUUACAUCAUAAAAUAAAAUACCUCACCACAAUAACCAUUCACAAACUUUGAGCAAGGUUCUUAACGGUCAUCGUCGGUAGACUUUGCAACUCUGGUACCAUUUGGCUUUUAACCCCCAUCAAAUUUUGUGGUUCUCAAAACUGAGUGAAUGUAGAAGGCUAAAUAAAUAACAUAUUUGGCUCCUCCACUUCUUUUUAUGAAGGUUUCCUUGAAGUGCCCUAUAAGAGUAUGAUAAUGCUAAUCAUUAGAGUUUCGGUUUAUAGAUUAGACAAAAAAUGAAAAGUUUCAAGUAGCAUUGGUAUUUUGAAAGGGUUAAUUCAAGGCCAUUUUCUCACCAAUUUUUCUACCUUGAUUCCACACAAUCCACAUGAUCAAAAAUGUAAAUUCUCAUCAAGUGAAUUGAUGCAGCUCAAAAGUAGCCUUCUAAUGAUUUCUGUUGUGUUAAUGCCUAAAUUGAGCUCUCUAAUGCCAUGCCCUAGUGUGUAGUGUAUCCUUCCUGUAUGGAUCAAUACCAUGUUCAUAGUUGUAAUAAAAUCUGUUGACACUGAUAUCCUUACUCAAUAACCACAAAGAUCUGUAAACUAUUACGUAAAGACUUGUUCUUCUAUGUGAAAAAUAUAAUGUCGGUAAUGACAAUAUAUCGCAAAGAAAAAAUAGAAAUAGAAAAAUAAAGAACACACAAAUUUUACGUGGAAACCCUUUCGGGAAAAAAAAACCAUAGGCAGAGGAGAAGAAAAUUUACUAUGUCGAAAACUUAAUUACAAGAGGAGUAGACUAUGCCUAUUUAUAGGCUUGUAAACCAUAUUCUAAUAGGAGUGAAACUCCUUAUUCAAAUAAUAUCAAAUAGAUGGAGUUUAAUAAGGUUUAGAAACCUUAUUCUAAAAUAAAAUAAAAGAAGUAUAAUUCUAUAGGGAUUUUACUUUUAUUUUAUUUUACCACAGUAUUUUAUUUAAAUAAGGAUUUGGGUCACUUAAUUCUAACAAUCUCCACCUUGACACAAAUUCUUAAUGAACAAGUUCUUCAUCGCGAACUCUCAACGAACAAGUUUCUCCACCUCUUCCAUAAAACCCCUUAAGGGUUUAUUUGCAACAAUGAACACCAACCAAGUCUAAGCAAUACUCAAACUUGGUUAUAGGAAGUGACUUAGUCAUCAUAUCUGCAGGAUUUUCAUGGGUACUAAUUUUGCUCACAACAAUAUCACCACGAGCAAUAAUAUCACAAACAAAAUGAUACCGAACAUCAAUGUGUUUUGUUCUCUCAUGAAACAUUUGAUCUUUUGUAAGGAAGAUGGCACUCUGACUGUCACAAAAUACUGUAUUGAUUUGAAGGUCUUCAUUGAGUUCACUAAAGAGUCCCUUCAACCAUAUAGCUUCUUUACAAGCCUCAGUAAUUGCCAUGUACUCAGCUUCAGUGGUAGACAAAGCGACUGUAGUUUGCAAAGUGGCUUUCCAACUGAUUGCACAACCUCCGAUUGUAAAGACAUAACUGGUGAGAGAUCUUCUUCUAUCGAGGUCCCCAGCAAAAUCAGCAUCAACAUACCCAAUGACUCCAUCUCUAGUUCUUCCAAACUGUAAGCAAACAUCGGUAGUACCUCGUAAGUAUCUUAAAACCCACUGAACUGCUUUCCAAUGUUCUUUACCAGGAUUCGCCAUGUAUCUGCUAACUGCACUAACUGCAUAUGAUAAAUUUGGACGUGAACAAACCAUGGCAUACAUGAGAGAUCCCACUGCACUAGAGUAUGGAACAUGUGACAUGUACUCAAUCUCAUCAUCUGAUUGUGGAGACAAAGCCGAUGAAAGUCUGAAAUGGGCUGCUAAAGGAGUACUAACAGGCUUAGCAUUCUGCAUAUUGAAUCUGGAAAGAACUUUCUCAAUGUACCCUUUCUGACUUAGAUACAAUUUACUUGCUUUUCUAUCCCUGAGAAUCUUCAUACCAAGUAUCUUCAUUGCUGGUCCCAAGUCUUUCAUCUCAAAUUCUUCACUUAGUUGGGCUUUGACCUUUUUUAUCUCUCAUUUAUCUUUUGCUGCUAUCAACAUGUCAUCAACAUAAAGGAGUAGAUACACAAAAGAACCAUCACUGUUUUUCUUAAAGUAAACACAACUGUCAAAGCUACUUCUUUUAAAAUCAUGAGAAGUCAUAAAGGAAUCAAACCUCUUAUACCACUGUCUUGGUGACUGUUUCAAACCGUAAAGGGUCUUUUUCAGCAAGCAAACAUAGUCCUCUUUUUCUGAAACUGUAAAACCUUCUGGUUGUUGUAUGUAAAUAUCCUCCUCAAGUUCUUCAUGCAAAAAUGCAGUUUUUACAUCUAACUGCUCAAGCUCCAAAUCAUGCAUGGCCAUAAUACCAAGCAAAGCUCGAAUCGAACUAUGCUUCACAACUGGAGAGAACACAUCUGUGAAGUCCACUCCGGGAAUUUGACUGUAACCCUUUGCAACAAGCCUUGCUUUAUAUCUGGGUUCUUCAACUCUUGGAGUCCCUUCUUUCUUUUUAAACACCCAUUUACAACAAACAACUUUUUUACCUUUAGGAAGUUUCACAAGAUCCCAUGUUUGAUUUUUGUGUAGUGAUUCCAUCUCCUCUUGCAUAGCAUACUCCACUUUUCUGAGUCUUCACAACUAACCGCCUCAGAAUAAUUAGAUGGCUCUUGAUUUGCAUCUAUAUCUUCAGCCACAUUUAAUGCAUAAGCAACUAGAUCAGCCUCGGCAUACUUCUUUGGAGGUUUAAUUUCUCUUCUAGUUCUGUUUUUGGCGAUAGAGUAUUGUGGUGAAGAAGCAACUCUAUUUUGAAUUUUUGUACUGGCUUUAGUAGUCGACUCUGUUGUAGAUUCUAGAUCAAUCUGAUGCUCCACCUACUUUUGAUUUUCUUUAUUUGAAGAGUCUUUAAGAGAUAAGUUAGGUAGCAUAGCAGUUUCAUCAAAAACAACAUCUCUGCUAAUCACAACUUUUCUAUUUUUAGGACACCAUAACUUAUACCCUUUUACACCAGCUUUAUAACCAAGAAAAACACAUUUAAUAGAUAUUGGUUCCAAUUUUCCAUUAUCAACAUGAGCAUACGCAGGACAACCAAAGAUAUUUAAAUCAGAAUAGUCAGCAGGAUUACCAGACUAACCUCUUGUGGAGUCUUUUUCUCAAUGGCAAUGGAUGGAGAUCGGUUGAUCAAAAAACAUGCAGUAGAGGCUGCUUCUGCCCAAAAUGACUUUGAUAAGUUGGCAUUUGACAACAUACAUCGAACCUUCUCCAUGAUUGUUCUGUUCAUUCGUUCUGUAACGCCGUUUUGCUGUGGAGUAUGACGAACUGUCAAGUGUCUCAUGAUCCUUUCUGACUGGCACAGUUUAUUAAAUUCAUCAGAACAAAACUCUAAGCCAUUGUCUGUGCGGAGAUAUUUUAUUUGCUUCCCCGUCUGUUUUUCAAUCAUGGUUUUCCAAGACUUAAAUGCGGAAAACACAUCGCUUUUCUGCUUCAAGAAGAACGCCCACACUUUUCUGGAAAAAUCAUCAAUAAAAGUUAGCAUAUAAUUAGCUCUACCUCUCGAAGGCACUCUGAAUGGCCCCCACAGAUCAGAAUGAAUAUACUCUAAUGUUCCUUUCGUGUUAUGGAUUCCUUUGGUGAAUCGAACUCUCUUUUGCUUCCCAAAAAUACAGUGCUCAUAGAACUUCAGUUUGCAAAUUCCUUGCCCAUUAAGAAGUCCUCUUUUGCUCAAUUCUGCCAUGCCAUUCUCACUCAUAUGCCCUAGACGCAUAUGCCAAAGUUUAGUAAUAUCAUCAUCUGACAAGGAAGAGGAUGAGACAGCUACAUCACCAGUAACAGUAGAACCCUGCAAAACAUAUAACUUAGCAGUCUUUCUCUGCCCUUUCAUCACAAUGAGGGAACCUUUGGAAAUCUUCAAAACCCCACUUUCAGCUGUGUAUUUGUACCCUUUUGAAUCAAGAGUACUCAACGAAAUUAAAUUUCUUUUUAAUUCUGGAACAUGUCGUACGUCACUGAGUGUUCUGACAACUCCAUCAAACAUCUUAACUUUGAUUGUUCCAACACCUGCAAUUCUACAUAAAGCAUUAUUUCCCAUCAACACAAUACCUUCAGACACUAUUUCGUAAGUUGCAAACAAAUCUCGAUUGGGAUUCAUGUGGAAGGUGCAACCCGAAUCAAGAAUCCACUCGUCGCUCACUUUGGAAUUGUCGACAAAAGCGACUAGAAGUUCACCAUCGCUGUAAUCUUCUACAACAUCAGCUUUACCAGAAUUUUCUAGUUGUUUUCCAUUUUGAUUUGCAGCCUCCCUUUUGAUCUUAUUCUGUAGCUUAUAGCAUUCAGAUUUAAUGUGCCCUUUCUUCUUGCAAAAGUUACAAGUUUUACCUCUGUUUGAAGACUUCAAUCUACCUUUAGAUUUACUGCGAGGAUUCCGUUCCUGUAUCCUUCCAUGAUCAUCAUCAGCAUUCCGAUCUUGCCUCCCACGAACAAUAAGACCCUCUCUCUGAGAGUCAGUUUUAACCACAAGAUGCUUCAUCUUAUCAUACGAGGUUAAAGAAUCAUAAACCUCAUCAACUGUGAGAGACUCGCGGCUAUAUAAAAUCGUAUCUCUAAAGGUUGAAUAAGACGGGGGCAACGAACAAAGUAGAAUCAGCCCUAGAUCUUCCUUAUCAUACUGAACCUCCAUGGCCUCCAAGUUUGAGAGAAUUUCUUUGAACACUGUUAAGUGUUCGUGCACAGAUGCACCUUCCUCCAAACGAUGAGCAUAAAGACGCUGCUUCAUAUGUAGCUUGCUAGUUAGAGUUUUCGACAUACAAAUCUGUUCCAACCUCUUCCAUAAUCCAGCGGCAGUCUUUUCCUUCAUCACAUCCUACAAAAUUUCGUUAGACAAAUGCAAAUGUAACUGUGUUAACGCCUUUCGAUCCUUGCGCUUCUUCUCUUCUUCCGUCAAAGUUGAAGGCAUCUUAUCUACCCCUAGUAGGGCUUCCUCUAAGUCCAUCUGUGCAAGAACUGCUUGCAUCUUUAUCUGCCACAAUGCAAAUCUAGUGUUGCGAUCCAACAGCGGAAUUUCGUACUUCAAAGACGUCAUUACCGUGAUUGAGAUGAACAACCCGGAAGCUCUGAUACCAAUUUGUGAAAAAUAUAAUGUCGGUAAUGACAAUAUAUCGCAAAGAAAAAAUAGAAAUAGAAAAAUAAAGAACACACAAAUUUUACGUGGAAACCCUUUCGGGAAAAAAAACCACGGGCAGAGGAGAAGAAAAUUCACUAUGUCGAAAACUUAAUUACAAGAGGAGUAGACUAUGCCUAUUUAUAGGCUUGUAAACCUUAUUCUAAUAGGAGUGAAACUCCUUAUUCAAAUAAUAUCAAAUAGAUGGAGUUUAAUAAGGUUUAGAAACCUUAUUCUAAAAUAAAAUAAAAGAAGUAUAAUUCUAUAGGGAUUUUACUUUUAUUUUAUUUUACCACAGUAUUUUAUUUAAAUAAGGAUUUGGGUCACUUAAUUCUAACAUUCUAGAAAUCCUUUGGGUAAUAUUUGACAUAGAUAUGUAAAACAGUUUAUAAAAUUUUGCAUGUAUUUAAAAGAUCAUAUCUUUUAUACUCGUCAAGGUGAAACUAAGAGACAUAUUUAAAAUAGUUCACUCGCACUCACUUUUAAGGGUGGAUUCUUGAGGUUUUAGCUAAAGUUAAAAAAAGCUUGAGUUCAAUUUAACAACUAGGACUCGAAGCUUGACUCAAUUUAGAUUGAGUUUCAGUUUUAAUGUAGAGCUCGAUUUUGAUAUAAAAAUUUACUUAAGUUCGUUAUAUUAGAUUCGUUUACCAAAUAAAAUGAAAAAAAAGGGGUCAAAUUCUAUUAUUAAUUCUUACACUAUGUAUAAGUCAUGGAUUUAGUUUAUGUAUUUUAAUUUGGUUAUUUUUAGUCACUAUACUUUUCAAAAUUUAAAAUUUCAAUCUUCAUCAAAUAGUAACUGUUAAAUUUAUUAAGUUAAAUUAUACUAUUUUAAAAAAUAUGUAUAAAAAUAUAUUAUCAUACUAGCUUGUUAUUUUCAUAUAAUACUCAUAAAAAAGUCACAUUAUUUUAGUUAAUGAAUUUAACUGCUAUCAUUUGAGUUAAGAUUGAAAUAUCAAAUUCGAAAAGCAUAAAGACUAAAAACAAUUAAAUUGACGAACAAAUUAAAGUACAUGAACUAAACUUACAACUUACGCGUAAUAUAAGGACUAAUAGUGAAAUUUGACCAAAAGAAAACAUGAAAACAAACAUGCAUACAUACAUACCCUAAGUGCAAGGAAGUGUCUGAGAGAUGGUUGUCAUCAUCUGAUAUUGCACUAUUAUUAUCAUCAGCCUUUGAAUUAUUUGGUGAAUGAUCAAGUCUUCUUUCCAGCAAUGGAUUCAAUUCUAGUAUAUUCGAGUUCGAGCUCCUUUUUUGUCUCAAUUCCUCAACCGUAAAACUACAUUCAAUAAUCAACAAAAUGCAAUAUUACAAACUCCAAAAUCUUAAUAUCAUAUAUAAGCUAAACUACACUGCUAAUCACCCAAUUAUUGGUAAGUUUAUUUUUUGAUUACCCAAUUAUAAAAAGUUACAAAAUUGUCAUGAUUUUGUCCUUUUUGUCAUCCGUUAUUAAAUGGCUCAUGGAAAGAUUACGUGGCAGGUUUUAAAAUUGGCACUAUAGCAAUUUUAACCCUCAACAUUUAUACAUUGUGUCAAUUUAGUCUUGACUCUAAAAAGUUUAUCUCUCAACAUUUACAUGUAGUGUAAUUUAGUGUUUUUUUUGUGUGACCUUUUAACAGCUUAAAAAGCUAAAAAAAUAAAUUUAUCAGCUAAAUUUUAUCGAAAAUAUAUUAAAUUAACACUCAAUGUCACAAAGAAAAGCAAAACUGCAAAAAAAGACUAAAUUAUAGAAUGUAUAAAUGUUGAGGGUUAAAUUUUUUAGAAUGAAGACUAAAUUGACACAGUAUAAAUAUUGAGAGUUAAAAUUACUAUUAUACCAAUUUUAAAAGCCAUCAAAUUACCUUUCUAUUAGUGAUUUAAUUGUUGGUGACAAAAAAAUUUGAACAGUUGGGUGAUUAACAAUAUAGUUUACUCUUAUAUAUAUAUAUAUAUAUACAUGUGUGUAUGUGUGUAGCAGUUGAUUAUACGUAUGACCUACGUACCUGUUUGCGUCGAUCUUCAUUCUCCAUUAUAGUCUUCUGUUCCUGAAAAUAUACAAAUAUUAAACCAGAAAUCAUUAAUAUUAAAUGUUAAUUACAAUUAUUUGAUUGCUAAACAUAUAUGAUUCCUUAUUCUCUUUCAAAAGUAAAUAUUUAUACUCUAAUUUGUAUCUAUAAUUUUAUCUUUUAAGUCGAGGUUUUUAGAUAUUCAGAUAUAUAUAGUGGGUAAUUAAGCAUUGGAUUGACAUAUAACCUUUUAUGUCAAAUGUUCGAAUCUGGACUUGAACUAAGAAUAAGUGUCGAAUAUCGAUAUAUGUUAAUAUAGAUGUGAUGAAUUUUUUAAAAUCGAGAAACAUUCCUCUUAUAUAAAUAUUCAAAUUUGUGUCAAACACGUAUAUAAAACAUAAUUACUUUAGAAAAAAUUGGAUUAAUAUAGGGGUAUAAUUUGAUGAGAAUAGUUUAUUUAAAAAAUUUACUAAAUUUGAUGAGAAUAGUUUAUAAUUAUAAUUUAUUUUUUCUAUUUGGUUUUUAAAUAAACUAUUCUCAUUAAAUUACCAAAAUAAUACAUAAAAUGCGAAUUAGUUUAUACUUUUUUAAAUAGUUUUACUUUAGGUAAAAUAUAUUUACUUUAAUAAUAAAAUAAAGGGCUUUUAUGAGUAAAAAUCAUAAAUUAAGAGCUUAUUUAACUACAAAAAUAGGUUGAGGGCUUGUUUAUUAAAUAAAAAAAUGAGUUGAAGGGGAAUAAAAAGAAAAUAAUAAAUAAGGAGGGCUUAGAAGGCAAUUAGCCAUAUUUCAAUUUUAGUGCGCCCCACACGCACACAGCAAUUAACUUUCAAAAUUUAAAAUGGUAAAUUUGCAUGUCAGGUCCUUGAAACUACAAAUAGUUACAUUUUAGUCCUUUGGCACCAUUGGUGCCGCCAAUCACUUUGGCACCUUUGGUGCCGCCAAUGUGAUUGGCCUGAUCAGGCUGUUGUCAGGUUUUUUUUUCUGUUUUUUGUUUUUUUUGGUAUAUUUUGGUAAAUAAAAAAUUUUAUAAUAUUUUGGUAAAUAAAAAAAAGUUAUAAUAUUUUGAUUAUUUUUUAUUUUUUUUAUAAUAAUUUUGUAAAAAACCCUUUAUUAUAGGUUUAUUUUUUUUUCUAUUUAUCUUAAUUUCUCUACCUUUUUACUCUGCUGUUUUUGGCAUUUCAACUCAAAAUGGAUUUUAUUUUUGCUUUGGGUUUCUUUUUUUUAAUAUAAAAAGUGGUUUUUAAUUAUUUAUAUAUUAUUAAUGUGUUUUAACAAUUUUUGUGAGUAAAUAUUGAUUUUUUUUGUGAAUUACAAUAGGAGGGCAAAGCCCUAACAACAAUACGACUAGAGCGAUUCGAAUUUAGGCCACACUUGAGACGUUGAACACAAGUAUUUCACGAUGACAUAUAACACAUGUUUUUUUAAAUUCAUGGCUAAAAUAAUAAAAAAAAACCUCUUUAUUUUAUUGUAUUCAAAUAAUAAAAAAACCAUGGUUUUAGUCGUACCGGCCUGUAGGGCUGUGCAUUAUUCGGUUAAAACCAAAUUUUUUCGGUUAACCGACCGAGUUCGGUUAAUCGGUCGGUUAACCGAAAAAUUUUGGUCGGGGGUCAGUUAAAUUUUUUUAGUUUGUUCGGUUAACGGUUAAAUAGGUUCGAAAUGGGUCGGUUAACUGAAAAAAAUUCGGGUAAACCGAAAUUUACAGGGUAGGCCUACUCCCUCCCAAUUUAAACUCAGCCCAAUAUAAACCCAACCCAAUUUUUUCUUAGGCUCACCAAAUAGGACAGCCAAAUUCAACACCCCUAGCCCAGUAGCCUUAGAACCUGCUCAUGCUGCCCAUUUCUGAUUUCUCAGUAGCCUUAGAACCUGCUCAUGCUGCCCAUUUCUGAUUUCACUUUCACUUUCACUCACACACACAGUCACACUUAAGCUGCUGCUGAAACUUAUUGGUCUACUUGUAUUCCGAUAGCUGGCAUAAUCCCAUCAAAUUAAUAUUUAGAUUGGAAUUAGUAAUUCCAAUUAAACUAUGGUUGAACUUUGCGUAACCAUAUUUAAUAUUUAAGAUGAGAAAGUCAGCAAUGGAGCUAUUGUUUAUAAUGGUAUUUGCCAAAGGCAGAAGCUGGUUUAAAAUAAAGAGCAAAUGGGUCCAAGAAUGAAAAAGAGCUGUUUGAAUGCAAAUACCUGGAAAAAUUUCCAUUUCCCCCUCUUUAAUGUUCAAAGUUCAAACAUUUCCAUGUCUUAUUCUUACAUGUAAUUUUUAGUCUUUUAACGUAAUAACUAAGUUUUCAAAUUGUCAAUUCGGGUAAUUCGGAUAAUUUUCGGUUAAUUCGGGUAAUUCGGAUAAUUUGGGUAAUUCGGGUAAUUUUAAACCAAAAAUGAACAACACAUAUUUUUCGAUUAAUUCAGUUAACCGACCUUAUUAACUGAAAAAAUUUCGGUUCGGUUAAUUUUUUUAAAAAAAAUUCGGUUCGGUUAACGGUUAAAAAUUUUGGGAGGUCGGUUAAUUCGGUUAUAACAAUUUCGGGUAGGUUAACCGGUCGGUUAACCGAAUGAACACCCCUACCGGCCGGUGCCGCCGUUCUACUGCUAUAGCGCAACAAGCAACACCCUUUUUCCAUACUAAUGAAAAUUUUGGUUUGUACCGUUCGCAUUGGCCAAAACAUGGUACACCUGCUGCUGCAUAAAUAAAGUUAAAAAAUAUAAAACUUUUAACUAUUUUCUAUUAGACUUAAAUAUUUAAUUGAAAUGUAUUGACCAAUAAAAAAAUAUCACACUAAAAAGUAAAGUUUAACAUUUAAAAAUUUUUUUGGAGCAUACUUUUUCAUUUAAAAUAUAAAAAUUAAAAUAUAAUAAAAAAACCCACUCACCUCGUUAUCAUAGAAAAAGCUUCACUCGCCCUUCAGCUUUUUUUAUUGAAAAAACCCCCUCAUCCUUCAAUUUCUUUUUUCUUCUUAAUUUUGAAUUUAUUGGAUGAUGAGUUUUUACUUGUGGGUUUAUUAAUCAAUAUAUUAUAUAAUUGAUGAAUAGUUUUAUAUUAGAAAUUUAUUUAUAGUAAUUUAUUUGAUAUUUGUAUAUUUAUUUAUAUAAAUAUAUUAAAUAUUUUAAAAAAUAUCGAUAAAUUCAAAGUGGUACAUAAAAUAGACUAGUACCAAUACAUGCCGAUUCUCAUAGAAAAGUGGUACUUACACCAAUGUGGUAAUGGCUACCUUGAAAGCAAGUAUGUGGGUGGCUAUAAUGUUUGAUGCUUUGUUUUCUUUGAAUAUUUUGCUUUGAUGUUUUUGAUUUGUGCUGAUCUUUGAGUGUAAUCAUUGGAAAAUAUAUGACAAUCUAAAUUUUUAUGAUUUGCUAUGUAUUCAUUGUGGUUGUUUUAUUAAUAAAUUUAUAUUUUGGAUUGAGAAAAAAAGGAAAGUAGAGAAAGUGAACACAAUAAUAUACGUGGUUAAGGAAUAUUCCCUACAUCCACAGGCAGAACUGAAAAUGAAAUUCAGUACUAAAAAUUGGAGAUUACAAUGAAAUUAAAGCAUAAAAAUAAAAUACCUUGCCACUAACUAUCUACAAACUUUGAAUGGAUUCAUGGUCUGAGAAAUUCCGAAAACUAAGAUGGACAUCUUUGAGAUUGGACAGAACAAUAUUUUGGAAACUCUGUUGUCUUACAUGUGUUAAAUUGAGCUCUCUAAUGCCAUGUUGUAACGUGUACUGUAUCCCUCCAUUCAUCCUGCAAGGAUCAAUAUCAUGUCUACAGUGAUGACAAAAUCUGUUGGCACUGAUAUCCUUACGCAAUAACAGAAAUCUAUCCACAAAGAUCAACAAACUAUCACGUAAAAGACUUGUUCUUCUGAAACACCAUUGGUUAAUAGUACAAUGAAAUCUCAAAUACUUUUAACUAAAAUCCCAUUCCCAUAUACCAAUUUCAUAGCAGCUGCAUAGAAACUAGAAGAUGCAGAUGAAAACAGAACAUUCAAUUUGCUGAAUAAAUGUUGCAGAGAAUUGACUAACCGCUUUACUAAAUCAAAUAAGCUGAAGCAAACCAGUUGAAGGUCUCCUCUAUUUUUCAUGUUGUUCAUGAGGACAAUCAGAUAUAUAUAAAGUCAUGAGGACAACCAGAUAUAUAUAAAGAAAAGGUAUGAAAUUGAUAAAUGUUUAAAAUGCGUUUGUUUGAGUGUGGAGAAAUCGAUGCCAGAUUUUGCUACUUCAAUUAAAUUUAAUGCCCUCGGAGAGAUGACUUUUCAUAUCAAUUCGAACAUAAGGUAUGUGGGCAAUCUUGAACCACUCUCGUCCUUUACCCCUUCUGCACCCUUCUUCUACCAACGGGCAACGCUGAAUACAUAGAUGCUCAAGCGAGAGAAGCAUAUCUUUUUCCGGAAGAGAUGUGAGCUUAGGACAUUCAUAGAUUCGCAAUUUUUGAAGAGAGGUCAGGUAUUGAAAGCCCUUGGAGCACAUGAAUUCCAAAUUCUCAAACUUUUCAAUGGAAAUAAAUGUGAGAGAAGGAGGCAGCGUCAUUCCUAUCCCUUCUUCUGGAAACGACACCACAUUUGAGCAUCCUUCACCGCUGAUGUUGAGUCGCUGAAGAGAGGUGAGUCUGUUAAAUCCCCAUUGAACAAGUGAUGUAUAAAUUUUGGGUGCGUUUGAGAUUGCAAGUGAUGUGAGGUUGGCAGGGAAACCCUCUUCAGGAAAGGAUAUGUCAGCCGAACAAUAAGACACCUUUAAUUCUCGAAGGGAGGUGAAGUUGUUGAUGCACUUGGGAAGGACUCCAAAAUUUUCACAAUUCUCAAUUGCGAAAACUCUGAGAUUUGUGGUGGGCAACCCACUUUCUUCAAAUGAAACCAGAUUUGGACACCAAGAUAAUUUAAUCUCCUGAAGAUGGCUGAGCUUGUCUAAUCCCCGCGGUAAUGAUUUAAUUUUUUCAGCACCACGAAUGCCAAUGCUUUCGAGAUCCGUGGUUUCAAAGAAGUCUUGGGCUAUGCAUUCCAACACUGGACAAUCCCAAAUAAAUAGCUGUUUAAGCAUUACGGGUAACUUGGCGUUUAAAAAUAACCUACUUAGCUUUGAACAACUUUCAAUUUCGAGAUGUUGAAGUCGAUUGCAUAUAUCGCCCCUUGAUGAUAACCAUAUUAGAGAUGGACAGCUUCUUAUUACUAAGUGCUCAAGAAGACAAGUGUUGCUACUCAUACUCUUAUUAUUAUUUUCAUUUUCAUCAACCAAAUAUUGCAAAUUCACGCAAUUCCCAAUCCUCAGCUCUUUUAAAGCAGGAGGAAAGUUACUCUCUGCCAAACAAACCAAGCCUGGACAGUUUUCAAGUUGUAUGCUUGUAAUCAAUGGGAAAGCAUGUAAGGCUUCUGGUAGUCUUUUGAGCCUUUCACAGUUCCUUAUGUUCAGAGAUUCAACACCUGGAAUCUUGUCAAGUUGCAAUCUCUCCUCCUCUGUUUCCAAAGAGACCAAUUGGGGACAAUCCGCAAUACUAAUAAAACGAUGCCCGACUAAUCUUAACCCAAUUUGCGAUAAAGAUCCCAACUCCUUCCAACCAGAGAUGUUGAAUCUUUCGGAGUUUGCAAAUCUCAACAUUAUCCUCUCUGCUGAAAUGUUAAAUUUUGAAAUAUUUGACACAGACAAAAUUUUCAAGGAGGUAACCUUCUGUACAGACAAAGAACCUUCAUCCACCAAUUCUUCACACCCUUCAACCCAUAUUUUACGCAGCAAGGGAAAACUUGAAAUUGAAACUACCAGUCUCUUACAGUUGUAGAUUUCAAGUGUCUGCAAGGAUUGAAGGAUGGUUGGCAACGUUCCCAGCAAUAGAGGACAUUUUCUGAUUGAAAGAAAACGAAGGCUGGGGAAUUUCGAUGCUUGCUCAUCAUCUUCACAUAGGUCCCACUCCUCCCAAUUCAGCAUGUUGUCAAAACGCAGAGACUCUAAUGAUGCAAAAGCAUUUGAUUGAUUUUCUCCAAACAACUCAGCACCAAUCUUGUGUACUUGAUCCAAACCACUAAUUGAAAGAUCUUUUAACAACAACAACCUUCCAAUCGAUGGUAGAGAUUUGCAAUUUUUACAAUUGCGAAGCUCCAAUGACAACAUAUUUUUGAAGGAAGGAUCUGCAAUCCAAGUAGAGAAUUUUGCACCACCAUAAUUCUCAAUGACGAGUUGCUCAAGCUUUUUUGGAGGACAAAGAGAGUCCAACACCCAUUCUUCAACUUCUUUAUUCCUUGAAGCAUUUUCAAACUUUUUCCUCCAAUGCAAUUCCAGUCGAUCAAUCCCCUGCUUCUCAUAUAACUUGCUUUCCCCUGCAUCUUCACCAUUAACAUUCUCCAACCCAGAAAGACGGAAAUCACCUUCGAGGUUUGACAAAUAUUUCAAAUAUCUAAUAUGACAACCAUCACCUUCCGCUAUGAUAAAAUCAGAUAACCUUUGAAGAUUCCUUAGCUUAUCAAUUCUAAAAGGAAUCCUUUCUAUUGAGUUCGCACCUCUGAUAUCAAGAUAAUGCAAGUUGACAAGAUUUCCCAUCUUUGAAGGUAACCUUUGAAGCUUGUAACACCUUCUUAAUAAUAAGGUUUCUAAAUGGUAAAGAGUGCACAAAGAAUCUGGUAGGCAUUUGAUUUGUGUGCUCGAAAAAUUUAAGUAGCGAAGAUGUUUUAAAUUUUCAAAAACAUCAGGCAACUCAGUGAUUUUAUACCCACUCAAAGAAAGCAUCCUUAGGUAGCCAAGUCUUGGUAACAAAUCAUCCAAAACAACAUUAGUUAAAAAAGGGACCCGAUAAUCACACAUUAAGGGUAAAAAAGUACGUAAAGAAUUCACUUGAUCAAAUGGUUCAAACUUCUUCACUGUGUCAUAAUCACUGACAAUAUAAGAAGAAUGUCGAGUGCGAUUUGAGAACUUCCAUUUCUUAUCACCCUCUAAUUUUGAGCAUAUUUCCCCUGCAACUACUUGAGCUAAAUCAUUGAUAAGGUCAUGCAUUACGAAUCGGGACUUAUCGUUACUGGAUGUCUGAAAGAAUCGGGACUUAUCUUUACUGGAUGUCUGAAAAAAUGACCUGGACACUAGAUCUUGAAAAUAUUGAUUUCCGAGAUCUUUAAUUUGGGGCUUAGCUUUUUGUUGCAAGAGACCUUCUGCUCUCCAUAACAAGAUAAUUUCUUCUUCCUCAAAUUCAUAGUCUUUAGGAAGUAUGGAGCAAUGUGCAAAACAUCGUUUCAAGUAUGACGGAAGAUGAUGGUAGCUUAACCGCAAAGCUGGAAUUAUGCCACACUGCUCUUCUGGUAAGUUCCAUAUCUCACUCUCAUAUAUUCUUUCCCAUUUUCCAUGAUAUUUAACCGUGCGAAGCAAGCUUCCAAUGGCUUUUGCAGCCAAAGGUAAGCCAUUGCACCUUCUAACAAUUUUCUCUCCAAUUUCUUUAAACUGGAGAUGUCCAUCGAAAUUUCUUGCUUUUAAUGCAUGCUGUGUAAAUAUGGAUAAACAAUCAUCAUCCGAUAGUUUAUCCAAAUGAAAAGCUUUGAGCGGAUCCACAAUAGAUGAAACAAUUUGAAGACGAGUGGUUACAAUGAUAUGGGUCCCUGCUCCAAACGGAGACCGUAAGAUGGUCCAAUCAUUAUAAUUUUCGUUCCAAAUGUCAUCUAAAACAAGCAAGAAUCUUUUCCCAGACAACUUCUCCUUCAACUUAACUUGAAGUAAAUUCAAGUCAUUCUCGUCACGAGAGUCAGGAUCGAUGGAUUUUAAAAUUGUCCUGGUUAUAUUAACUGCGUCAAAAUGAUCAGAAACGCAUACCCAGGCCUUGUGGUGAAAAGACUGGUUGAUGGUGGCAUCAUUAUAAACAAGCUGAGCAAGAGUUGUUUUACCCAUCCCUCCCAUGCCGACGAUGGAAAGGACUGAAACUCCGUUGGAGUUAUCACCUUUGAGAAACUCAAUCAUUUCUGUCUUCUCCUUGUGUCUGCCAACAUACUCCACAACUCCAUCCAGUACGGAAGUUGGUUGCAGCCUAGGCUGCUUUCCCUUGGAGGUUGGAGCUUGAGACAAGAUCUCACUCAACCCCAAACUACUUCUUCGAGUAGUCAAACUAUUCAGUCUAGUAGUGAUCUCUCUCACCUUCGGAAUCAUGGAAUUCUUAAACAGGAAAGAAGUGGGAGCGAAACUAGUACCAGUAAAGCAGGUAGGAAUGAGUUUCCGUACCUUGCUAGUGCUGGCUUGAGCUUGCGAUUUGUUGAGCUUGAGACGUAACUCUUCAUAAGCGAACUCAUCCAAGAUGUCAUCCACAUCGUAAGCCAAGUCCUGGAGAUCCUCCAACCAUUUCUUCACACCCAUGUUCUUGAUCUGCUUCUCCUCUGCAUCGUCCAACACUGCUUGGAUAUCAGACAAUAUGGACUGCCACUGCUUGAGCUGCUGGUGGAGUUGCUUAUGAUCAGCAACAAAGUUGAGCGCAGAGUCGAGCGAUUUGCCCACCAACAGGUCCAGGAACCCAGAAAGAGCAGCCUCUCCAAUGACAGAAAUGGUGGAAUUAUGAGAAAAAAGAUGAAGAGAGAAAUGAAUUAUCUUGUUAUCCUAAUUUAUGAUGUGAUCAUAAAUUAAACCCUUAAUUAUAGUGCUUAAUGUUCCAUUUUUGGGAAACACUUUUAUAUUAAUUAAUUAUGAGAAAACCUUUUUUUAUGGAGAAGUGUAUUUAUACUAAUUAUAUUAUAGAAAAGUAUGUUUGAGAAUAGGCCUAAUUGAUAUCUUUAUUGGGCUUAAUUUUGAUAAAUUCUUUAAUGAGAUGUGAUUAAUUUUAGAUUUAUUAUUUAAUUUCUGAUUCGGUGUAAAAAUAAACUCAAAAAGUGAAAAAGAGUCGGAAAUACGAAUUAUAGUAAAAAAAUAAUAAUACGAAUUAUCGUUGUGGAAAUUUGCUUAAAUAAAAACAAAAUAUACAUUUGAAUCUUCAACUCCAGGUAAGAAAAUGCGCAAGCAGUGACCUCAUGUCAGUCACAUCCUUAUUUCAUUUUUCAACCCCCGCAAAAGGCAUGAGGAAAAUCUAGCGUGGGGUACCUUGUCCCAUCAAAAUUUUUCACUUCUUUAAAAAUUAUAAUAUAAUAAUAGUCAAUUUACUUUUUAACUCCCAAAAAUAUAGUGAUCAAAUCUGGCCCCUAAAUUGUUUUGAAUAAACUACGCCUAAAUUUACUAAACUAUUAAUAAAUUUAUAUUUUGGUCAUUUAAUUUUAAAAAAUUAUAAAAUAAUUAUUAGAUUAUUUAAAAGUUUUCAUUUAAGUCACUAAACUAUUUGGAAGUUGUUAUCUAAGUCACUACUUUGUUAAGUUUUUUUCCUAAAAAAAUUAAGCUAGUAAACUCCAAGCAACGAUUCAACAAAUACCCAUCAACAAGUACAAUAAUACACCUUAGAUCCAUGUUAAUUAGAUGGUCAAUGUUGUAGAUCGAAGAAGAAAGUUGUUAAAAUUUUGGUUCAUAGACUCGUGACAUUCAAAGUUGUUCCAUAAAAAAGAAUGAAAUAGUAAAAGAGAAGGAGAAAGAUAACUUUCGAUUGAUGUAGAUGGUGUGAAUAAAGAAGGUCAUACAAUAGCGAUUUUAACAAUCCAAUGACUUAAAUUAAAACUUUCGAAUAAUUCAAUGACUAUUUUUAUAACUUUUUUAAAAAUUGAGUGAGUAAAACGUAAACCUAUUAGUAAUUUAAUAACCUUGGUUGUAGUUUACCUAAUUUUCGAGGGAACUAUAAAGGGAAGCAAGAAUACCCAUAUGCAUAAGGUCUACUUUUACCAUGCAUAUCUAAUAUUAAUCCAUAUAUAUCCAAUGGUGAGUACUAAUUUUUAAUUUGUUUAAGACAAACUUAUCUCGAAAAUUCAAAUAUAAAAUUAUAAUUUUAACUCAAUUCAAUUUAAUUUCAUCAUAAAAAUCAAUAGUCCAAACUCAAAAAUAACUUGAAAAAAAAAACAACCUAAAAACAAUAUGAAUCAAACCUAAAAUAACCUAACAUAAGUGGCUUGAAACUUGAGAUGACGACAAAUAAGAGCCAUGACCCCUUCAAAAAUAAUGAAAUUAUAAUUUAAUCCUUUUAAAAUCUAUAAAAUUCUAAAUUUCACAAAAUAAUAUUAACUUGAAAUCUGAGUGUGUAAUGCAAGAUGAACAGAAGUUUCCAAGGUCUAUAAACUGAACUUGUGUGCAGUGACAGAAAGAAAAAAAAAAUACAUGUAGUAGGUGAGCGACAAUAACAGGCUUUAAUUUAAAAAAAAAAAAAAAAAAAAAAAAAGAACAACUGCCUGCAUGCUUCACAUUCCUUUCAUUUUCCAGCCGCCUAAUCAACCAACUUGCUCACAUUGUGAUGGACAUUUGAUUAUUUUGUUUCGGUUUAUUUAUAGUUUUACUCCCUCGAAAUUUUAACUCUUUCUACUUUUAUCAUAGUAUCAUCGUUUGUUGUUGUCAGUAAACUGAUGACAUCAUUAAAGAGGUCCUAGUCCAUGAAAUUAUUGCACCCUCCCAUUUUUUCCGUUCCAGCAGUUAUUUGUAUAGCUUUUCUUUUAGACAUAAUGAUCACUCCUAAUUUGGGUUUUUUACACAAAUAGAGUGAAAAAAAAUUCUACUGAAAUAAAGUGUCAGAAAAUGUAUUUAUUAAAAUAAGUUAUUUUUUUUAUUGGAGCCUAAUAGAUAAGCGCCAAUGAAUAAAAAAUAAUAAAAAAAAUUUUUGAAUAAAAUAUUUUUUAUAUUUUUUAAUACUUUUUUUAAAAAAUACGGAUCAAAAUAUGGUCAACGGGUCGGGUCGGGUCGGGUGGCGCCUAUGAAGGUGAUAUUGUGAAUUUUUUGUUAUUAAUUAUUAAUUAUAAAUUAUCUAUAUUUAGUGUUUAUAGUUUAGAUUAGAAUUUUGUAUGAAUAUUCUAACUUUUUUGUAUGAAUAUUGUAAUUUUUUUAUGAAUAUUGUAAUGUUGUAUGAAUAUUGUAAUUAUUUUAUAAUUAAAUUUGUAUUUAUAGUUUUGGAUUAGUAUUUUGUAUGAAUAUUGUAAUUUUGUAUGAAUAUUGUAAUUUUUUUUGUAUGAAUAUUGUAAUAUUAUAAUUUUGUAUGAAUAUUGCAAUUUUUUUGUAUGAAUAUUAUAAUUUUGUAAUUUUGUAUAAAUAUUGUAAUUUUGUAAUUUUGUAUGAAUAUUGUAAUGUCGGGAUAUAUUGUAAUAUUGUAAUUUUUUAUAUGAAUAUUGUAAUUAUUUUAUAAUUAAUUUGUUAGUAAUUUGAGAUUAUGUUAUAAAUUUUUGUGUUUGUAAUUAUUUAAAAUUUAAUUUAUUAGUAAUUUAGGAUUAAGCUAUAAGUUUUUGUGUUUAGUUUAGUAUUUGGUGAGUUUAACAUAUAAAGUUUAUAAAAAAAUUAAAAAUUAUUUCAUUAAAAGUUUAAUUAUAAAAAAAUUAAAAAUCAUUUUAUUAAAAGUUUAAUUAUAACUGACUUUUUUAAUCAUAUAGUUGUUGUUAACUCAUUUAAUUUUUAUAUAAUGUAACUUUUAUAUAAAAAUCAGAGCAUUGGCGCCUCUCAGUAUGGCACCAAUAAUGGCUCCUCCCAGAUAGGCACCACCAUUGGCGCCUCUGAGAUAGGCGCCAAUACUAUGUAUUAUACGGGUUAUAUAUUGACCCGGAAAAAUAUUUUAUUAUAUUUUAUUUAAAAAAAAGAAAUUUAUUAUUUUUUUAUUCAUUGGUGCCUAUCUAAUAGGCUCCAAUGAAAAAGUAACCUAUUUUGAUAAAUACUUUUUCUGACACACUAUUUCAGUAGAACUUUUUUCACCCUAUUUGUGUAAAAAAACCCUCCUAAUUUGCAUAAAAAACAAUUUUAACUCUUAAAUUUAUUUUACUAUCAAACCACUUUAAAAUAGACCCGACAUACAUGUGAAUUAUCAUCUAGAAGACACAUCAACAUCUAAUUAAUUUUGAAAUUUAAAUAAAAAAGUUAAUUUUAACAAUAAAUUUUAAUUUUUAAAAAUAGUUUCUAUAAUUUUUUUAUUUUUAAAAUUUUAAAAAAUUAAUUAAGUUAACCUUAGUAAAGUUCAAAAAAGUUACAAAUUUAAGGGCUAAAAACUAAAAAUUUAAAUAGAGAACUAAAAUAAAUUUUUUUUUUAAGUUGAAAAGUCAAAUAAACUAUUAUGUCUUUCUUUUAUUGGACCAAAAUGAUUUAAAGUGUCUGCAAUUCUAAAAUGGAUGGACUUAGUAUUUGGAUGCAUUAUUAUUUUUAUUGGAGAUCGGGAAUAGAUGGACUUUCUAUGGGCCCAUUUAACUGAUAGGUUUUAUUACCACUUUAACAACUUUGGCGAUUUAGUCAGUUACUCUCGAUUCGCAAUUAUUUUAUUUCUUGAUGCUAGCAAUGUACAGUGGUCAAAUAGGAUCAUUUCUUCUUAAGACCUUUUAUUUUUUUCCAUCAUGUGGGAGUUUGAAUUAAUUCUCAUUUAUCUACAUCUAUCCAUGAUGAGGAAGAAACGUCUAUACUCGGCUACAAAAUUUAUUUUGUACAUUGCAGGCUGUUUCAUUUUUCUAUUAAUAGGAGUUUUGCGUCCCGGUUUAUACGGUUCUAAUGAACCAACAUUAAAUUUUGAAAUAUUAAAUAAUCAAUCAUAUCCUAUUGCACUGGAAAUAAUAUUCUACAUUGAAUUUUUUAUUACUUUUGCUAUCAAAUCGUUGAUUAUACUCUUACAUACAUGGUACUAUAUAAAAAAUUUCAAUAAAUAAAAAAUGAAUAAAAUUAUUAAAUAUUAAAAUAAUAUAAUAUAAAUAUUUAAAAAAAAUAAAAAUAAUAUGGCCAGGGCUAAAAUGGGUUUGGAUUAAUAUUUUGUAAAUAUAGGCGGGCUUGAGCAACAUUUUAGGACCAAAUUUUGGGCUGGGUUGGGCUUGAAUAAACAUAAAGUAUAUUAAUAUCAUAUUUAGACUCAACCAGCCCAUGAAUAUAUCUAGUAGCAGGGACCUUUGUUUUUGAAUUUUGUCAUAGCUUUUGUCCAUUGUCCCUAUUUCCAAGUAAAAUGAACGUUGAGCUCCAUGCCAAUGGCAUCAAAAUAAUUAUUUCCAUUAACAUAAAAAAUUUCCAUGUCAUGCCUAUCUAUAUCGUGUUGUACAUGUAUUGUGUGUGAGCUUUUUUUUGGCCCUGUCUUUGAAGAAUCAUGUUGGUGCUUCCUAGUAUUUUAAGUAAUGGGUGGAGACAGAAAAAUUGAAGUGGAGUAGUAACUUGGAAGAAGCCAUGUUAGCUGGACCAUUUUUUUUUCUUUACUCACUCAUAUUUUAACAUUUUGAAAAUAUUUCUUUAAUGGCUUGGAUUAUAUGGAAUUCAUUUUACAAAGAGUUGAGCUUUUAUUAAUGGGAAGCAACCAUGGUGGUUGGUUCCGCACCAUGGUUUCAGUUGUACCUGCCAGUGCCAAUGUUCCAGUGAUACAGCACAACAACAAGGAAUACCUUUUUCCACAUCGGUGAAAAUUUCAGUCUGUUUUGUUUACAUUGACUCAUUUCAAUCAAUUCAAGUUGCACCGGCCGAAACAUGAUGCAUCGGCUGUUACAUGAAUAAUUUAAAAAAUAUAAUUUUUUAAUACCUAGCAAUAAUAAUUAUCUAGAGACCAACAUUUGUUUUUCAAUCUCGAAAUGUCAAAAACAAUACUCUAUACAAAACAUCCAAGCCUCUUAUCAAUCAUCAAUGGAGACCUAAGACAGGUUCAUGAUUUGUGUAUACAGGUUCAAGCCUCUUACCACUCCAUUCCUUUUGUCAACAUCUGUCGACCAACGAAGUUGUGCUGUUGUUGUGCCCAUAAGCAGGUAUUCUCCUCUUUGGAUACCCACCAUUCAAGGUUUAUCAACCAAAGUUAAUACACCUCCCCAGUGGUACCAUUUGGCCUUUUAUCUGCCACCAAUUUCAUGGUUCUCAAAGCUGAAUGAAAGUACAAGGCUAAAUAAAUAACAUAUUUGACUCCUCAACCACAACUAUGCACCAAGCACCAAAAUAUGCUCCAACACAGGAGAGGAAUCGAUCUACUCCCUAUACUGCCAUUUUUUUAUCAUUUCACAAAAUAAAUAGUGAAAUAUCAAAUAUUUGAAGUAAUGGGUGGAGAUAUAGAAAAAUUGAAAUGGAGUCUUAACUUGGAAGAGGCCAUGUUGGCUGGACCUGUUCUUUUUUUUUUUUUUUCCUCUCAUAUUUUAACAUUUUACAAAUAUUUCUUUAAUGGCUUGGAUUAUAUGAAAUUUAUUUUACAGACUUUUUUUAAUGACAAGCAACCAUGGUGAUCUGUUCCGCACCAUGGUUUCAGUCGUACCGAUCGGUGCCACCAUUUUAGUGCUACAGCGCAUCUAGCAACACCCUCUUUCGUAUCGGUAAAAAAUCCAGUUCGUACCGUUCGCACUAGUUCAUUUCGGUCAAUUUUAAUCAUACCGAUUGGAACAUGGUGCACCUGCUGCUAUAUGAAUAAUAUUAAAAAAUAUAAAACUUUUAACUAUUUUCUAUUAGACUAAUAACUUAAUUAGAAUGUAUUGACCAAUAAAAAAAAUAUUACACUAAAAAGUAAAGUUUAACAUUUAAAUUUUGUUAUGGAAUAUAUUUUUACAUUAAAAAAAUAAAAAUUAAAAUAUAAUAAAAAAACUCACUCACUUUAUUAUCAUAGAAAAAUCUUCGCUCAUCCUUCAACUUCUUUUAUUGAAAAAUCCCUUCUUUUUUCUUUUUAUUUUUUAAUUUAUUGAAUGAUGAGUUUUUUAUUUGUAGAGUUUAUUAAUCAAUAUUUUAUAUAAUUGAUGAAUAUUUUACAUUUGAAAUUUAUUCAGAAUCAUUUAUUUAGUAUUUGUAUAUUUAUUUAUAUAGAUAUAAAAUAUCGAUAAAUUCGAAACCAUAUAUCAAAAUAAACUAAUACCAAUAUGUAUCAAUUCUAGUAGAAAAGUGGUGCAUCUACCAGUGUGGUGUUGAAAGGAAAUGAGUAAAAGCAUGUUGAGAUAUUAUUUUGAGUGGCUGUAAUAUUUGAUGCUUUGUUUUCUUUUGAGUAUUUUGGUUUGAUGCUUUUAAUUUGUGUUGAUAUUUGAGUGUAAUCAUUGAGAUAUAUAUAUAUGGCUAUCUCAUUUUUUUUUAUGAUUUGUUUUGUAUUUACUGUGGUUGUUUUAUUAAUAAAAUUAUGUUUUGGAAUGAGAAAAAAAAUUAAGAAAUUCAAAACACAAAAAACGAAAGUAGAGAAAGUGAACACAAUGAUUUACGUGGUUCGGAAAUAUUUUCUACAUCCACGGGUAGAACCAAUAAUAAAAUUCACUACUAAAAAAUGGUGAUUACAAUGGAAUUACAUAAUAAAAUAAAAUAACUCACCACAAUAACUAUCCACAAACUUUGAGCAAUCUUCUAAAUAAGCAUCAACUAUACACUUUCCACAAAUUGAAAAAUACCUGGCAAUAAUAAAUAACAAGUGACCAACAAUCUCAAAAUGUCAAAAACAAUACUUUAUUUAAAACAUCCUAACCUCUCAUCAAUCAUCAAUGGAGACCUAAGAUAGGUUGAUGAUUUACGUAGAUAGAAAUAGAUGAUGCUAAAAGCAUUACAAAAAAAAAAAAAACUUACCACUCCAUUCCUUUUGUCAACAUCUGUCGACCAACGAUGUUGGGGUGUUGUUGUGCCCAUAAGCAGGUAUUGCCCUCUUUGGAUGCCCACCAUUCCAGGGUUUAUCGCCCAAAGGUACGUACACCUCCCCAGUGGUACCAUUUGACCUUUUAUCUGCCACCAAUUUCAUGGUUCCCAAAGCUGAAUGAAAGUAUAAGGCUAAAUAAGUAGCAUAUUUGGCUCCUCAACUACAACUUUGUACCAAGCACCAAAAUAUGAUCCAACACAGGAAAGGAAUGUCAGAAGAACAAAUUCUCCAUAUAAACUAUACUUGCCCUAUCAUAAACAUUGAUAACAUCACAGUUGAAGCCUUUCAAAGCAGGGGAAAUUCAUAUAAAGAUUGGUAGAAAAUAUGCCAAUCUACCGGACCAGAAAGCUGAAAGCAACAUUAAAAGAAAGCUGCAAUGAAACUAGUUCCAAACUGCUGCAGUAUAUAUAUCAUUUGAUUCAUUUAACUCAUACCUCAAAGUCAAAAGCAAGAGAGUCGAUAUAUAGUGAGUCACUUAGUCGCUGCUAUUUUUCGGAACACUCAGGCUGGAAGUGAAAACCCCAAAUUGCAGCUCAGUGAACUUUUGUUGUGUUUAUGUUAAAUUGAGCUCUCUAAUGCCAUGUUGUAACGUGUACUGUAUUCCUCCAUUCAUCCUGCAAGGAUCAAUACCAUGUCUACAGUGAUGACGAAAUCUGUUGGCACUGAUUUCCUUAUGCAAUAACAGAAAUCUAUCCACAAAGAUCAACAAACUAUCACGUGAAAGACUUGUUCUUCUGAAACACCAUUGGUUAAUAGUACAAUGAAAUCUCAAAUACUUUUAAUUAAAAUCCCAUUCCCAUAUACCAAUUUCAUAGCAACUGCUUAGAAAUUAGAAGAUGCAGAUGAAAACAGAACAUUCAAUUUGCAGAAUAAAUGUUGUAGAGAAUUGACUAACCGCUUUACUAAAUCAAAUAAGCUGAAGCAGACCGGUUGAAGGUCUCCUCUAUUUUUCGCCAGUUUAGCCUUCAAUGCCUGCAAAAAGCAAUACAAAAUAUAUAACCCCGAUUUCUAUUAUCGUGCUGUUCAUGAGGACAAUCAGACAUAUAUAAAGAAAAGGUAUGAAAUUGAUAAAUGUUUAAAAUGCCUUUCACCCCUGUGGUUUGAGUGUGGAGAAAUCGAUGCCAGAUUUUGCUGCUUAAAUUUCAAUUUAAUUCCCUCGGGAUGACGGCUUUCAUAUCAAUUUCAACAUAAGGUAUGUGGACAAUCUUGGACCACUCUCGUCCUUUACCCCUACUGCACCCUUCUUCAAGCAACGGGCAACGCUGAAUAGAUAGACGCUCAAGCGAGAGAAGCAUAUCUUUUUCUGGAAGAGAGGCGAGCUUAGGACAAUCAUAGAUGCUCAAUUGUUGAAGGGAGGUGAGGUGUUGUAAGCCCUUGGAGCACAUGAAUUCCAACUUUUCAAAUCUAAGGAUGCCGAUUUCGGUGAGAGAAGGAGGCAGCAUCAUUCCUAUCGCUUCUUCUGGAAAUGACACCACACGCGAGCAUCCUUCACCGCUGAUGAAGAGUCGAUGAAGAGAUGUGAGUCUUUUAAAUCCCCAUUGAACAAGUGAUGUAUAAAUUUUGGGUGCGUUUGAGAUUGCAAGUGAUGUGAGGUUGGUAGGGAAACCCUCUUCUGGAAAGGAUAUGUCAGCCGAACACUCCCACACCGAUAAUUCUCGAACGGAGGUGAAGUUGUUGAGGCACUUGGGAAGGGCUCUAAAAUUUUCACAAUCCUUAAUUAAGAGAACUCUGAGAUUUGUGGUGGGCAACCCACUUUCUUCAAAUGAAACCAUAUUCGGAAACCUAGAUAAUUGAAUCUCCUGAAGAUGGCUGAGCUUGUCUAAUCCCCGCGGUAAUGAUUUAAUUUUUUCAGCACCCCAAAUACGAAUGCUUUCGAGAUCAAUGGUUUCAAGGAAGUCUUGGGCUAUGCAUUCCAACACUGGACAAUCCUGAAUACAUAGCUGUUUAAGCAUUACGGGUAACUUGGCGUUUAAAAAUAAGCUACUUAGCUUUGAACAAUCCAUAAUUUCGAGAUGUUCAAGCCGAUUGCAUAUAUCGCCCCUUGAUGAUAACCAUAUUAGAGAUGGACAGUUGCUUAUUUCCAAGCGCUCAAGAAGACAAGUGUUGCUACUCAUACUCUUAUUAUUAUUUUCUUUUUCAUCAACCAAAUAUUGCAAAUUCACACAAUUCCCAAUCCUCAGCUCUUUUAAAGCAGGAGGAAAGUUACUCUCUGCAAAACAAACCAAGCCUGGACAGAUUUCAAGUUGUAUUCUUGUAAUCAAUGGGAAAGCAUGUAAGGCUUCUGGUAGUCUAUUGAGCCUUUCACAAUUAGCUAUUUCCAGAGAUUCAACACCUGGAAUCUUGUCAAGUUGCAAUAUCUCCUCCUCUGUUUCCAAAGAGACCAAUUGCGGACAAUUCCAAAUCGUGAUGAAACGAUGCCCAACUAUGCUUAACCCAUUUUGCGAUAAAGAUCCCAACUCCUUCCAACCAGAGAUCUUGAAUGUUUCAGAGUUUGCAAAUCUCAACAUUGUCCUCUCUGCUGAAAUGUUAAAAUUUGAAAUAUUUGAAACAGACACAGCUUUCAAGGAGGUAACCUUCUGUACAGACAAAGAACCUUCAUCCACCAAUUCUUCACAUCCAUUAAUUCUUAAUUCACACAGCAAGGGAAAACUUGAAAUUGUAACUACCAGUCUCUUACACUCAUAGAUUUCAAGUGUCUGCAAGGAUUGAAGGAUUGUUGGCAACCUUCCCAGCAAUAGAGGACAUUUUCUGAUUGAAAGAAAACGAAGGCUGGGGAAUUUCGAUACUUGCUCAUCAUCUUCACAUAGGUCCCACUCCUCCCAAUUCAGCAUGUUGUCAAAACGCAGAGACUCUAAUGAUGCAAAAGCAUUUGAUUGAUUUUCUCCAAACAACUCAGCACCAAUCUUGUGUACUUGAUCCAAACCACUAAUUGAAAGAUCUUUUAACAACAACAGCCUUCCAAUGGAAGGUAGAGAUUUGCAAUUUUUACAACUGCGAAGCUCCAAUGACAACAUAUUUUUGAAGGAAGGAUCUGCAAUCCAAGUAGAGAAUUUUGCACCACCAUAAUUCUUAAUGACGAGUUGCUCAAGCUUUUUUGGAGGACGAAGAGAGUCCAACACCCAUUCUUCAACUUCUUUAUUCCUUGAAGCAUUUUCAAACUUUUUUCUCCAAUGCAAUACCAGUCGAUCAAUCCCCUGCUUCUCAUAUAACUUGCUUUCCCCUGCAUCUUCACCAUUAACAUUCUCCAACCCAGAAAGACGGAAAUCACCUUCAAGGUUUGACAAAUAUUUCAAAUAUCUAAUAUGACAACCAUCACCUUCCGCUAUGAUAAAAUCAGAUAACCUUUGAAGAUUCGUUAGCUUAUCAAUUCUGAAAGGAAUCCUUUCUAUUGAUUUCGCACCUCUGAUAUCAAGAUAAUGCAAGUUGACAAGAUUUCCCAUCUUUGAAGGUAACCUUUGAAGCCUGUAACACCUUCUUAAUAACAAAGUUUCCAAAUGGUAAAGAGUGCACAAAGAAUCAGGUAAGCAUUUGAUAUCAGUGUCAGAAAAAUUUAAGUAGCGAAGAUGUUUUAAAUUUUCAAAAACAUCAGGCAACUCAGUGAUUCUAUACCCACUCAAAGAAAGCAUCCUUAAGUAGCCAAGUCUUGGUAACAAAUCAACCAAAACAACAUUAGUUAAAAAAGGGACCCAAAAAUCACUAGAAAACGUUAAGGGUAAAAAAGUACGUAAAGAAUUCACUUGAUCAAAUGCUUCAAACUUCUUCACUGUGUCAUAUUCACUGACAAUAUAAGAAGAAUGUCGAGUGCGAUUUGAGAACUUCCAUUUCUUAUCACCCUCUAAUUUUGAGCAUAUUUCCCCUGCAACUACUUGAGCUAAAUCAUUGAUAAGGUCAUGCAUUACGAAUCGGGACUUAUCUUUACCGGAUGUCUGAAAAAAUGACCUGGACACUAGAUCUUGAAAAUAUUGAUAUCCGAGAUCUUUAAUUUGAGGCAUAGCUUUUUGUUGCAAGAGACCUUCUGCUCUCCAUAACAAGAUAAUUUCUUCUUCCUCAAAUUCAUAAUCUUUAGGAAGUAUGGAGCAAUAUGCAAAACAUCGUUUCAAGUAUGACGGAAGAUGAUGGUAGCUUAAUCGCAAUGCUGGAAUUAUGCCACACUGCUCUUCUGGUAAGUUCCAUAUCUCACUCUCAUAUAUUCUUUCCCAUUUUCCAUGAUAUUCAACCGUGCGAAGCAAGCUUCCAAUGGCUUUUGCAGCCAAAGGUAAGCCAUUGCACCUUCUAACAAUUUUCUCUCCAAUUUCUUUAAACUGGAGAUGUCCAUCGAAAUUUCUUGCUUUUAAUGCAUGCUGUGUAAAUAUGGAUAAACAAUCAUUAUCCGAUAGUUUAUCCAAAUAAAAAGCUUUGAGCGGAUCCACAAUAGAUGAAACAAUUUGAAGACGAGUGGUUACAAUGAUAUGGGUCCCUGCUCCAAACGGAGACCGUAAGAUGGUCCAAUCAUUAUAAUUCUCGUUCCAAAUGUCAUCUAAAACAAGCAAGAAUCUUUUCCCAGACAACUUCUCCUUCAACUUAACUUGAAGUAAAUUCAAGUCAUUCUCGUCACGAGAGUCAGGAUCGAUGGAUUUUAAAAUUGUCCUGGUUAUAUUAACUGCGUCAAAAUGAUCAGAAACGCAUACCCAGGCCUUGUGGUGAAAAGACUGGUUGAUGGUGGCAUCAUUGUAAACAAGCUGAGCAAGAGUUGUUUUACCCAUCCCUCCCAUGCCGACGAUGGAAAGGACUGAAACUCCGUUGGAGAUAUCACCUUUGAGAAACUCAAUCAUUUCUGUCUUCUCCUUGUGUCUGCCAACAUACUCCACAACUCCAUCCAGUACGGAAGUUGGUUGCAGCCUAGGCUGGUUUCCCUUGGAGGUUGGAGCUUGAGACAAGAUCUCACUCAACCCCAAACUAAUUCUUCGAGUAGUCAAACUAUUCAGUCUAGCAGUGAUCUCUUUCACCUUGGGAAUCAUGGAAUCCUUAAACAGGAAAGACGUGGGAGCGAAACUAGUACCAGUAAAGCAGGUAGGAAUGAGUUUCCGUACCUUGCUAGUGCUGGCUUGAGCUUGCGAUUUGUUGAGCUUGAGACGUAACUCUUCAUAAGCGAACUCAUCCAAGAUGUCAUCCACAUCGUAAGCCAAGUCCUGGAGAUCCUCCAACCAUUUCUUCACACCCGUGUUCUUGAUCUGCUUCUCCUCUGCAUCGUCCAACACUGCUUGGAUAUCAGGCAAUAUGGACUGCCACUGCUUGAGCUGUGGGCGGAGUUGGUUAUGAUGAGCAACAAAGUUGAGCGCAGAGUCGAGCAACUUGCCCCCCAACAGCUCCAGAAACACAGACAGAGCAGCCUCUCCAAUGACAGACAUGGUGAAAUUAUGAGAAGGAAGCAGAAGAGAGAAAUGAACAAAGCCAAAAUGGAAAGUCAGGGAACAAAAAAAGAAAGAAAGGGAAAUGGAAUCUGCAAAAUUAGAGAAAGUGGAAGAAGUUGGCACUAUUUUUUAAGCAUCCAAUAAUUCAGACUAUGAGUUGGGAAGGCACUGGGAUGUGAAAAAGGAUCCCAAGUGGUAGUUGAUAGGGAAAAGACAACGAAAGUGGAAAUUAAAGAGGUCCCAGUCCAUGAAAUUAUUGCACUCUCUUAUUUCUUAUCUCCCUGCAAUUAUUUGAAUAGCUUUUCUUUAAUUUUUCAUCUAUUUUAAUCAUUGAAUUUAUAUUUAUUUUUAUUAAAUCACUUCAAAAUAAAUAAAAAAACUUAAAAGAGUAUACAAUCUUAGCAAAGUUAAAAACAUUAAAAUUUUUAUUUAUUUUGAAGUAAAGUGAAUUAAAGUGUUUGCAACUCUAAAAUGGAUAGGACACUUAUGGCUUCGUGCACUAUUUGUUAGAAUGCAUGAAACACAAAUCUUAAGAUUAAAUUAAAUUCUAAAAAAAUAUUAAUACAAAUAAAAAUAGUAAAAUUUAGGAUGAAAAUAUUGAUGUGACAUUAAAUUAUUAAAAAUAGAUACAAAUGUCAUGGUAUUCCAAUUUUAUACUAUCAUUCCUCCAAAAUAAUUAUCUUUUUACAUCAUGUUUUUAUAAUAUAUGAUGUGACUUAAUGUUCCAUUUUUGGGAAACACUUUUAUAUUAAUUAAUUAUGAGAAAACCAUUUUUUAUGGAGAACUGUGUUUAUAUUAUAGAAAAGUAUGUUUGAGAAUAGGCUUAAUUUUGAUAAAUUCUUUAAUGAGAUGUGAUUAAUUUUAGAUUUAUUAUUUGAUUUCUGAUUCGGUGUAAAAAUAAACUUAAAAAGUGAAAAAGAGUCGGAAAUACGAGUUACCGUAAAAGUUUUGGAUUGAAGAACUAGUAGGACCAUGAUCUAUGUUUUGAGAACUUUAUAUUGGGAAUUCAUUUGUAAAAAAUAACAGUACUUUUAUUUUUUUAUUAGGAUAAUAUUUUAAUAUUUUAGUAUUUUUUAGAUGAGUUUAAGUAGGAUGAGGCAUUUUGAGUUUUAAUAUAUUUUUUUAAUGUAUAUUAUACCUUUUGGUUUUGGGCAGAAAUCGAUUGCAAAUGGAAUUUCUUUUCUUCUAUAUUUCUAAUUAUGUUCUUUCUUUUCCCAUUUUUCCCCUUCUUUUGUUGGUUUAUUUCUUUUAUUUAAUUCUUGUUGAACUCUUUAUUAGGAGUGUUUAAAUUCCGGGUAAAACUAAAUUAGUUCGGUUAAUCGAUUGAAUUCGAUUAAUCGGACGAUUAAUCAAAUUAAUUCAGUCAAGAGUCAGUUAAUAAUUUUUUUAAAAAUUCAGUUAAUGAUUAAUAAUUAAUAAUGAACUGAACAAAGUCAAAAUGGAAACCCAGGGACCAAAAUAGAAAGAAAGAGAGAUGGAUUCUGUGUAAUUAGCGAAAGUUGAAGAAGUUGGCACAAAGGUUUUUUUUUAGCAUCCAAUAAUUCAGGCCAUCACUUGGAAGACAUUGGAUUAUGAUGAAGAUGGACCCCAAGUGGUUGUUGAUGGGAAAAGACAAUGAAAGUGGAAAUUAAAGAGGUCCCAGUCCAUGAAAUUAUUGCACCCUCCCAUUUUUUCCGUCCCCGCAGUUAUUUGUAUAGCUUUUCUUUUGGGCAUAAGAAAUAAUUUUAACUCUUAAAUUUUUCUUACUAUCAAACCACUCUAAAAUAGGCCCGACAUACAUGUGAAUUAUCAUCUAGAAGACACAUUAACAUCUAAUUAAUUUUGAAUUUUUUUAAAAAAAUUAUUUUUUAACAAUAAAUUUUAAUUUUUAAAAAUAGUUUUUAUAGUUUUUUUAUUUUUAAAAUUUAAAAAAAUUAAUUAAGUGAAUGUUAGUAAAGUUAAAAAAACUUACAAAUUUAAGGGCUAAAAAAUAAAAAUUUAAAUAGAGAACUAAAAUAAUUUUUUUUAAAGUUGAAAAGUCAAAUAAACUAUUAUGUCUUUCUUUUAUUGGACCAAAAUGAAUUGAAGUGUCUGCAAUUCUGAAAUGGAUGGACUUAGUAUUUGGAUGCAUUAUUAUUUUUACUGGAGAUUUGGGAAUAGAUGGACUUUCUAUGGGCCCAUUUAACUAAUAGGUUUUAUUAUCACUUUAGCAAUUUUGGCGAUUUAGUCAGUUAAUCGAGAUUCGCAAUUAUUUUAUUUAUUGAUGCUAGCAAUGUACAGUGGUUAAAUAGGAACAUUUCUUCUUAAGACCUUUUAUUUUUUUUCAUCAUGUGGGAGUUUGAAUUAAUUCUCAUUUAUCUACUUCUAUCCAUGAUGGGGAAGAAACGUCUAUACUCGGCUACAAAAUUUAUUUUGUACACUGCAGGCGGUUCCAUUUUUCUAUUAAUAGGAGUUUUGCAUGCCGGUUUAUACGGUUCUAAUGAACCAACACUAAAUUUUGAAAUAUUAAAUAAUCAAUCAUAUCCUAUCGCAUUGGAAAUAAUAUUCUAUAUUGAAUUUCUUAUUACUUUUACUGUCAAAUCGUUGAUUAUACUCUUGCAUACAUGGUACUAUAUAAAAAAUUUCAAUAAAUAAAAAAUGAAUAAAAUUAUUAAAUAUUAAAAUAAUAUAAUAUAAAUAUUUAAAAAAAUUAAAAAUAAUAUGGACAGGGCUAAAAUGGGUUUGGAUUAAUAUUUUGUAAAUAUAGGCGGGCUUGAGCAACAUUUUAGGACCAAAUUUUGGGCUGGGUUGGGCUUGGAUAAACAUAAAGUAUAUUAAUAUCAUAUUUAGACCCAAUCAGCCCAUGAAUAUAUCUAGUAACAUGAACCUUUGUUUUUGAAUUUUGUCAUAGCUUUUGUCCAUUGUCCCUAUUUCCAAGUAAAAUGAACGUUGAGCUCCAUGCCAAUGGCAUCAAAAUAAUUAUUUCCAUUAACAUCAAAAAUUUCCAUGUCAUGCCUAUCUAUAUCGUGUUGUACAUGUAUUGUGUGUGAGCUUUUUUUUUCGGCCUGUUUUUGAAGAAUCGUGUUGGUGCUUCCUAGUAUUUUAAGGGCCCAUUCUUUUUCCCGUUUGAGAUGGACUUUUUCACUAAAAAGCCCUUUUCUCUUAAAAGGAACCAAGAACAACCUCCGUUUCUCUUACAAUUUCUCCAUCAGAGGCUAUUUUAUCAAAAUAGUCUAAAAAAAAUAUUAUAUUUACAAAAAUAAUCCAGGUUUAAAAACAAUCAAUAAAAUAACUUAAAAGGAACAAUAAAAUUGGGUUGUGGCCUGUCAAUGACCGGAACCCACUCGUAUUUUACACCUAUGAUUGCCUAAUAAUUGUGUCAAACUUAAAAAAAUUAAUUUUUUGGGUUUUGGCCUGUCAAUAGUCGAAACUCAUGUAUUUUUUUUUAAAUUGUAUAAUACUGAAAGGGGAGAGAGCUUCUGAAAGUUUUUUUUGUUGUUUUUUUUAAAAUGGGUUCAAAUGAAUUUUUUUUUGGAGAAAUGAGGGUAUUUAUAGGGCACCAAAACGGCAUUGUUUUGGAAAGCCCCAGACGCACAACACGGUGUCGUUUUGAGUACCCGACCUGACUCCGACCAGAUCCACUUUAGGAUCCGCGUGUUUUUUGAGCGGAGGGGCAAAUUACGCUUUUAGCCCCUCCGCCUUUUUAUAUAUUUUCAAUUAAGUACUCUUAUUUUUUUUAUUUGGCCUUUAAUUUAUUUUAAAUUCCAAUCAGAUCCAUUUGAACGGCGCCAUUUUAGAGGAGAAGGGAAAAUUUCCCUUCCAGCCCCUCUAUGUAAUUCGCGCGUUCAAAUUAGUCCUUUUACUUUUAUUUAUUUACGAAUUUACCCCAGAUUUUUAAAUUGCGAUUCAAUUUAGUUUUUUUAUGUUCUUUUUAUUUAUUUUAUUAAUUAAUAGUGUAAUCAUCAUUUUUAUUCUCAUUUUUUUAUCUAUAUAUAUAUUUCUUUUAUAAGUACACACAUAUAUAUAUAUAUAUUUUAACAAAUAUUUUCCUAUAUUUUUUUAAUGAAUAUUUUCAUAUUUAUAUGUAUAUAUUUACGUUUUUUCAAAUGGUUAAAUACUCACUUUUUUUCUUUUUUUUUGAGAAAUAUACUUAUUUUUUAUUAUUUUAUAUAUGUACGCAUAAUUAUAUUUUUCCUUUAUUUUCAUAAGUAUAUUAUGUAUUGUAUUUAUAUAUAAAAUUCUAUAACCCAAUUUUUUUUUUGUAAAUUAUAUGUAUAUUUUAAUCUUCAUAAUUUCCAUUUGUACGUCUUUUGGUUUUUAUUUAUUUGUUUGCUUUCCCAUUCAUUGUAUAAUUGUGUUUACAUUUAAUAUUUUGCAUGUCAUGGAUUACCCUUUUUUUAUUUCGUUUAUUCAUUUGCUUAUUUUUUUAUGUCAUUGAUGUAUUUAUUAUUGUUGUUAUUAUUAUUAUAGCAUUUGUACGUACAAAAUAACGUUACAUCAUUUUUACUCAAAUUUAAAGAUAAAAAUUUUUAAAAUUGAGAUAAUGUUCGUAUUUAGGAUUUUCAAGGAAAUUGAGCCCUAACGUAUUGGGUUCCGAUUUUCUUCGUUAAAUCUAACAAUCGAGCAUUUCUCUUCAAAUAAAAAAAUAAAAGCUCAUUAUUGGAAAUUCAACACGUUGUGUCCUAACGUAUUGGAUGUGACGCAUUGAUUUCUCGAAAUGAAGAUUUAAAAAAAAACAAUAAAGGAAAUAUUCCGAGUUUGAGAUUUUAAAGGAAUUGUGCCCUAACGUAUUGGGCCGCGAUUUCUUAAAUCUUGGAUAAAUGGAUAUUCUUUUAAUUAUUUUCAUUAUACGAGUAUUCUGGCCUAAUUCAUUUUGGAGGAAAUUAGAAUGUUGUGCCCUAAUGCAUUGGGUGUGGCAUUUUUGCUUCUUUGAAUUGAGAAGGGUCUUAAUACGUGACGUUUUAAGUUUUUUAAAGAUUAUAUUUUUCAAAUUUGCGACCUUAAGAUACUAAUUAAUUAAUUAGGUACCAAUUUUGGCGUACGAGGGUGCUAACCCUUCCUCGUACGUAACCGACUCCCGAACCCGCUUUUCUAAAAUUCGUAGACCAAAAUCGUUUUUUUAGGUGACCCAAUCACACCUUAAUAAAAUAUUGGUGGCGACUCCCAAUUUUCAUUUUUUAAAAGUCGAUAACUAAAAAUUUUGUUUUUCAAAAAAACGGUUUCGACAGGCUGGACCUCCUUUUUUUCUUUUUUCUUUUUUUCAAUCAUAUUUUAACAUUUUACAAAGAUUUCUUUAAUGGCUUGGAUUAUAUGAAAUUUAUUUAUAAAGAGAUGAGUUUUUUUUAAUGCGAAGCAACCAUGGUCAUCUGUUCCGCACCAUGGUUUCAGUCGUACCGAUCGGUGCCACCAUUUUAGUGCUAUAGUGCAUCCAGCAACACCCUCUUCCGUAUUAGUCUGUACCAUUCGCAUUGGUUUGUUUCGGUCAAUUUCAACCACACUGACUGGGACAUGGUGCACCAGCUGCUAUAUGAAUAAUAUUAAAAAAUAUAAAACUUUUAACUAUUUUCUAUUAGACUAAUAACUUACUUCGAAUGUAUUGACCAAUAAAAAAAUAUUACACUAAAAAAGUAAAGUUUAACAUUUAAAUUUUGUUAUGGAAUAUAUUUUUACAUUAAAAAAAUAAAAAUAAAAAUAUAACAAAAAAACUCACUCACUUUAUUAUCAUAGAAAAAUCUUCGCUCAUCCUUCAACUUCUUUUAUUGAAAAAAUCCCUUCUUUUUUCUUAUUUUUUUUUAAUUUAUUGAAUGAUGAGUUUUUUAUUUGUAGAGUUUAUUAAUCAAUAUUUUAUAUAAUUGAUGAAUAUUUUACAUUUGAAAUUUAUUCAGAAUCAUUUAUUUAGUAUUUGUAUAUUUAUUUAUAUAGAUAUAAAAUAUCAAUAAAUUCGAAACCAUAUAUUAAAAUAGACUAAUACCAGAAUGUACCAAUUCCAGUAGAAAAGUGGUAUAUCUACCAGUGUGGUGUUGACUACCUUUGAAAGGAAAUGAGUAAAAGCAUGUUGAGAUAUUAUUUUGAGUGGCUGUAAUAUUUGAUGCUUUGUUUUCUUUUGAGUAUUUUGGUUUGAUGCUUUUGAUUUGUGUUGAUAUUUGAGUGUAAUCAUUGAGAUAUAUAUGGCUAUCUCAUUUUUUUUAUGAUUUUUUUUGUAUUUACUGUAGUUUUUUUAUUAAUAAAAUUAUGUUUUGGAUUCAUAAAAAAAUUUAAGAAAUUCAAAACACAAAAACGAAAGUAGAGAAAAUGAACACAAUGAUUUACGUGGUUCGGAAUAUUUCCUACAUCCACGGGUAGAACCAAAAAUAAAAUUCACUACUAAAAAAUGGAGAUUACAAUAGAAUUACAUAAUAAAAUAACUCACCACAAUAACUAUCCACAAACUUUGAGCAAUCUUCUAAAUAAGCAUCAACUAUACACUUUCUACAAACUGAAAAAUACCUGGCAAUAAUAAAUAACAAGUGGCCAACAAUCUCAAAAUGUCAAAAACAAUACUUUAUUUAAAACAUCCUAACCUCUUAUCAAUCAUCAAUGGAGACCUAAGAUAGGUUGAUGAUUUGCGUAGAUAGAAAUAGAUGAUGCUAAAAGCAUUAAAAAAAAAAAAAACUUACCACUCCAUUCCUUUUGUCAACAUCUGUCGACCACCGACGUUGUGCUGUCGUUGUGCCCAUAAGCAGGUAUUGCCCUCUUUGGAUGCCCACCAUUCCAGGGUUUAUCACCCAAAGGUACGUACACCUCCCCAGUGGUACCAUUUGGCCUUUUAUCUGCCACCAAUUUCAUGGUUCCCAAAGCUGAAUGAAAGUAUAAGGCUAAAUAAGUAGCAUAUUUGGCUCCUCAACUACAACUUUGUACCAAGCACCAAAAUAUGAUCCAACACAGGAAAGGAAUGUCAGAAGAACAAAUUCUCCAUAUAACCUAUACUUGCCCUAUCACAAACAUUGAUAACAUCACAGUUGAAGCCUUUCGAAGCAGGGGAAAUUCAUAUAAAGAUUGGUAGAAAAUAUGCCAAUCUACCAGACCGGAAAGCUGAAAAGCCACAUUAAAAGAGAGCUGCAAUGAAACUAGUUCCAAACUGCUGCAGUAUAUAUAUCAUUUGAUUCAUUUAACUCAUAUCUCAAAGUCAAAAGCAAGAGAGUCGAUAUAUAGUGAGUCACUUAGUCGCUGCUAUUUUUGGGAACACUCGGGCUGGAAGUGAAAACCCCAAAUUGCAGCUCAGUGAACUCUGUUGUGUUUAUGUUAAAUUGAGCUCUCUAAUGCCUUGUUGUAACGUGUACUGUAUCCCUCCAUUCAUCCUGCAAGGAUCAAUACCAUGUCUACAGUGAUGACGAAAUCUGUUGGCACUGAUAUCCUUAUGCAAUAACAGAAAUCUAUCCACAAAGAUCAACAAACUAUCACGUAAAAGGCUUGUUCUUCUGAAACACCAUUGGUUAAUAGUACAACGAAAUCUCAAAUACUUUUAACUAAAAUCCCAUUCCCAUAUACCAAUCUCAUAGCAACUGCUUAGAAAUUAGAAGAUGCAGAUGAAAACAGAACAUUCAAUUUGCAGAAUAAAUGUUGCAGAGAAUUGACUAACCGCUUUACUAAAUCAAAUAAGCUGAAGCAGACCGGUUGAAGGUCUUCUCUAUUUUUCGCCAAUUUAGCCUUCAAUGCCUGCAAAAAGUAACUACAAAAUAUAUAACACCGAUUUCUAUUAUCGUGCUGUUCAUGAGGACAAUCAGAUAUAUAUAAAGAAAAGGUAUGAAAUUGAUAAAUGUUUAAAAUGCGUUUCACACCUGUGGUUUGAGUGUGGAGAAAUCGAUGCCCGAUUUUACUGUUUAAAUUUCAAUUAAAUCGGGAUGACUGUUUUCAUAUCAAUUUCAACAUAAGGUAUGUGGGCAAUCUUGGACCACUCUCGUCCUUUACCCCUACUGCACCCUCUUUCUAGCAACGGGCAAUGCAGAAUAGAUAGACGCUCAAGCGAGAGAAGCAUAUCUUUUUCCGGAAGAGAUGUGAGCUUAGGACAAUCAUUGAUUCGCAAUUUUUGAAGAGAGGUCAGGUAUUGAAAGCCCUUGGAGCACAUGAAUUCCAAAUUCUCAAAAUUUUCAAUGGAAAUUGAUUGGAGAGAAGGAGGCAGCGUCAUUCCUAUCCCUUCUUCUGGAAACGACACCACAUUUGAGCAUCCUUCACCAUUGAUUUUGAGUUUCUGAAGAGAGGUGAGUCUGUAAAAUCCCCAUUCAAGUAGUGAUGUAUAAAUUUUGGGUGCGUUUGAGAUUUCAAGUGAUGUGAGGUUGGUAGGGAAACCCUCUUCUGGAAAGAAUAUGUCAGCCGAACACUCCCUCACCUUUAAUUCUCGAAGGGAGGUGAAGUUGUUGAUGCACUUGGGAAGGAUGAGCUUGUUACCAGAUUUGGACACAAAUUUAAUCGAAUCUUUUGAAGAUGGCUGAGCUUGUCUAAUCCCCGCGGUAAUGAUUCAAUUUUUUCAGCACCACGAAUGCCAAUGCUUUCGAGAUCAAUGGUUUCAAGGAAGGCUUGGGUUAUGCAUUCCAACACUGGACAAUCCCAAAUAAAUAGCUUUUUAAGCAUUACGGGUAACUUGGCGUUUGAAAAUAACCUACUUAGCUUUGAACAAUCCCUAAUAUCGAGAUGUUGAAGCCGAUUGCAUAUAUCGCCCCUUGAUGAUAACCAUAUUAGAGAUGGACAGCAUUUUAUUUCCAAGCGCUCAAGAAGACAAGUGUUGCUACUCAUACUCUUAUUAUUAUUUUCUUUUUCAUCAACCAAAUAUUGCAAACCCGAGCAAUUCCAAAUCCACAGCUCUUUUAAAGCAGGAGGAAAGUUACUCUCUGCAAAACAAACCAAGCCUGGACAGUUUUCAAGUACUAUGAUUGUAAUCAAUGGGAAGGCAUGUAAGGCUUCUGGUAGUCUAUUGAGCCUUUCACAAUCCCUUAUGGUCAGAUAUUCAACCCCUGGAAUCUUGUCAAGUUGCAAUCUCUCCUCCUCUGUUUCCAAAGAGACCAAUUGCGGACAAUUCCAAAUCGUGAUGAAACGAUGCCCGACUAAUCUUAAGCCAAUUUGCGAUAAAGAUCCCAACUCCUUCCAACCAAAGAUGUAGAAUGCUUCGGAGUUUGCAAAUCUCAACAUUAUCCUCUCUGCUGAAAUAUUAAAUUUUGAAAUAUUUGAAACAGACACAACUUUGAAGGAGGUAACCUUCUGUACAGACAAAGAACCUUCAUCCACCAAUUCUUCACACCCUUCAACCCUUAAUACACACAGCAAGGGAAAACUUGAAAUUGAAACUACCAGUCUCUGACACUCAUAGAUAUCAAGUGUCUGCAAGGAUUGAAGGAUGGUUGGCAACCUUCCCAGCAAUAGAGGACAUUUUCGGAUUGAAAGAAAAUGAAGGCUAGGGAAUUUCGAUACUUGCUCAUCAUCUUCACAUAGGUCCCACUCCUCCCAAUUCAGCAUAUUGUCAAAACACAGAGACUCUAAUGAUGCAAAAGCAUUUGAUUGAUUUUCUCCAAACAACUCAGCACCAAUCUUGUGUACUUGAUCCAAACCACUAAUUGAAAGAUCUUUUAACAACAACCACCUUCCAAUGGAAGGUAGAGAUUUGCAAUUUUUACACUUGCGAAGCUCCAAUGACAACAUAUUUUUGAAGGAAGGAUCUGCAAUCCAAGUAGAGAAUUUUGCACCACCAUAAUUCUCAAUGACGAGUUGCUCAAGCUUUUUUGGAGGACGAAGAGAGUCCAACACCCAUUCUUCAACUUCUUUAUUCCUUGAAGCCUUUUUAAACUUUCCACUCCAAUGCAAUACCAAUCGAUGAAUCCCCUGCUUCUCAUUUAACUUGGCUUCCCCUGCAUCUUCACCAUUAACAUUCUCCAACCCAGAAAGACGGAAAUCACCUUCGAGGUUUGACAAAUAUUUCAAAUAUCUAAUAUGACAACCAUCACCUUUCGCUAUGAUAAAAUCAGAUAACCUUUGAAGAUUCGUUAGCUUAUCAAUUCUAAAAGGAAUCCUUUCUAUUGAGUUCGCACCUCUGAUAUCAAGAUAAUGCAAGUUGACAAGAUUUUCCAUCUUUGAAGGUAACCUUUGAAGCUUGUAACACCAAUGUAAUAACAAAGUUUCCAAAUGGUAAAGAGUGCACAAAGAAUCAGGUAAGCAUUCGAUAUCAGUGUAAGAAAAAUUUAAGUAGCGAAGAUGUUUUAAAUUUUCAAAAACAUCAGGCAACUCAGUGAUUUUAUACCUACUCAAAGAAAGCGUCCUUAAGUAGCCAAGUCUUGGUAACAAAUCAACCAAAACAACAUUAGUUAAAUAAGGCCACCGAUAAACACUAGUUAACAUUAAGGAUAAAAAAGUACGUAAGGAAUUCACUUGAUCAAAUGCUUCAAACUUCUUCACUGUGUCAUAUGUUCCAACAAUAUAAGAAGAAUGUCGAGUGCGAUUUGAGAACUUCCAUUUCUUAUCACCCUCUAAUUUUGAGCAUAUUUCCCCUGCAACUACUUGAGCUAAAUCAUUGAUAAGGUCAUGCAUUACGAAUCGGGACUUAUCUUUACUGGAUGUCUGAAAAAAUGACCUCGACACUAGAUCUUGAAAAUAUUGAUUUCCAAGAUCUUUAAUUUGAGGCAUAGCUUUUUGUUGCAAGAGACCUUCUGCUCUCCAUAACAAGAUAAUUUCUUCUUCCCCAAAUUCAUAAUCUUUAGGAAGUAUGGAGCAAUAUGCAAAACAUCGUUUCAAGUUUGACGGAAGAUGAUGGUAGCUUAAUCGCAAAGCUGGAAUUAUGCCACACUGCUCUUCUGGUAAGUUCCAUAUCUCACUCUCACAUAUUCUUUCCCAUUUUCCAUGAUAUUCAAUCGUGCGAAGCAUGCUUCCAAUGGCUUUUGCAGCCAAAGGUAAGCCAUUGCAUCUUCUAACAAUUUUCUCUCCAAUUUCUUUAAACUGGAGAUGUCCAUCGAAAUUUUUUGCUUUUAAUGCCUGCUGUGUAAAUAUGGAUAAAAUAGUUUAUCCAAAUGAAAAGCUUUGAGCGGAUCCACAAUAGAUGAAACAAUUUGAAGACGAGUGGUUACAAUGAUAUGGGUCCCUGCUCCAAACGGAGACUGUAAGAUGGUCCAAUCAUUAUAAUUCUCGUUCCAAAUGUCAUCUAAAACAAGCAAGAAUCUUUUCCCAGACAACUUCUCCUUCAACUUAACUUGAAGUAAAUCCAAGUUACUGUAAUCACAUGACUCAGAAGUGAUGGACUGUAAAAUUGCCUUUGUUAUAGCAAUUGCAUCAAAUUUAACAGAAACGCAUACCCAGGCCUUGUGGUGAAAAGACUGGUUGAUGGUGGCAUCAUUGUAAACAAGCUGGGCAAGAGUUGUUUUACCCAUCCCUCCCAUGCCGGCGAUGGAAAGGACUGAAACUCCGUUGGAGUUAUCACCUUUGAGAAACUCAAUCAUUUCUGUCUUCUCCUUGUGUCUGCCAACAUACUCCACAACUCCAUCCAGUACGGAAGUUGGUUGCAGCCUAGGUUGCUUUCCCUUGGAGGUUGGAGCUUGAGACAAGAUCUCACUCAACCCCAAACUACUUCUUCGAGUAGUCAAACUAUUCAGUCUAGCAGUGAUCUCUUUCACCUUGGGAAUCAUGGAAUUCUUAAACAGGAAAGAAGUGGGAGCGAAACUAGUACCAGUAAAGCAGGUAGGAAUGAGCUUCCGUACAUUGCUAGUGCUGGCUUGAGCUUGCGAUUUCUUAAGCUUGAGACGUAACUCUUCAUAAGCGAACUCAUCCAAGAUGUCAUCCACAUCGUAAGCCAAGUCCUGGAGAUCCUCCAACCAUUUCUUCACACCCAUGUUCUUGAUCUGCUUCUUCUCUGCAUCUUCCAACACUGCUUGGAUAUCAGGCAAUAUGGACUGCCACUGCUUGAGCUGCUGGUGGAGUUGGUUGUGAUUAGCAACAAAUUUGAGUGCAGAGUCGAGCGAUUUGCCCAACAACAGGUCCAGGAACCCAGAAAGAGCAGCCUCUCCAAUGACAGACAUGUUGGAAUUAUGAGAAAGAAGUUGAAAAGAGCAAUGAACAAAGCCAAAAUGGAAAGUCAGGGAACAAAAAGAGAAAGAAAGGGAAAUGGAAUCUGCAAAAUUAGAGAAAGUUGAAGAAGUUGGCACUAUUUUUUAAGCAUCCAAUAAUUCAGACUAUGAGUUGGGAAGGCAGUGGAACGUGAAAAAGGAUCCCAAGUGGUUGUUGAUGGGGAAAAGACAACGAAAGUGGAAAUUAAAGAGGUCCCAGUAGAGGUGAUCAUGGCUGGGCUGGGCCGGGUUCGGGUCGAGUUUGAAUAAAAUUUUAGACCCAUAUUUUAGGCCGGGCCAGACCGGGCUAAGAAAACAGGUCUAAAUUUUUGUUCGAGCCAAGCCCAAAAGAAAAUUACUAAGCCCAAGCCCGGCCCAACUUGCCCAUAUUAUUUUUUAUAGUUUAUUUCAUUAAAUAAAAAAUUUUAAAACAAAUAUUAAAACAAAAAAAAGACUAAAAUAAUUCUUAAAGCAAUACACAAAUUAAAAAUAUAAUAAAAAGUGGUUAUAUUAAAAUUGAAACAAAUUAGAACUAAAAUAAUAGCCAAAUUAAUAAUAAAACAAAAAUAUAUUUGUUUAAAAAUAAAAAUAUAUAUUUAAUAUAUAAUUCGGGUCGGGCUGGGUCCGGGUCAAAAAAGUUUUACCCCAGCCCGGCCCGUUUUUUAAACGGACCUCUUUUUUUUUUUGCCCAAACCCAUAUUUCGGGCCUAAAUUUUUAGCCGAACUGAUAUAAGAAUGCGCACGGACCAAGAUCGAGUUGCCAAGUCACGGAAAACUCUUAUGAAAACUUGAAACGAUCAGAUCUGAAACGAAUUAGCAUUCAAAUUAAAGAAAUCAAUCAGAUUUUAAAAAUAGACAAUUAGGAUUUGGGGCAGCAAGAAGAGAGGAAAAAUUGAGGGGUCAAACAGUUCUUGAAACCCAAAGGAGGUUGCAAUUCUGCCCAAUUGAACAACGGGGUAGUUUUCCCCAAAUUUUAGCAACCUAAUUUCACCAAAAAGGGAAGGAAUUUUAGUCGGCAAAAACCCUAGAAAUUGGAGAUUUUUGGUGCGAUUCUUGACUGCCAAGAGAGGAGUAUGGAUCGAUUUCUUUAAGUUGGAAUGAACUGAAAACACAACAAGAAGAUCGAUUAAAACAAGAUAAGCAAUCGGCACAAGGCAGAAUUUAAAGAAAAAAUUGACAGCAAGCAGAUAAAGAUAAAGUCAGCCUUGAAAUCCCAAGAGAUUUCACAACUCCCUUCAAACGGCUCUAAUCUUCCCUCCAAUGAAUAUCAAUGGCAAGAAGAAGGUUGAAGAUGGUUCCCACAAUCAAAAAGAUUGUUAAAACAACUUCUAAAAAAAACUCAAGAGAAAAUUCUUAGAGAACUCAAAGAGAAUUUUCACUCAAAACAAAUCUGAAAUUUUCAAUGUGUUUCUUAUGUGUCUUACAAGGGUGGCCGGCCAUGCCUAUUAAUAGGCCUUAAUAUUUUCCUAAUCCUAUUAGAAAACUAAAACUAAAAAAACUCCUAAUUAAAUAUUAAAGAGAAAUUCGAUCAAGGGCUUUAAAUUGGGCCUCUUGAACAGAAUAUUUACAUAACAAUUAAUUUAGAAAGUCUAAAAUUGAAACUAAGAAUUAAUUUUUUACAAAUUGGGCCACUUUACAAUUUGGCCCGAUUUUCAACUAAGUAUGAUUUUAACUUUUUGGUUGGGCUUUGGAAUCGUCUCAUUGGGCCUUGUGGUAAUUUGAGCCCAUCACGUUCUUGAGCUUGAGUUGGGCCUUUGUGACUCGUAUCACGAACCCUCUCAUUUUUCGAGCGGGCCAUCGGGCCGGGCCGGGUAACCCAACCCAUAUUACCUCUAGGUCCCAGUCCAUGAAAUUAUUGCACCCUCUCAUUUCAUAUCUCCCUGCAAUUAUUUGAAUAGCUUUUCUUUAAUUUUUCAUCUAUUUUAAUCAUUGAAUUUGUAUUUAUUUUUAUUAAAUCACUUCAAAAUAAAUAGAAAACCUAAAAGGGUAUACAAUCUUAACAAAGAUAAAAACAUUAAAAUUUUUAUUUAUUUUGAAAUAAUUUGACAAGAAAAUACAAGUUCAAAAGCUAAUUCUUUUUCAUAAAAUUAGAUAACCAAAUCUUUAUGUAUUUCUUUUAUGAGACAAAAGUGGAUUAAAGUGUUUGCAACUCUAAAAUGGAUGGCCGCUCUUUUAUAGGUAUAGAAUUUAAUGAUUCUUAAGAUAAUUUGUUGUGGUCAUUUGAGUUGUUAAUUUGUUAAUAAUAAUAAGGAGAACGAAUAGAAAGUAAUGGCUUGGCUCAUGAAUAAACGACCAAUCCCCGAUAGAAGAGAAGGUUCCAUUGGAACUAUUAUUUAUUUCAGGGUGUCUUGUCUCUCUCUUUUUUUACUUAAAAGAGAGAGAGAGAGAGAGAGAGGAAGUGCUAACAGAAAUGGUAAGAAGAUAUUGGAACAUAAAUUUGGAAGAGAUGUUGGAAGCAGGAGUUCAUUUUGGUCAUGGUCUACUUAUGGCUUCGUGCACUAUUUGUUAGAAUGCAUCAAACACAAAUCUUAAGAUUAAAUUAAAUUCUAAAAAAAUACUAAUACAAAUAAAAAUAUUAAAAUUCAAGAUAAAAAUAUUGAUGUGACAUUAAAUUAUUGAAAAUGGAUACAAAUAUGAUGGUAUCCCAAUUUUAUACUAUCAUAUUCCUCCAAAAUAAUUUUCCUUUUAAUAUGUAUAUUAUACUUUUUGGUUUUGGGCAGAAAUGGAUUGCAAAUGGAAUUUCUUUUCUUCUAUAGUUCUAAUUAUGUUCUUUCUUUUUCUCUUGUAUAAUAUUUCGCCGCCACGCCACCUUCCCAAUUUUUUCCCCUUCUUUUAUUUAAUUCUUGUUGAAUUAUUAGGGGUGUGUAAAUUUUGGAUAAAACCAAAUUAAUUUGGUUAAUUAAACAGUUAAUCGAAUUAAUUCGGUCAAGGGUCAGUUAAUAAUUUUUUGAAAGUUCAGUUAAUGGUUAAUUAGAUAAUUAGUGAACUGAACAAAGACAAAAUGGAAACCCAGGGACCAAAAUAGAAAGAAAGAAAGAUGGAUUCUGUGUAAUUAGUGAAAGUUGAAGAAGUUGGGACAAUAUUUUUUUAAGCAUCCAAUAAUUCAGACUAUGACUUGGAAGGCAUUGGAUUAUGAUAAAGAAGAUGGAUCCCAAGUGGUUGUUGCUGGGAAAAGCAAAUGAAAGUGGAAAUUAAAGAGGUCCCAGUCCAUGAAAUUCUUGCACCCUCCCAAGUGGUUGUUGCUGGGAGAAGACAAUGAAAGUGGAAAUUAAAGAGGUCCCAGUCCAUGAAACUAUUGCACCCUCCCAUUUUUCCGUCCCCGCAUUAGCUUUUCUUUUAGGCAUAAUGAUUACUCCUAAUUUGCAUAAAAAAUAAUUUUAACUCUUAAGUUUAUCUUUCAAUCAAACCACUCUAAAAUAGACCCGACAUACAUGUGAAUUAUAAUCUAGAAAACACAUUAACAUUUAAUUAAUUUUUAAAAUUUAAAAAAUUAAUUAAGUGAACAUUAGUAAAGUUAAAAAAAGUUACAAAUUUAUGGGCUAAAAAAUAAAAAUUUAAAUAGAGAACUAAUUUUUUUUUAAGAAGUCGAAUAAAUUAUUAUGUCUUUCUUUUAUUGGAUCAAAAUAGAUUAAAAUGUCUGCAAUUCUAAAAUGGAUGGACUUAGUAUUUGGAUACAUUAUUAUUUUUACUGGAGAUCGAGAAAAGAUGGACUUUCUAUGAGCCCAUUUUUCUGAUAGGAUUUAUUACCACUUUAGCAACUUUGGCGAUUUAGUCAAUUACUCGAGAUUCACGAUUAUUUUAUUUCUUGAUGCUAGCAAUGUAUAGUGAUCAAAUAGCAUCAUUUCUUCUUAAGACCUUUUACUUUUUUCAUCAUGUGGGAGUUUGAAUUAAUUCUCAUUUAUCUAUUUCUAUCCAUGAAGGGGAAGAAACAUCUAUGCUCGGUUACAAAAUUUAUUUUGUACAUUGCAGGCGGUUUCAUUUUUCUAUUAAUAGGAGUUUUGCGUCCCGGUUUAUACGGUUCUAAUGAACCAACAUUAAAUUUUGAAAUAUUAGAUCAUUUAGAUAAUCAAUCAUAUCCUGACACACUAGAAAUAAUAUUCUAUAUUGAACUUCUCAUUACUUUUUCUAUCAAAUUGUUGACUAUACUCUUACAUACAUGGUACGAUAUAAAAAAUUUCAAUAAAAAAAUAUAAAAUUAUUAAAUAUUAAAAUAAUAUAAUAUAAAUAUUUUUAAAAAAAUAAAAUUAAUAUGAACAGGGCUAACAUGAGUUUGGAUUAAUCUUAUGUAAAUAUAGACGGGUUUGAGCAACAUUUUAAGCCUAAAUUUUAGGCUGGGUCAGAUUUAGAUAAACAUAAAGUAAGUUAAUAUCAUGCUUAGACCCAACCAGUCUAUGAAUAUAUUUACUAACGAGGGACCUUUGUUUUGAAUUUUGUAAUAGCCUUUGUCCAUUGUCCCGAUUUCCAAGUAAAUGAACGUUGAGCUCCAUGCCAAUGGCAUCAAAAUAAUUAUCUCCAUUAACAACAAAAUAUAGUCCAACACAAGAAGGGAGUACUAGAAGAACAUAUUCUCCAUCUCAUAAACAUUUGAUAACAUCACUGUUGAAGCCUUUCAAAGCAGGGGAAAUCCAUAUAAAGUGUGAUAGAAAGCCCACUGUGACACAUUUAGCUUUCAAGCUUCAGAUUCCCUGUCUUACAAAAAUGACCAAAUAAUAUAUCACGUUUACAAUAUUAUCUGUCUUACAAAAACCAAAUAUCAGUGAACCACCAUCUUUGCCUAUCUUUUAAAGGGUUUCAUACAUGUGGUCUGAGCAUGACAAAAUAAGGGAUGCUCUGAAAUUUUGAUGAUGCAUCCAUCCAUGAUCACAGCAGUUGUGUACGAAAAUGAAAAACAACAUACUUUCUUUAGAAUGCAAAAAACUUGAUUAUAUUGAUAUGAAGCAGUAACCAAAAUGGUUAAAUGAAGUUUUUCAGUCAGUCACUUAGACACUGAGUUCAUUAAUGUCGUUCAAUCCACAUGAUCGAAAAAGCAGUUCCUCAUCAAGUGAAUUAAUGCAGCUCGAAAGUAGCUUUCAAAUGGAUGUAUCAUCUGAGAAUUUCCAAGAACUAGGAUGGCCAACUUUGAGAUCAGCAGACUAUAGUUUGUGGGAACACUGAGGCUGCAAGUUCAAAAGAAGUAUAAUCUCAAUGUCAUCAGUGUUUUACAAGUGAGAAAACCCCAAAUUGCAGGUCAGUGAACUCUCUUGUGUUAAUGCUUAAAUCUAGCUCUUUAACUACAUGCCGUACUGCGUAGUGUAUCCCUUCCUUAUCCUGAGAGGAUCAAUAAUAGACUGGUGACGACUCGUAUCCUUACACAAUAACAGGAAUCUGUCCACAAAGAUCAUAUGAAACUAUCAAGUAAAUUAAGACUUAUUCUUUUGAAAUACCAUUGGUCAAUAUUACAAUGGAAUGUCAAAUAUUUUCAACUAAAAUCCCAUUUCCAAGUACAAAGGUUAUAACAAUUGCAUUUGAAAACAUUGUCUUAAAAAAAAAUAGUUAAUAUAUUAUGGAAAAUUUUAGAAAGAUGAAGAGAAAGUCUAGGAUUGGCAGACCAAUGUCGAAAAGAAGGAUCGACUGACUAUACGGCAUAUUCCAAGUCCAUUCCAAAAUUAGUCUGUGCCAACCCAUAUUCUGAGAGCUAAGCAAACAUAUACGCAAAGGAAGCUUAGAAAUCAGAACAUGCAGAUGAAAACUGAACAUUCAAUUUGCUGAACAUCAAAUCAAAUAAGCUAAAAGGAAGGCUAGUUGAAUUCAUCCGCUAUUUUUGCCAAAUUAGUUUUCAAUGCCUGAAAAAUUGAAUACAAAUUAUAUAAGACUGAUUGCUAUUAUCUUGUUAUUCUGAGGACAAUCACAUAUGUGGAACUAUGGAACUAAAAAUGCUAUGAAAUUGCUUAAUGUUUAAAAUGGUUUCACACCUGUGGUUUAAGUGUGGAGAAACCAGUGCCAGGUUUUGCUGCUUUACUUUCAAUCUAAUUCCCUUGGGAUGACUGUUUUAUACUGAAAACGGACAUAAGGGAUGUGGGCAAUCUUGGACCACUGUCGACCUUUACCCCUACUGCACCCUUCUUCUAGCAACGGGCAAUUGAAAAUAUGUAGCUGCUCAAGUGAGAGAAGCAUAUCUUUUUCUGGAAGAGAUGUGAGUUUUGGACAAUUACUUAUUUCCAAUUCGUGAAGUGAAGUGAGGUGUUGAAAGCCCUUGGAGCACAUGAAUUCCAAAUUCUCAAAAUUUUCAAUGCAGAUAGAUGUUAGAGAAGGAGGCAGCAUUCUUCCUAUCCCUUCUUCUGGAAAUGACACCACACGUGAGCAUCCCUCACCGCCGAUAUUGAGCUCUUGAGUGGAGGUGAGUCUAUUUAAUCCCCAUUCAACAAGUGAUGUAUACAUUUUGGGUCCAUUUGAGAUUUCAAGUGAUGUGAGAUUCGUAGGGAAACCCUCUUCUGGGAAUGACACCACACGUGAGCAUCCCUCACCGCCAAUAGUGAGCUCUUGAGUAGAGGUGAGUCUAUUUAAUCCCCAUUCAACAAGUGAUGUAUAUAUUUUGGGUCCAUUUGAGAUUUCAAGUGAUGUGAGAUUCGUAAGGAAACCUCUUCUGGGAAGGAUAUAUCAGCUGAACACUAUAUAAAUAGUUAAAUGAAAAGACAAAAAGCAAACUCGUAAUAUUAUUUGUUAUCUUUUAAAUAAGGAUUUUUAUUUAAAGUUAUUUUUCAACCAAAUUGAUCUUUAGUUAAACUCGUGGCUUCAACUCAGUUAUAUAACUAUAUAUAGUAUAAUUAACAAACAAUAAAAUUGAAAUUGACAUACAUGUAUGCUGUGUGUAGCCUUAAAUACUCCUGUUUCAUGGUGUUAACCUCAAUUCCUUGCAACUUCUUUUUUUUAACAAAAAAAAAAGAAAAAUACGCACACACAAUAUUAGAAAUGUAAUUAUUAUUAUCGAUCGAGUCUUAAUUCAAUUGGCAUUAAUAUUAUUAUUUAUGCAAAGAGGAUAUCAAUAUAUAUAUAUACCUCAACUUGUUGCUCAUCAAAAGGGUGUUCUUGAGAAUGAUCUUCUUCCAUUCCUUUGCUGUACCUUGAAAGAGUGUAUUCUAUGCUACAUCCCUAAAAUGUCAUGUUUAAAAAAAUAACAAUAAAUUAAAAAUAAAAUUCUAACUCAUUAUUAUUGUUUGGACUUGAGCCGAUCAAAUUUAUGACAAGUUAUUCUUAACUUAUCGGAACUAUUUAUAUAUCAUUUUUGUUUUAAUAUGAGCAUGUGUUGUAAAAGUAUUAUAUAUAUAAUAUACUUGCAAAUAUUUCUUAAUUAUAAUAUGUAAAUAUAAAUUUUAAAAUUAUUAAUUAAUUUCAAUAAUUUAAUGAAUGGUUAUAUAUUAUUUUUAAAAGCAAUUAUAUAAGAAAGUAGUUAAGAAAGAAAAGAGAAAUAUUAAAAAUCCCUUUAUAGGAAUUAAUACUCAACGAUACAAGAAUAUAUUAAUUGAAAUGAGUCAAAACUCAAUGAAAUUUUAAUUGAUGUGAAACUUAAACUAUUUUAUUCUAGUUCAAUAUUGAGACGAUUCAUAACGAUUGAUACAACCAGUAUCGAAACUACCGACUACCAUACUACAAAGCGAAAAGAAAAUAAUGGAAAUCAAUCAAAUUACAACUCAACUUACUUUCAUGCUUAGAAAAAAAACAGUUCUAAAAAAUAAUCAUCCAAGAAAAUAAAUAUAUAUAAGUUUUAUAGACCGUUACAAACUAAUAUACACUCAUAUAAGUCGAUAUUAAUCAAAACACAAUAAAUUUUUAACUGAAACGAAACUUAAACUACUUUAUAUUAAUUCAAUAUUGAGACGAUAGCCAAUUAUUAAGAAAAGAAAAACAAUGGAAAUCAAUCAAAUUAUAGGUCAACUUACUUUCAUGCUUACAAAAGAAAUUGCUAAAAUUAAAAAUUGAAAAAAUCCCAGAUUUCGAUUAUUAAAAAUCAUCUAUAAUAUAUAUAUAUAAAUAAGUAUUAUACUAUAUUAUAUACCUAGUGCUGGACCAUUGAUAGACCUUGCCGCUGCUUGAAAAAAUAAUAACCCCAACCUCUGCAUCACAUAAAAUGGACAAUUCUUUAGCUUUCUUCAACAACCCAUUUUGCCUCUUUGAAAACGUUACUUGCUUGCUAUUCAAAAUUUCAAUCUUUUUUAUUUGAAUUUUCCCUCUACCCAUCUGAAAAUUUUCUUCUUUCCUUUACUUUUUCCCGGAAAAUUUUUAAAGGAAAAGUUAAACCCCAGAUUUUUUUUUUCUUAAAUUUUGAAAAAAACCAAAGGUUUUUAUAACAACAAACCGAUCAAAGAAAAUAAGGCAAAAAAUUUAGGGGAUUGUAAAAGGAUUCUUUUUUUAAGAGAAAAGAAAAUAAGUAAGUAAUGUUUAUAUAUAACAAUGGUUUUCUUAAAUGGAAAUGGAAAAUGAUAUGGAAAAAGAAAAUAUGUGACCAAAAUUAGGGUGAAAGCUUGAAAGGUGACAGAUUUGAUACUAUAUCUACCAAUUAUCCAACUAUGGAAACUCUAUUUAUUAUAAGUUUAGUUUAUUUUUUCUAUUUAUCUUAAUUUCUCUACCUUUUUACUCUCCUGUUUUUGGUAUUUCAACUCAAAAUGGAUUUUAUUUUUGCUUUGGGUUUCUUUUUUUUAAUAUAAAAAGUGGUUUUUAAUUAUUUAUAUAUUAUUAAUGUGUUUUAACAAUUUUUGUUAGUGAAUAUUGAUUUUUUUUUUGUGAAUUACAAUAGGAGGGCAAAGCCCUAAUAACAACACGACUAGUGCAAUUCGAAUGUAGGCCACACUUGAGACGUUGAACACAAGUAUUUCACGAGGACAUAUAACACAUGUUUUUUGUUUUUAAAUUCAUGGCUAAAAUAAUAAAAAAAACCUCUUUAUUUUAUUGUAUUCAAAUAAUAAUAAAAACCAUGGUUUUAGUCGCACCGGCCGGUGCCGCCGUUCUACUGUUAUAGCGCAACAAGCAACACCCUUUUCUAUACUAAUGAAAAUUUUGGCUUGUACCGUUCGCAUUGACCGAAACAUGGUACACUUGCUGCUGCAUGAAUAGUGUUAAAAAAUAUAAAACUUUUAAUUGUAUGUUUUCUAUUAGACUAAUAUUUAAUUGAAAUGUAUUGACCAAUAAAAAAAAUAUUACACUAGAAAGUAAAGUUUAACAUUUAAAAUUUUUUUAGAGCAUACUUUUUCAUUUAAAAUAUAAAAAUUAAAAUAUAAUAAAAAAACUCACUCACCUCGUUAUCAUAGAAAAAUAUCCACUCGCCCUUAAACUUUUUUUAUUGAAAAAAUCCUCUCAUCCUUCGAUUUUUUUUUCUUCUUAAUUUUGAAUUUAUUAAAUGAUGAGUUUUUACUUGUGGAGUUUAUUAAUCAAUAUUUUAUAUAAUUGAUGAAUAGUUUUAUAUUAGAAAUUUAUUUAUAACAAUUUAUUUGAUAUUUGUAUAUUUAUUUAUAUAAAUAUAUUAAAUAUUUUAAAAAAUAUCUAUAAAUUCAAAGUGGUACAUAAAAUAGACUAGUAUCAAUACAUACCGGUUCUCAUAGAAAAGUAGUACUUACACCAAUGUGGUAAUGGCUACCUUGAAAGCAAGUAUGUGGGUGGCUAUAAUGUUUGAUGCUUUAUUUUCUUUGAAUAUUUUGCUUUGAUGCUUUUGAUAUGUGCUGAUCUUUGAGUGUAACCUUUGGGAUAUAUAUGGCCAUCUGAAUUUUUAUGAUUUGCUAUGCAUUGAUUUUGGUUGUUUUAUUAAUAAAUUUAUGUUUUGGAUUGAGAAAAAGAAUAAGAAAUUCAAAACACAAAAAAGAAAGUAGAGAAAGUGAACAUAAUAAUAUACGUGGUUCGCGAAUAUUCCCUACAUCCACGGGCAGAACCAAAAACGAAAUUCACUACUAAAAAUUGGAGAUUACAAUAGAAUUACAUCAUAAAAAUAAAAUACCUUGCCAAUAACUAUCCACAAACUUUGAAUGGAUUCAUGGUCUUAGAAAUUCGAAAAACUAAGAUGGACAUCUUUGAGAUUGGACAGAACAAUAUUUUGGGAACUCUGUUAUCUUACAUGUGUUAAAUUGAGCUCUCUAAUACCAUGUUGUAACGUGUACUGUAUCCCUCCAUUCAUCCUGCAAGGAUCAAUACCAUGUCUACAGUGAUGACGAAAUCUGUUGGCACUGAUAUCCUUAUGCAAUAACAGAAAUCUAUCCACAAAGAUCAACAAACUCUCACGUAAAAGACUUGUUCUUCUGAAAAACCAUUGGUUAAUAGUACUACGAAAUGUCAAAUAUUUUUAACUAAGAUCCCAUUAUCAUAUACCAAAAUAGCUUAGAUAUUGGAAGAUGCAAAUGAAAACAGGACAUUCAAUUUGCUGAAUAAAUGUUGCAGAGAAUUGACUAACCGCUUUACUAAAUCAAAUAAGCUGAAGCAGAUGAGUUGAAGUUCACUAUUUUUCGCCAAUUUAGCCUUCAAUGCCUGCAAAAAUUGAAUACAAAAUAUAUAAGAUUCAUUUCUGUUAUCAUGCUGUUCAUGAGGUCAAUCAGAUAUAUAAAAAAUAAAGCUAUGAAAUUUAUAAAUGCUUAAAAUCCAUUUCACACCUGUGGUUUGAGUGUGGAGAAAUCGAUACCAGAUUUUGCUGCUUAACUUUCAAUUUAAUUCCCUCGGGAUGACUGUUUUAAAAUCAAUUUUAACAAAAGGUAUGUGGGAAAUCUUGGACCACUCUCGUCCUUUACCCCUACUGCACCCUUCUUCUAGCUAGCAACGGGCAACGCCAAAUAAAUAGACGCUCAAGCGAGAGAAGCAUAUCUUUUUCUGGAAGAGAGGCGAGCUUAGGACAAUCAUAGAUGGCCAAUCGUUGAAGAGAGGUGAGGUGUUGUAAGCCCUUGGAGCACAUGAAUUCCAAAUUUUCAAAUCUAUGGAUGCUGAUAUCGGUGAGAGAAGGAGAAGCAUCAUUCCUAUCGCUUCUUCUGGAAAUGACACCACAUGUGAGCAUCCUUCACCGCUGAUGUUGAGUUUUUGAGGAGAGGUGAGUCUGUAAAAUCCCCAUUCAACAAGUGAUGUAUAAAUUUUGGGUGCGUUUGAGAUUUGAAGUGAUGUGAGGUUGGUAGGGAAACCCUCUUCUGGAAAGGAUAUGUCAGCUGAACACUUCCACACUGCUAAUUCUCGAAAGGAGGUGAAGUUGUUGAUGCACUUGGUAAGGGCUCUAAAAUUUUCACAACCCCCAAUUGAGAGAACUCUGAGAUUUGUGGUGGGCAACCCACUUUCUUCCAAUGAAA